rnacentral:lncRNA from 1 species
AACCUUCCGGGCUUCUUUCUCCUCCUUGGCUCUUCGAAUCAAAACCUUCAUGGGUGUAGGGUAAGGCUUCCUUUCUGACAUUUUUUUAGGAGGUCUUGGCACAUCAGCAUACACAGGAUCAUCUGUUUCUCCUCCUAAAGUAAGGGCUCUCUCGGAUGUAAAACACUCCUUUUGAUCAACUAGGCAACGAAUUCUUGCAAAAUGACAAGGCUUCCAUAUUAUUCUUCUCUGCAUAUUGUGCGUAGAGCCCUGCACCAUUUGAAAUAAAAAUGAAAAUUAAAGUCAAUCUAAUAACAGUGCAUUGGGUUAUCAGGUCUCAACUAAUUUCAUCUUCCAAGAAUGCAAGCAUAGUUCAAUCGAUUGCAAUACUUCCAUUGUAAAACCUAAUUUUUUGGAUGUAUUUUACAAUAAAAGGAUUAAAAUCUGAUCGUUAGGCUACAUUUGUUGAAAAUAAAAACUAUACACUCAGGCAGCAUGUACUUGAAAUAACUUAGGUACAAAAUAUUUGAUAUCCAUAUGUUUUUUUAUCUAUUAUUUCUUUCAUUCAAAUAUAGAUAUAGGAGUUUAGCUAUAAAUAUCAGCUAAAUCUUGAGAUUUGAAGUCGCUCCUCCCACAACAACAACAACAACAAAGCCUUAUCCCACUAAGUGGAGUCAGCUGUAUAAAUCCUAGAACGCCACAGCGCUCGGUUUUGUGCCAAGUGUUCCGUUAGAUCCAAGUACUCCAAGUCUUUUCUUAGAGUCUCUUUCCAAGUCUUCCUAAGUCUUCCUCUACCCCUUGGUCCAGAGCCUCUGUCGUGUACUGGACUAUUUCAGGGACUAAGCUAGCUUGGCUUGAUUUAAGCUGGACUAAGUAUUAUCAUGCCGAAGUUUGGCACAAGGCCAGACUAAGACUACAGUUUAUUUUUAUUUUUCAAAACAUGAUUAUUUUGAUUUUCAGAUAUUCUUUUCGGGCACAUGAUUAUCAAAUAUUCUUUACCACAGUGUUUUGAUAUACGUUCAUGGCGUAAAAUAGCAACCCCUCGUUGUCAUUACUCAUUACUAAUAAGAAAACGGUCACUAAAUAAAAGUUUGAAUCAAAUCCAAAUAACUCGCAACUAAUUAAAAAAUGCAAUAACAAAUCUCCAAGUAUCUCCCUUUCCGAAUCCCGCUACCUCAAAAUUCAAUUCGGUAGUGUUCGAGUUCAGUCAACUUGUCAAAAUGUUGGCCUACUUGCUCCACAUUGACUUCAUUCCUUCUAGUUAGGGCUGGGUUCGGUUCAAAACGGUUCGGUUUUUUGCCUAAACAUAAAGGCAUCUGAAACAUCUAUUGAGGCAAACUCUAGUCAUUCUCCAUAUAAGAAUCAUCAGAGUUUCUUGACUGGCAACGAAAAUUCAACAUAAAGGCAUCUGAAACAUCUAUUGAGGCAACAUAAAGCAGUUCACUGAAAAUUAAAAACCGCAAACGCAAAUCAUAAAGGUAAACUCAACAACCCCUCGGCACUUAAAUACCGAAAAUCCAAACUAACAUAGCGAAAAUUGAAACUUUUUCAGUAUUCAGAUCAAACUCAAAUCAAAGGUUUACAAUCAAUCAGGAAAAUUAUUAACUUCAACUAGCAAUUAGAUGUCUACUUUCAGAUUAAAGCCCUAAAUCUCCCCCAAAUUCACAGCACUCCAACUACCAAUUACACGUCCACUUUCAGAUUACAUACAUAUACCUGCAACCGCGAGUACACAAGAGAAAGACAGAGAGAGAGAGGAGGAGGAGGAACCUGAACGGCGCUGUGGAAGAUGCCGCCGAGGCCGAUACCGUCCUUGAAGAAAUUCGACAGCGGAGAAGAGGGAGAGAGAGAGUCUGAUUUGGAGGAAGAGGUUUUGUGUUUAGAAAUCUUAUAAAGAACUCGUAUAUGGACACAUAAAAUGUAUGCGAAGAUUUUUUAUAUUUGUUUUUGAAAUAGGAGAGAGGAAGAGAGUAAUAGAGAAUAUGGGAGUGGAAAGUUUUUUUUUUUUUUUUUUUCUUAAUAGAGAUAUAUUAUGAUUACAUGUAUGUGAGGUUAAAAAAAAAAUUUAGUUGUAUGAAAUUACAUUUCUGCUCUAUAUCAUGUUCUAUUUUAAUUAAAAUGUUAAAUUGGUAAUUUCAUAGGAUUUUAGUUGACAAUGAGUGUUUUAUUAAUGGAAAUUGUUAUUAGCCCUCCAAAAAUCUCAUUCUAUACUCCAAAAGUUCUAUAUUGGGAAAGAAAAAUAUACUUGUUAGGAGUGUAGAAUGAGAUUUUUGGAGUGCCAAUAACACUUCCUUUAUUAAUUAGUAGAGAUUAAAGAUCCAGAAUUAGUGUAAAUAUUGGGAAUUGUUAUUAGCACUCUAAAAAUCUUAUACUACACUCCUCACAAGUGUAUUUUUCUUUCUAAUUAUAGAAAGUUUGGAGUACCAAAUGAGAUUUUUAGAGUGCUAAUAACAAUUCCCAAAAUAUUUUAUAGCAACACAAAGCUUGUUGUCAAGUUGGCUGAAGCAAACACUCUCAACCUGGAGGUAAGGGGUUUGAACCUUUUGCCUUCUAGAUUUUGAGUAUUUGUAUAUGAUUUAUACAAUUAAUAUUACAUAAUUAAAUAUUAACAAAUUUGGUUUGGCUCAAUUUUUUUCGGUUUUCGAUUUUUUAAACCCAUCCCAACUUCUAGUUGUAUGGUACAUGGUCAUUCAGUUUAACUCAAAGUAGAACAUACAAUCCCAAUAUACAGUCUCAACAAUUCCUAAGCUUUGUUUCAAUUGAGGCAUUUUAUCAAACACUUUACUUUAAGCGUAUCCCAAGUAACAAAAAUCUCAUUAAAAUCGAAACAUAAUUUAUAUAAAAAAAUAAUUAUACACAAUCAACUUAUAACCUACUCAUAAGAAAUAAUGACAAACAAAUUGAACUGAAAAUACAACUAUGCACUUACCUCUUUCAAAAUGAUAUUUUAAGCUUUUAAGUUUUAACGUCCAAAAAAGAAAAAUGAGGGUUUCAUAAUUGGGUCUAGUUUUUACUUUUAACUGAGAUUUGGACGAUGAGAGCGUCCUAUAGACUACAACCACUCUGCAGGUUCUUCUAGUGCGAGGAAAUGGUGGCGGCUGGGUGUGUCGGGGUCAGGGAUGAAAAGGCUGCUUAUUUUUCGUUUUUGCUUUCUUUGACAUUGUAAACACGAAAUUUUCCUGAAACAAACGAGAUAAGAACACGUGCACAAAAUAAUAUUUGUAUUUGAUGAUUUUGGGUUACAAUCUCUCUCUAAUUUGAUCCUCUGAUUCAAUCUCCGUAAUGUGUGUAUUUGUCGACGUUGUUGAUCCAAAGGGCCGUUAGGGCUUGAUCUUAGGAUGAACGAAUGAUGAACGAUGAACGCUUUCUUCAAGGCUUUUGGGGCUUGAUCUUGAAAAACUGUUGAUGAACGAAACUUCAAGGGCCUUUGGGGCUUGAUCUUGAUGAAUAGUUGAUGAAUGGAUCUUCAAGGGCUUUUGGGCUUGAUCUUGAAGAACAGUGAUGAACGGAUCUUCAAGGGCUUUUGGGCUUGAUCUUAAAGGAUGGUUGGAUGUGUGGAUUUGUCGACGUUGUUGAUCCAAAGGGCCGUUGGGGCUUGAUCUUAGGUUGAACGGAUGAUAAACGAUGAACACUUUCUUCAAGAGCUGUCGGGGCUUAAUCUUGAAUUGGUGGAAGUUCUUCAAGGGGUCGUCAGGGCUUGAGCUUGAAAGCGGAUUUGGCGAAGAACGAAGAGAGUUUUCUCAAUCCUUCGGAAUUUGCUUGAGAGCUUUAGAGUUUCAAAGCUUCAAGGUUUUGGUGUAAUAUCAAUUGGUCCCCCCGAAAUGAAUGAAAUUGGCUUUUAUUUAUAGAAUUUUCCAAAGCCUAAUUUUGAAUAUAAUAUUCAGAUGAAAUAAAUCGUUUCUGCUAGGUGUUGACACGUGUCCUGCUUGAUGACUUUUCUGAUUUAUUUUGAUUUUUCAUUUAGUCACACGCUAUGUGUAAAAUUUAUAUGACACGUGAGCAUUGAAAUUGUAACUAUUGGUCAACAUUUAUUUCACCGAAAUUUCGAUGUCUACAAAUGCCCCCACUUCAAGGCGCGUUGUAUACAUGUGCUUGUCGCGUGUAGGAGAUGCGUUUUGAAGUCCCUUAAUGUAGAUGUCGAUCCAAGGGCCGUUGAGGCUUGAUCUUGAAUUGGGCUUGAGAUUUCUUUAAGGGCCGUUGAGGCUUGAUCUUGAAUUGGGCUGAAAAUUUCUUCAAGGGUCGUCGAAGCUUGAUCUUGAAGGUUGAAAUUGAACCACAAGGAGCUUCAUGUGGUAGAUGAUCUUUGGCUUUGGUAAUGGAUGAAUUGGUGCGUAUUUUGUUGUGCUUGUUGACUUUCCACAGCUUUGAUCUUGAACUGGGUUUGAUUCAAGGGUGGUAGACACUUGAUCUUGAAUCGGACUUGUGAUUUCCUCAAAGGUCGUCGAGGCUUGAUCUUGAAUUUGGCUGGAAGCUUCUUCAAGGGCCGUUGAGGCUUGAUUCUUGAAGGUUGACUCGAACACAUGGCAAGCAGGCACGAGGUGAAGGUGACGACUCGUUGCUUUGUUCAAUCUUUCUAAUUCACACCUGAGCAGUUUGGUCAACGGUAUGAUCUUCAAGAUUGAUGGGCUUUUCUUCCAGUUGGUGACUUGAUCUUUAAGGAUUUGAUUCAAGGGUGGUGAAUCGGCACGUGCAGCCCACAACGCCUAGCGAGUCGACCCAAGAAUUUGAGGGUCAAAACGAGCCCUCCACUGAUAGUGAUUGCAACCCUGAUGAUAUGAGAUACUUUUGAUUUUGAAGAAGUAGCGGAUGAAUCGGCACGUGCUUUGUUGUGCUUGUCUCCACAUGCUUCAAUGUAUCAUUUUCCCUUGCCUUAUUUGUUCUCUAGGCAAAUGUAGCAUCUUCUCGAGUUCCUUAACUCAGACUCCUUCUGCUGAGUUGACUGUGCAGACUGCAUUCUUCUCUGCUUGUUUCUUCUGCACGUUGUAUCCACGUGCUGCAAGGUAUCAUUUUCACUUGCCUUAUCUGUUUUCCAAACAGAUGUGGCAGCUUCUUUGGAAGUACAGCAGCAGUGGAAGACGAGUACUCGAGAGCAAUACCAUGUAAGCAACCAGGCAAAGGUUCCAAGUAGUCGAUUCCUUACCUAAGUUUAAGUGGAGGUUCCGACAUAUUGCUUUCUUUAUCCUUGUCUUUGCAGGUAAGAACAAGGACAAGGGAAAUGACAGGGAGAACGCAUGAUAUGAGAUACUCUUGCUUUCUACCCUAGUGAUAUAAGAUACUUUUGCUUUGGUGUCAUUUGUUUGCAAAUGUACCCCAAGGAAUAAGGAACACUGAGUGACUCAAGAGGCUUUGUUGGGAAGGCAUUCUCGGGGAUAAAGAAAGGUUCUGUAUAUCUACCUUGCUAUGGAGGGUGAAGGUGGACAGUUAUAGGAAGUUCUUUAAUACAUGUAGAGGUACUAUUCUUUCACUCGUGUCGGCAACCAUUGAGUGAUUGAUCAGUAUGGCUUCACGUGCUUUCUUCUUUAUCAGAAAUCUUCGACAAAUUGUCUGUAAUUUCCGCCAAGUUGAGUGUGCAUGUGACAGGUGUUGACGAGGUUGAAAAAGACUGGCGCCUCUUCGAUAUCUGGGAUCAGCGCUUCGACAAAUUACCCGUGAUUUCCACAAAGCUGAGUUUGCAUGUGACGGGUGCUGACGCGUCUGGAAAAGCAAGAUGCCUCUCUGAUUUCUGAGCUUGCCUCUUCGAUUUUUGAAUUGGCCUCUUCGAAUUCUGAGCUCGCCUCUUCGAUCUCUAAAAUCCCGUCGAGUGCUGAUUUUUAUAAAGGCACACAGUUCGUUUCAAAGCACACUUGAAUUUUCGCUUGUAGAAACUCCCUUCUUGCACUUCUAAGAUCUUGAUUCGUCCAACCUCUUCUUUCUUCAACACUUUUGAAAAUGUCUGGACCCUCCGACCGUCGUUUUGACUUGAACCUUGGUGAAGAGGCAAUCCCGCCUUCUCCAGACAACAUAUGGCGCCCAUCCUUCAUAUCCGCUAUUGGUCAGCUUACCGUUGGGGAUUCGAUGAUGAAGAAUGAUAUGACUGCUGCGGUGGUGGCCAGGAACAUUGUCACUCCCAAAGAUAAUAAACUACUUUCCAAACGGUCUGAUGAGUUGGCUGUUAAGGAUUCUAUAGCUCUCAGUGUGUAGUGUGCAGGUUCUGUGUCUAAUAUGGUCCAACGUCUAUUUGCUCGAACCCGUCAAGUUGAAUCAUUGGCGGCUGAAGUGAUGAGUCUCAAACAGGAGAUUAGAGGGCUCAAGCAUGAGAACAAACAGUUGCACAAGCUCGCACAUAACUAUGCUACAAACAUGAAGAGGAAGAUGGACCAAAUGCAGGAAUCUGAUGGUCAGAUUUUACUUGAUCAUCAGAGGUUUGUGGGUUUGUUCCAAAAACAGUUGCCUUCGUCUUCUAGGGCUGUACCGCGUAAUGAAGCUCCAAAUGAUCAACCUCCGGCUCCUCUUCUUCCUGGAGUCCCGCCAAGUGAUGAGGCUUCACACGAGCAACUUUCGUGAAGGCUCCCUCCUGUUUGCUCUUCUUCUUUUUUCUUUUUCUUUUUUUAAAUGCCACCCAUCCAUCUUUCCUAUGUAUAUAUAUAUAUAUAUAUAUAUAUAUAUAUAUAUAUAUAUAUAUAUAUAUAUUUCUCUUUAAUCAUGGUGCCAGGCACACCAAAGAUCAAAACAUUUUUUUAUUAUAUAUAUUUUUCCUUUAAUCAUGGUGCCAGACACACCAAAUAUUAAAUAUUUUUUAUUAUAUAUAUAUAUAUUUUUUCUUCUUUUGCAGAAUGGUGUUGAUCCACCACCUAAAACACUUUAUAUUAUAUUAUAUAUAUAUAUAUAUAUAUAUAUAUAUAUAUAUAUAUAUUUCUUUUCUUUCAUUCACAUGGUGCCAGAUGCACCAUCAUUCUUUAUAUAUAUAUAUAUAUAUAUUUCUUUCUUUUUCCCAUUUCUGAGAACCCAGAAGCAUGAUUCUUCGACAGAGAAGCAAAGUGGAAAGCACGGGUAUUCCACUUAUUGCCUUUUGUGGCUUUAUAUGCCUUCUCCCACUUCAUCGCAUAGUAGAAGAACCAUAACUUUCAGACUGGCGGUAGAGAGGAAGACGAAGGUGCAUCGAACCAGGUUGCUCACAUUCUGCUGUCCUUGUUGCAAAAGCUGUAAGGAUCAAAGCAUGCAGACUCGCAGAGUUUUGUUUUUCGAGUUGCAGAACUAAGAGAGAGAGGUCCAGGUUCCUUCGUUUUAAGGUGAGGAUGAUUUUGACAUGUGCAUAUAUAUAUAUAUAUAUAUUAUAUGCAUAUUUAUAUACACUGACUUAAGCUCUGGUUUACUAUCCAUCAAUAAUGUCAACUGAGUAGUGCAUGCAGCAGCCAGUUGAAGUCUUGAAACAAUGGCGGGCAUCAGUCGUGGUGAAGCAACAUCGAGCAGCAAGCAGGCCGUAAGACAAAGGAGUGCAGUUCAUGGUGCACGUAGGAGGUGCUGGAGUUUGCAGACGGGUGACAUCGUGGCGCAGCAAUAGCAAGCUUUUACUCUGAGGUAUGUUUUAGGCUGAGGACGAUUUCAAUCUUUUGGACCUUAUACAUAUAUAUAUAUAUAUAUAUAUAUAUAUAUAUAUAUAUGUGGAAGUUUGAACGUCCCGUCACCAUCACUGUGUACACAUUGUAUAUAUUUGUAUAUGGAACUUGGUUGCCGUGUCUUAUAUAUAUAUAUAUAUAUAUAUAUAUAUACACACACACACACACCCAUAUACACACACCCAUAUAAUACCAUAUAAUGUGUAUAUUUUUAUGCACAAUGUGUUUGUGCCCCCACUGAUGGAUUUCUUUGCUGUGAUGCCAAGAAUCCUUAAUUUUAAGAAGGCAGAGCAUGAUGCUGGAACCCUCAUGAAGCUUUCAGAGGUGUGAUUAUUGGUGGCGGAGUGAGCAGGUUGCCUAGUGCUUGUGCCAGAGACUGCAACGGGGUUUCGCUGUGUAGUGCCUUUUGAUCACAGUUUUCCCUCGGUGAUGCAUUGUCGUGUGGUGCUGUGCAAGAGAUUGGAGCGGGGCUUCGCUGUGUAAUGCCUUUUGGUCACAGUUUUCCCUUGGCAAUGACGUCGUUGUGCGGUGUAAGAAAUUUGCUUGAGUAGUCGCUGCAAGUUUGCGUAGUGUGAUUGCGUAGCAUUUUGGUUUCCUCUACCACUGUAGUGUGCUUUGAAUGAUCGUCUUGUAGCUGUCAUCUCUGCUGUGCUGCUCAAGCUUUGUGGCUGACUUUUCCGUUGCAGUCAUGGUGUUUCUCAAGUGCUUUAAAAACAACACCAUCACCAUUCUUGCGAAGGAAGGUGAUCCAUAAGAUAGUGGAACGACAUUGAAGCUUUAUGCGCCACUGAUUGGCCCUAAGGCGCUUGUUCUUCCCAUAAAAGACAACUUCAUGCGUAUUAAGUCGUGGUCUUCUGAAAUAUCUUGGGAGGUGGUAGACUCUGUUCGACCAACUACAAAGAAGAAGGUGUGCAAAUCGAGGAUUCUUAUCUUGAACUCUUCGCACCAUGAUCGUGCCAACCCUUUGGUUAAGUCUAAGCUUCUUGGUGAUCAUAUCCGUAGCGGAGCUAUAGCUUGGAAUAACACCUUGUCAACUACUGGAGGAGCCACAUUCGUUGAGUUUUAUUGGGAAUGGCUUGAAAUUUUCUUGAGCCGCUCCAAAGAUGUACUUACCAACACAGGCCUUUAUCAUGUUGUAUACGCAUCUUUGUUCAAUUAUGAUCGUCAUCCUUCCGUCCUUCGUGCAUUCUUUGAGCAUUGGUGUUCAGUGACCAACACGCUUCACACAGCUCGAGGGGAGAUGUCGAUUUCACUUAGGCAUCUCCACAAGCUAGGGGGUCUGCCUAUCUAGGGAAAAUUUUAUGAGGAGGUUGUUCCUAGUGUGGAAGAGUUUUCUUGUCGCAACAGUCGAGGAUUGCCUGCGAGCUGUCGCUAUUUGUUAUGGGCGUACCAUAAGCUUUUCCAAGAGGCCCCUGGUAAGUCAGGCGUGAAGAUUUCUUCGUGGAUCCGGUUUUGGUAUUGGGAUGCCGUGAAGUACAAAAGGCUUUCAAAAAAAAUGGUCGUAACAAGACAACCAGGCCUAAGGGAGACUCUGAUCCGUCAAGCAUCAUUGGUCUAGCUGGGCGUUGUACCUCUAACGAGUUGAGGGCAUUUGAGGAUCUCGACGUGGCAUUAGAGCACUUAGAAGAAUCUUACUUAGCUGCAUUCUUAGCUUGUUGGCUUUGUAAGUUUGUUUUCCCUAAAGACGACGUCAACUUGAUUCAUCCUGGAGUCUUCAAAGUUGCUAGCAAGAUGGCUGCAGGCGAAUCUUUUAGCCUUGCUAUUCCGGUCUUAGCCAACAUUUACGACGGCUUAAGAGUUGUUUCGGACUUGGCAAGCACUGAAGAUCGUGAUGCGGUACUUCCUUACCACUACGUGUACAGUUGGUUGGGUGAGUACUUUGGUACUCAUUUUUCUUCGUCAACUUUAGACAAGUCUGGGCCCUCCGUAGUCAAGCUGGGACCUUUGAUGACGAAGUAUUUUGGCGUGCUUUCUGCGAAUAGUCUCGACGAUCAGCAGGCGCAAACUUUAUUUAGAAGUUGUGAAGGAUUGAGGAUGGAUCGCUUGGCGAAGGUUGGCUCGGUGCGGCGAGACAUCAUGGAUGAUUCACAUCUCCACUUUUCAGACUUGUCUUACCUUAUAAGUCUCCGCUCGGGGUAUGUUUCUUUGCGGCAAGAAUACCAAUUUAUCAUUCAGCCGUACAGUCCUCACCGCUUUAGCAAGCAAUUUGGUUUGUCCAAAAUGUUCCAGACACGUUGAGGGAGAAAGCUAGAUCAAAAUCCUUGUAACCCGUGUAUAUGCAUUGAGAGGCGUGUACCCGUGCAUGUACAAAUGCUUUUAUCACCCUGCUGGCCAAGGACGAGUUCAAGAGUAAUCCAGUAACCCGUGUUCACAUACGUAGGUGGUCAAAGGUAUAUUAUGAGAAUUUAGGGACAGCAAGUGGUACCAAUUCUUCCCAUUCACGUCAUGAUACGUCAAAAGAGGGUUGUUAUGUGGUUCCUACACAGUUGGUACCUUUUGAUUGUGCAAGUGUCACUCCUUUGCAAGAUAGACCUAUGGUUUUAGCCCAUCAACACUUGCGUCUGUCUUCUCCCCACCUGAAUGCUUCUGAAGAGGUGGGUGAUGAAGUUGAUUCGCACAGAGAUUGAUCUAUUUUGCGGCUACGCCAACAAGUUUUAAACAAGCGGUCACUCGAAGUCGCUCAGGUUGACAGCGAUGUUAAUUUUCGUCAUAAGAAGAAAGAAAUGUUUAAGCCUCCUCAAUCCGAUGGUCGUGUGUAAGAUGUACAUAUUUCUUUCUCUCUCAUGAUUUAUUUAUUUUUUUCUCAUUAUUUUAGCUUUCAUUUCUAACAUCUUUCUUUGUUUUGUUUAGGUUGGGCCUUCUUGUUCUUUUAAUCUGGCGAUUGCAAGCGUUCACUCCUGUACAGACAUGCUACUUGGAGGAAAUCUACCUACAGAUGGGGAGAUUGGGGAUCCACCUAGUGCAGAGCUCGUUCAAAAUUCGCCCAAUUUCCCAAGCUUACCGUGUGUAGGUGGAGGCGUACAAGAGUCCAUCAUGCGUCCAACAUCUUUGCCAGCUAGUUCGGGGAUCUCUUUGAGAGGGCCGAACCUUAGAGGUACUGAGCAAGUCAUCCAUCGCAUCCGUCUUGGUGCGGCAAUGGAUAUCAAGAGCCAUAUAGAGAAAAGGAUUUCUAAAUGCCCGUUGGAAUACCUUAUGUUGCUUAAAGAGGAUCUGUCGAAGCUUGUUUCUGUGAUUGACAGCCUUAACGUUGAUUCUUCAUCAUUGAAGAUCAAGAUUGCCGAACUUAUGGCCACCUCGACUGAGUAUUCUUCCUUGCGUGCUAUUUCCUUGGAGAAGUUGAGUCCAGAUGUUAGAGCUCAUCAGCUAGCAAUGAUAAAUUCGUCAUUGGCUCAAGUCCGGUCUUUUUAGCAAGCUGUUUCAGGAGAUUAUCAAGUCACAGAUACUUCUUUAACUUCUGUCCAGGGUGCGUCUAGAUGCAUUGGUACGAGAGCGAGAGUAGUUGGUAAUCGAAGCAUCGCAACUUGAAAGUGUUCUUGCAAAGCAGGGAACUACACUUUCUCAGUACCAAGAGGAGAUUUCGCGCCUAGAACGAGAGAAAGGCAUGACUAUGGAGUUGCCCAUCUUGUCUCCCACCGAGGUAGAGACUUUGAAGACUUUAGAAGGCUUGCUUGAAGAUCGCCUUCGUAUUUUUAGGGACAUAGUUUUCAAGUAGUAUCUUAUGUUUUUUUUUUUUUAAUAAGGCUUUGGAGCCGACUCCUUCUUUCAAAAAAAUAAAGCAUUUAUGUUCUUGAAUUUGCUCUUCAAUCUUCAAAGUGUUAUUUUUUAUUUUUGUUAUUUUUUUUUAGAUGGUGUGACUGUACUUGAAGUUUUGACUCUUCAAGUUGCCUACGUACCCUCUGUUGAGGAGGGAUCAAGUCAUAACGUAGUUCAAAUGCAUUUUUUUUUCUUUUGUUUUUUUUUUUUGUGUGCCGUACGCAGUUUAUGCUCUUGCAGGCCAGGAGUGUGGCGUUUGUUUUAGGGAUAGUAGCACUUCAAGAAUUUGCCAUUGAUGGGACCGAUCUUCAAACCGUCUUCUGCCAUGAUUAAGUAGGCGCCAUUGGUGUAGACUUCUUGUAUUACGUAUGGUCCAUCCCAUUUUGACGUGAACUUGCUCUUUGUCUUGUGAGUUGUGAUGAUAGGCCUACGCAAUGAAAGGACAAGAUCUUCCAUUUAAAAAGAACGAGGGGAAACUUUCUUGUUGAAGGCCUUAGAGAGUCGUGUUUGAUAACACUCCAAGUGUUGCUGGGCUUCGAGUCUUUUCUCAUCCAGCGCUUCCAGCUCUUGAAGGCGCAACUUUGCAUUCUCUUCGUUAGUCAAGCCUUCUUGUAUAGCCAUCCUUAGCGAGGGGAUUUGACUUUCGAGCGGUAGAACAGCUCCCACGCCAUAUACGAGAGAAUAAGGUGUAGCUUGGGUAGGCGUUCUAUAUGUCGUCCUGUAUGCCCAAAGUGCUUCGCCUAUUCUUUCAUGUCAGUCUUUCUUUGUUCUGCCGAUUACCUUCUUCAGGAGGUUGUACAAUGUCUUGUUGAAUGCUUCUGCAAGACCGUUGGCCUAAACAUGAUACAUGGAGGAUUUGUGCUGCUUGAACUUGUAUUUCUCGCAAGGCUCGCUACAUUUUCCGAUGUCAGUGACAAUGUAGCGAGGCACACCAUAUCGGUGGAUGAUAUGUUCCUUGAUGAAAUGGACGACAGUUUCCUUCUUGACUUCUUUCAGGGGUAUAGCUUUAGCCCAUUUGGAGAAGUAAUCUGUUGCAGCCAGGAUGUAAGCUUCUCCUGCAGAUGACUUUGGCGCAAUUGGUCCUACGACGUCCAAUCCCCAUGCAUCGAAUGGCCGUGAAACAGCGGUGGGGUGUAAUGGUUCAGGCGGUUGAUGUAUGAAGUUGGUGUGAAAUUGGCAGGCUUGGCACCUUUUGGCGUGUUCUAGGCAGUCAUUUACCAUGCUUGGCCAGUAAUAACCCAUUCUUUUGAGCUGGAAAUGAAGCUUCGGUCUGGACUGAUGCGCCCCACAUAUUCCUGAGUGUGCUUUUUCCAUGGCUUGAUUGGCUUCUUCCUCACCUAGGCAUCUCAGAAGUACUCCUUCAAAAGAUCGCCGGUAGAGUGUCCCUUUGUAAUAGAGGAAGCGAUGUGCUCGUCGAUGUACUUCAGAGUAGUGUUUUGGAUCAUCUAGAAGUAUUCCAUGCUCCAAGUAGUUGAUCAGAGGCUGUCUCCAUUCUUCAACGUUGACCGAAAGUAUUGAAAUAAUGUUUGUAUCACUCAGUACCAUUUCAGUGACAAACGGGAUUACCCAUCUUUGGCAGACUGGCAUGUUUGCAGCUUCGUCUUCUCCUAAUGUCAUGCUCGAGGCUAGGUUAGCGAGAGCGUCUACCAUUUGAUUCUCUUUUCUUGGGACGAGAUCAUCUUUCCUCGCCUCAUAUUCAAUCAGGAGUUGAUUGAUUAUGAGCUUGAAGUCGCCAUAUAUCACAAGGGCUGUGAUUUCCAUCUUGGUCGCCAUUUGGAGCCCGAUGAUCAGUGCUUGGUACUCAGCGACGUUGUUGGAGCAUAAUUCGCUUAGUUGGAAUGAAUAAGGUAGUAUUUGCCUUUGUGGCGACAUGAAUACUACUCCUGCCCCUGCUCCGUCUGCUCGUGCAAAUCCGUCGAAGAACAUCGUCCAUGUUGGGAAUAUGUCGAUGUAGAACACCUCCUCGUUAGGCAAGUCGUUUGAGAUUUUCCAAUCGGCUGGGAUUGGAUGGUCGGCAAGGAAAUCUGCUAGCACUUGUCCCUUGACGGCUUUAGCUGGGACGUAGAUGAUCUCGUAUUGAUUAAGAAGCAAUGCCCAUUUAGCUAGUCGCCCUGUCAAAACUGGCUUGGACAUGACGUAUUUGACCGGGUCAGCUUUAGCAACCAAGUGGAUGGUGUAAGCAUGCAUGUAAUGUCUGAGCUUCUGGAUGGUAAACAUCAAGGCAAGGCACAUUUUUUCUAUUAGGGAGUAGUUCAACUCAGCGCCGGUGAGCGUUCGACUGAGGUAGUAAAGCGCUCAUUCUUUCUGGGAUUCGUUUUCCUAUGCCAAGAGUGCUCAAACUGAACUUUCCUGAGUAGCGAUGUACAAUAUGAGCGGUUUCCCUGGUACAGGUGCCCUCAGGACAGGUGGACUUGAUAAAUACUUCUUUAUGCUUUCAAAAGCAUUGUUGCAUUCUUUGUCCCAUAUGAACAGAACAUCUUUCUUCAUGAGUCGACUGAACAGUUGACAACGCCCUGCAAGGUUGGAGAUGAAGCGUCUGAUGAAGGCUAGCCGUCCUUGUAGACUUUUCAACUCGUGCAGGUUUCUUGGCUCGGGUAUGCUUUGAAUGGCCUUGAUCUUUGAUCGGUCCACUUCAAUGCCACGAUGCUUGACAAUGAAGCUAAGGAACUUUCCAGAUGUGACGCCAAAUGCACACUUUAACGGGUUCAUCUUGAGGUUGUAUUUUCGCAACCUUUCAAACACUACUCGCAAUCCUUCAAGUGAUCUGAUAUUUUCUUUGUCUUGACCACCACAUCGUCUACAUAGGAUUCUACGUUCUUGUGUAGCAUGUCAUUGAAGAUCUUCUGCAUUACGCGUUGAUAUGUAGCUCCAGCAUUCUUCAAACCAAAGGGCAUCACCUUGUAGCAGUAGAUACCUUUUAGAGUCCGAAAGGUUGUUAGUUCUUCAUCUUCAAGAGCCAUACGAAUUUGAUUGUAUCUAGAAGAGCCGUCCAUGAAUGAUAGUGCCUCAUGGCCAGUGGUCGCGUCCACCAUGAUUUUAAUUAUUGGCAAGGGGAAGUCAUCAUUUGGGCAAGCAUCAUUGAGGUCUCGGAAGUCUACACAAACACGUAUUUGUCUAGAUUUCUUAAAGACUAUGACGAUGUUGGAGAUCCACUUGGGGUAUUGCACCUCUCGAAUGAAGCCUGCUUCGAUCAGCUUGUCAAUCUCGGCCUCAAUUUGUGGGAUGAGCUCAGAUCGAUAGCGUCUUUGAGUUUGCUUUAUUGGUUGCAUUCCAGGUUUGACUGCAAGACGAUGCACAGCAAUGAUAGGGUCGAGGCCGGGCAUUUCCUUGUAGGUCCAAGCAAAGACGUCAUUGUACUCUAAUAGCAGCUGGUAAUACUUCUCUAUCUCGUCUGCACUUAGUAAUGCACUCACGAAGAUAGGCUUUGGUUCCUUACUUGUGCCUAAGUUGAGUUCUUUAAGAUCAUCAACUGUGGCUUGCCCCCAUCUUCGAGUUGUGACGGCGCUGCAAUAACAUCUUCCUCGAGGAUUUCAUCUUUUUCACCUUCUUGGAUUGUGAUGUGGAAGACGUCUUGGGCCUCUUCUUCGGUGUUGACCUCUCGAGCUUGUUGGUAUGAAGAUUGUCCAGUGUGGAUGAUGGUGCGCCUUUUCACUUUCAAUGAUCCAACUGUGUUAACCUCUAAAAUUGAUUGGCGCUUCAUUCUUGAAGGAAUGGAACUUCGAACGUCAUCCUUUUCUGCCAGACGAUCGAUCUUUUCUACUUCGGGUGUCGUCUUUCUCCUUCUGGAAGGCUCUUUGGCUUCUUUAAGUCUUUCCAUAACUGACUGUCGUGGAGGAAAGCUAGUCGUAUUGCUUUGCUUCUUAGGUUUCGACAACCUUUUGAAAACAAAGCUUCAAGAUGCUGACGUGUUAAGCCUUUUGAAGACAGAAGUUCUGUUUUGACCGCCAAUGAGUUUAGGUGCCGAAACUCUGGGCUUUGAACAACUCAUUCUAUCGAAUACUGACGUCUGGGGGUAGGUUUAGGCUCCUCUUUAUCUUGUAUAAUGCUCACGCUGAUGUGUUGAGUGCUAGCAUUUUUUUACCUUGCUGGAGAUCUUCACCGGUGCAUUUGGUGUGAAGCCAAGUCCAGCUUUGUUGUUGUUGACCCCGUAACCAUGCUCCUCCAACUUCUUCUGAGUUUUAGUGAGAUCACGUUCGUUGUCUUUGACGGUGUUCAAAUUCUUCUUUCCCAAAUUUGCAAAGGAGGUGAAGUUGUACUCAGCUUUCGACAUGAGUUUGUAGGCGUUUGGAUCAAAACCUUCUUCAGUCCUCUUGGUUGGGAGAAAGCUUGGUUCUACCCCCUUUGGCAAGCCUUUUAUGAAGCCUUGUGAUGGUCUUGCAACCUUAAUGUCGCCUAGCUGUGUCAGAGGCAAAACUGCAUUCGUUUUGAGCAACUUUACAUUAUCCAUGUGCCGUUGUGCACCGGUUUUGCAGGCUGCAGUUUCAAACGGGGAUUGACCAUUCUUUCUUCUCGACGUCAGGAUGUAUAGGAAAACGGGUAUGUUUGGUCCAUUUGAGGGCGUCCUACUCCAUCUGGUUGUUGCAGGUUUAGUAAGCUCAUCAUCGUUUUUGCUUGAAGAUGGCAUAGCUUCUUCUUCUUGCUUCUUAGGCAUGGCUUGCCACUCCUGCUUUUUAGGUGUUGCUUUGCCCAUAGAUUUGAUCUCUUUUGGAAGAGUUUCGGGCACCAUGUCUUCAUCCAUGUAGAACUUGGAGUCUGCGAAAUGUGAUUCGGCUUCGGUGAAUGGCUUGGUGUCACCAUAGAUCACCUUCACUCCUUCUCAGUAAAAUUUAAGCAUUGGUGAAGGGUGGACGGUACUACUCCAUUCGCAUGGAUCCAAGGCCUUCCUAAGAGCAAACUGUAGGAAAUUCUUGCAUCAAUCACGUGAAAAAUUAUGCUUGACUUGAGUUCACCAAUGGUCAUCUCCACUCGGAUCAUACCCAUCGCUCUUUGUCCUUCUUGGUUAAAACUUUGGAUUAGUAGACGGCUUAGGGAUAGUUCAUCCACCUUGAUGCCGAUUGUGGUCAUUGUUGACUUUGGCAUGAUAUUUAUGGUUGAUCCGCCAUCCACAAGCAUGCGGCUGACUUUGUGCUCCUUUACGUACCUAGAGACGAAGAGAGGACGGUUGUGAGGCUUGGAUCCUAGCAGCAAGUCUUCAUCGGUGAAGUGGAUUGUGUCCUCGGUGGCACAGCAUGUGGCACACUCGUGUGGCCGAAGCCUCAAGCCUUCGUUCUUGCUUUCUUGCACUUCGUGGUCGUUCGGACUUGCUAAAAUCGCUACCAGUGCCCUUCGUAUCUUCUUUGGCAAUUGUAGCACUUCCUCGAUGCUAAAGUGUGUUGGCAGACCUUCUUCAGGUGUAAGAGUAUUUUCUCCCUCAAUGGCGACAACUUUGCCUUUUGAGGGUUCUUCCAUUUCUACUUCGACCAUAUGACAUGCAGCGAUAGUGCACUGUUGGAAGAAGUCCUCCGAGAAGUACUCGUGCAAGGAUACGGGAAUGCGUGGCUUUUGCUCAACAGGUUCCCCAGCAUAUAUUGGCGUAACAGCUCUUAUGUUUCUUUUAGGCUUCCUAUUGCUGCGGCGGCGGUGCUUUCUCCCUUGUUCCCCCUUUGGCUUUAUAGCUUGCGAUCUCGGUUUCCUCGUCCUUUUAUAGGUCACCAAUGUCCAUUCUUUGUCAUCGUCAGUAGGUGCAUCUUGGUUGCUUGCCCCCAGUAACGGUGGUGCAGAAGGUGCAGAAGGUGCAGUGUGGUUUGAGUAUUGCCGAGCAUGGUCAAGCAUUUCUUGAAGAGGCACAGGAUCAAAGGAUCCGAACACAAUCGUAGUGGUGUGCGUUGCAGCUGUGUCUUCUAGGUCGAGCUCAAUCUACCCUUGUUGUGCCAAUUUCAUGAUGAGUUCUUUUAGGAUGAAACACUUACCCACCUGAUGACCCACGAUACGAUGGUACUUGCAGUACUUGGGAUCAUUGAUACGAUUCAUCUCUUCGGGGCGUUUGCAUUCGGGCAACUCAAUCACCUUCUUCUCCAGCAGGUCGUCCAGCAUUGCGUCCAUGUCGGAGUCCGGAAAAGGGUAUACCUUCUGCUCCAGUUCCCUCAAGGUGUUUUUGUACCUAUCUUGGGUGUGGGAAGGCUCACUUCUUUUUAUCUCAUUUGCUUUGUUACUGAAGGAGAUUUUGACGGGUGCGAACGAGGUCUUGAUAGGGGUGGUAUUGGUGGUAAAAGUUUCCUUGGCGGGCUUUUUCCCAUGAUUGUCUACUCUUGAAGUAAACACCUCAUCCCUUUUGAAAUCGGUGAUUGGCUCUUUUUUUCCAUGGUGAGCGAUGCUCAGCUCCAUAUCGUGGGCACGGGUGGCUAAUUCUUCAAAAGUCUGUGGUUUGAUACCUUGAAGGAUGUAUUGUAAACCCCAUUGCAUGCCCUAGAUGCACAUCUCGAUUGAAGAAAUCUCGGAGAGCCUGUCCUUACAGUCGAGGCUUAGAUUACGCCAUCGGUUGAUGUAGUCCAUGAUUGGUUCUUCCCUCCAUUGCUUCGUGCUCGUCAACUCUAGCAUGCUCACAGUGCGGCGGGUACUGUAGAAGCGGUUGAGGAAUUCCCUUUCCAACUGUUCCCAGCUGUUGAUGGACUCGGGCUCCAGGUCUGUGUACCACUCAAAGGCGUUUCCUUUUAACGAGCGUACAAACUGCUUGGCGAGGUAAUCUCCUUCCAUCUUUGCAUUGUUGCAGGUUUCGACGAAAUGUGCGACAUGUUACUUAGGGUUUCCUUUUCCGUCAAAUUGCAUAAACUUCGACGGUUGAUAACCCAUCGGCAUCCUUAAGGCAUCGAUCUUCCUGGAGUAAGGCUUCGAGUACAACAUGGAGGCAUGUGAGCUCCCUUCGUACUGCGCCUUGACGGUGUUGGCGAUCAUCUCCUACAACUGCUUGAUGGAAAGAGAUCCCAUGAACGCUGUUGUCUGGUCUAGCUUCAGCUUUUCUUCAGCUUUCUCCACUAUAGGCUCAUCUUUUUCAUCGUUUUCCUUCUUCAGAUGAUCAAUCUUUGGGUUGGGUUUCUCAUCAUCCAGCGCCUCCAGUCGGUUGACGAGUGCUGCAAUUUGCAAGUCUUUUUCUUCCACAGUUCAGGUUACCCUUGCAAUUGCUUCAUUCAUCUGAGCCAGCUGCUCAUCAAUUGAAGUUGCUCCGGUAGCUAUAACUUGCAUGGUUGUGCUGUCGCUUGAGUCAGCAUUGGAAAACAAAGACUCGGAGUACUUCCUCUGGCUUUCCUUCCUUGGCGGCCUUAGCGAGGCUAGGGUGAUCACAGGUUCGUGCCUCGGGUGCUCUUGUUCCUUCGGCAGGGUUUAUGCAAGGAUGGAAGAGGAGGCAGCAAGAGCUCUUGCCUUGCUUCGAGUUAUGAUGCCCAAAAUGGCGCCGCCUGCGGCAAGGAUGCUCUUGUUCUUCGCGUUGGUUGUGGGAACAACUUGAGCCUUCCUUGAUGCCAUUGAUUUUGGAAGUGUGCUUAAAUUUCUUGAACGGAGAAAGAGAUGAAAGGUAGAGAUCAUCCCACUGGGCGUGCCAAAUUUGUAAACACGAAAUUUUCCUGAAACAAACGAGACAAGAACACGUGCACAAAAUAAUAUUUGUAUUUGAUGAUUUUGGGUUACAAUCUCUCUCUAAUUUGAUCCUCUGAUUCGAUCUCCGUAAUGUGUGUAUUUGUCGAUGUUGUUGAUCCAAAUGGCCGUUGGGGCUUGAUCUUAGGAUGAACGAAUGAUGAACGAUGAACGCUUUCUUCAAGGCUUUUAGGGCUUGAUCUUGAAGAACUGUUGAUGAACGGAUCUUCAAGGGCCUUUGGGGCUUAAUCUUGAUGAAUAGUUGAUGAAUGGAUCUUCAAGGGCUUUUGGGCUUGAUCUUGAAGAACAGUGAUGAACGGAUCUUCAAGGGCUUUUGGGCUUGAUCUUGAAGGACGGUUGGAUGUGUGGAUUUGUCGACGUUGUUGAUCCAAAGGGUUGUUGGGGCUUGAUCUUAGGAUGAACGGAUGAUGAACGAUGAACACUUUCUUCAAGAGUCGUCGGGGCUUGAUCUUGAAUUGGUGGAAGUUCUUCAAGGGCCCGUCGGGGCUUAAGCUUGAAGGCGGAUUUGGCGAAGAACGAAGAGAGUUUUCUCGAUCCUUCGGAAUUUGCUUGAGAGCUUUAGAGUUUCAAAGCUUCAAGGUUUUGGUGUAAUAUCAAUUGGUCCCCCCGAAAUGAAUGAAAUUGGCUUCUAUUUAUAGAAUUUUCCAAGGCCUAAUUUUGAAUAUAAUAUUCAGAUGAAAUAAAUCGUUUCUGCCAGGUGUUGACACGUGUCCUGCUUGAUGACUUUUCUGAUUUAUUUUGAUUUUUCAUUUAGUCACACUCUACGUGUAAAAUUUAUAUGACACGUGAGCAUUGAAAUUGUAACUAUUGGUCAACAUUUAUUUCACCGAAAUUUCGAUGUCUACAGACAUAUUUAUCCCUAUUCUUUGACUUAUUUAUCCCCAUUCGUAAGGUUUUUUGUUGUAAUUCAGAGUUUUUAGAGGGUUGUAGUUGUCUUUUCAGCCUAAUUUAUUUUUCAUUUCCAAAUUAGCUAAAUUGAGGAUUUUAAGGUUUUAUAGCCAAAAUGGUCCCUGAGAUUUGCAUAACACAUAACUUUAGUCCCUAAGAUUGAAAAUCAAUAGAAAUGGUCCCUAAGAUUGUCCACCAUCUAUUAUUUUGGUCAUUCCGUUAAAAAACUCUGUUAAGUGGUCUCGAAGCUCAUACCGGAAACUGGGAUUUUUAGCUUGAAUUUGGGCAAUUUUCAAAGUUUCGUAACUCAAUUGUUUCUUAACCAAAUUCGACCCAUAAUAUAUUAAAAUGAAGAUAGGAAAGUGUAGAACAAGAUUAUACCUAUUUGGAAGCCCAAUGGUUGCCAAAGAUGGUCGGAACAUAUCCUAAAAGGUGAUUGGUCCGCGGAAAAAUUGGGAAACUUGCCAGAAAUUGGGUAAACUUUAAAUGUUCAUAACUUCUUCAAUACUUAACAAAAUCAAGUGAUUCAAACAAAAAUCAUACUUCUCGAUGAGACAAAGAGAAUGGUACCUUUCUCCACGACUCGCUCGUCGUGGUUUGGUCGAAAAACUGCUCAAAAACGGCUAACUAUAGACCAAAACAACCACUUUCAAGCCAUUUUUCGGCCAAACCACGAUGAGUUAGCCAUCGAGAAAUCCAUCAUUCUCUUAUUCUCAUCAGGAAGUAUGAUUUUUGGUUUUGAAUCACUCGAUUUCGUUGAGUAUUGAAGAAGUUAUGAACAUUUAAAGUUUACCCAGUUUUCGGCAAGUUUUCUAGUUUUGCUGCGAACCAGUCACCUUUCAGGCUAUUUUUCAGCCAAAUCAUAGUGGAUUAGCCAUCAAGAAAGGUACCAUUCUCUUUUUAUCAUCGAUAAGUAUGAUUUUUAUUUUUGAAUCACUCGAUUUCGUUGAGUAUUGAAGAAGUUAUGAACGUUUAAAUUUUACCCAGUUUCCGAUGAUUUUCCAGUUUUCCCGCAGACAAGUCACCUUUCUGGCUAUUUUCCGGCCAAACCAUGGUGAGUUAACCAUCAAGAAUAUUCUCUUCGUCUCUUCAAGAAGUAUGAUUUUCGUUUUUGAAUCACUCGAUUUCGUUGAGUAUUGAAGAAGUUAUAAACAUUUAAAUUUUACCCAGUUUCUGGUGAGUUUUCUAGUUUUCAUGUUGAUCAGUCACCUUUCAAGCUAUUUUCCGAAAAAAAAAUUGUGAGUUAGCCAUUGAGAAAGGUACUAUUCUCUUCAUCGAGUCAAGAAAUAUGAUUUUUGUUUUUUAAUCACUUAAUUUCGUUGAGUAUUGAAGAAGUUAUGAACGUUUAAAGUUUAUCCAGUUUUUGGCCAGUUUUCCAGUUUUCCAGCUGACCAGUCAUCUUUCAGGCUAUUUUCCGGCCAUCUCUGGCAACCAUUGGGCUACCAAAUAGGUAUAAUCUUGUUCAACACUUUCCUUUCUUCAUUUUGAUAUCUUAUGGAUCAAAUUUGGUUAAGAAACGAUUGAGUUACGAAGCUUUGAAAAUUGCCCAAACUUCCGUCCAAAAAUCUCAGCUUCCGGUAUGAGCUCCGAGACCACUUAACAGAGUUUUUAACGGAAUGACCAAAAUAAUGGAUGGUGGACAAUCUCAGGAAGCAUUUCUAUUGAUUUUCAAUCUUAGGAACUAAAGUUAUGUGUUAUACAAAUCUCAAUGACCAUUUUAGCUAAAAAACCGGAUUUUAAUUAUCUAUUGUAUUGACCACUUUAUCCAUCAAGUAUUAACAAUAUAUCGACAAAGUCCCAAAAAUUGAUCAUUCAAUUGAUUUGUGUUUUCAUGUGUUAGGCCUUCGACUAAUUUCUCCUUUUUUAUUUAUUGGUUGAUGACAUGUAAUGCUUGAUUUCAUGUUUAAUGAGUAAUUAUUUACAUGAUAGUUUUAUCGUAAAUGUCAUAAUUUGAAUUGUUUAUUUUCUUUAUUAUCAUUCAAAUGUCACCUCUAAACAAUUUCAUUCAAUAUGAAAACUACUAAGUUGACAGUUAAUCAUAAAAUAUUACUUAUUAUCAUAAACAUCGAUUUGUUCAAAACAUACAAAUGACAAAACAAUCUCCAAGUUAAAUGAAUGAUCUUUAGAUGAUGAUAAAGAAAUGAACGGUUUGGAUUAUAAAGUUUGUAUGAUAAAACAAUGUCACAUUAUCAUGUCAAGAGGAAUGUCUUCUUGCAAAGUAUUAACCACGUUUAACAUAUUAGCUCAUGCCUUCAUAAUUUGUUUCAACUUGUUUUCACUUUCAAAAUUUUGUUUCCAUUCUUUUUUCUUAUUUUCCCCUUUCUCUCAUCACCCUUCUUUGUUCACCAAGCCUUUCAUAAAUAAAAAGAAAAUCCGAUCCACUUACUUUCAGCUAAGAAUAUAUAGAAAUGUUGAACUAAAUAUAUGCAUAUUUAAACGGUUUUGGUUAACUCAAAAAAAAUAUCCCUACCGUAUUUUGAUAAUCCAUAUUAUUCCAUUUCUCUAAUAGUGUGAGACUUACUUCUAUUGGUCGAUCACACCUAUACUUAUAAUAAACCAGUAAUAUAUAUGAUCUACCAAAUUAUAAUUUCCCUACCAUUAUUCUAACCAAAAACCCUAGUUCAUACAAAGUGAAAAUGUCACUUUUUUCUUUCUCUAGUAGUUUCUCUCCUUUUUGGUACCAAAUUUAGCCUCUAGGACGUUCUACAGUCCAUAACUUGGACUUAUAUUAGUGGGAAAUUAAAGAAACAAUUGCAUCAGCUAGAUUAGGCUACUCUUUGUUUUGUUGUUGGAAAUAAUCCUCUUCCCCUUGAAACGUUUGUAAACUUGGUGAACCAACGAAACUUAUGAGUUGGUAUACAAAUGUCAUGCAAAUUAAGUACCUGGCAUACACAUGUCUAUCCUCUUUUUUCUUCUUUGGACUAUCAUAUACGUAUUAAAUGUACAUAUACGAAUUGAUGCAUACAUACAUAUGUAUAUAUGAUACCAAAUGGGGCAGAAGUGGGAGCAAAUGAGAUUCAUAUGUGGGAUUAAUCGAACUAACAAAGCACGGAACCAAUUUGUGAUAAAUGAAUAAAAAGAAAUGUAUGAAAGAUUGAUAUGUGUUUACCUUGAACUUGAGAUAUUCACUAAAUUGACUGAGAGUAAGAAUUAUAUGCCAAUUGAAAUCAAUUGUUAUGAAAAUAUUCAUAAUGAAAAUAAAGAAUUCAAAAUAAUGAUGCAAAUAUAAUUUGAAACUAAGUUUUAUUGCAAAACUUACACUGGGACUUACAAUUGAUUUACUGACGAUUGAGUCAACAAAUAAGAAGGUGACUGAUGAAAAGGACAUUGGUGCACGCAUGCAUCCUUGACAUUUGAAAAUUGAAAGUGUUUACAAUUUUUUAUUUCUUUGAAUACAAUGUGAACUCAAAGAAAGUUUUAACUGGGAAAAAUGUGGAAAAUUAACUUGCUUUCUCUUUCUCCGAGUCUUCCUCUUAUAGACAUGGAAAAGGAGACUUUAAUGAUUGAUUUCUUCACUAUUGAAGCACAUGAUGGAAGAUGAUUUGCAUUUACUGUUGAUGAAUAGUGAAUUUGUCAAAAUAAUUGUUGCUUUUACUGUGGAGCAUGCUGAGUGAUUUCUGCUGAUUGAAUGAUUCCUUGCUUUGUCGGAAUGAUUGAUGCGAAUAAUAACUGAAUGCUUCACAUGGUGACUUACUGCGUUCACAUGGCUUGAUUUGUUGUUUCACAUGGUGCCUUGAAAUUAUGAACACGGAAAAUUCCUGAAACGAAAGAGACAAGAACAACGCGCACAAACAAAUAUUUGUAUUUGAUGAUUUUGGGUUACAAUCUCUCUCUAAUUUGUCCUCUGAUUCGAUCUCCGUAAGGUGUUGAUUUGUGGGAUGUGCGAUUGAUCCAAGGGCCGUCGAGGCUUGAUCUUGGAUGAACGAGGAUGAACGGAUCUUCAAGGGCUUUUGGGCUUGAUCUUGAAGAACAGUGAUGAACGGAUUUCCGAGGGCUUUUGGGCUCGAAAAGAUCUUCGAGAGCUUUUGGGCUUGAUCUCGAAGAACAGUGAUGAACGAUGAACGCUUCCUUCAAGGGCCGUCGAGGCUUGGGCUUGAUGAACAGCGGAUGAGCGGAUUCGUUGAUGUUGUCGAUCCAAAGGGGCCGUUGGGGGUUGAUCCUUGAGGAUGAACAGUUGAUGAACGAUGAACGCUUUCUUCAAGGGCCGUCGGGGCUUGAUCUUGAAGGUGGAUGAACGAAGAACGAAGAAGGCUUUCUUGAUUCUUCGGGAACCUGGAUGCUUGAGAGCUUCGGAGUUUCAGAGUUUCAGAGUUUCAGAGCUUCAGAGCUUCAAGGUGUCAUAUGAAUUGGUCCCUUUAAUGAAUGAAAUGGGCUUGUAUUUAUAGAAUUUUCCAAGGCCUAAUUUUGAAUAUAAUAUUCCAGAUGAAAUAAGUCGUUUCUGCCAGGUGUUGACACGUGUCCUAUUUGAUGACUUUUCCAACUCAUUUCAAUUUUCGUUGAGUCACACGCUACGUGUAAAAUUUAUGUAAUACAUGAGCGUUGACACUUUGAUUUAUCGGUCAACAUUUAUUUACCGAAAUUUCGAUGUCUACAAAUGCCCCCACUUCAAGGCACGUCGUAUACAUGUGCUUGUCACGUGUAGGAGAUGCGUUUUGAAGUCCCCUAAUUGUAUAUGUCGAUCCAAGGGCCGUCGAGGCUUGAUCUUGAAUUGGGCUGGAUCUCUUCAAGGGCCGUUGAGGCUUGAUCUUGAAUUGGGCUUGAGAUUUCUUCAAGGGCCGUUGAGGCUUGAUCUUGAACUUUGUUUGAAAUUUCUUCAAGGGCCGUCGAGGCUUGAUCUUGAAGGUUGAAAUAGGACCACAAGGAGCUUCAUGUGGUAGAUGAUCUUUGGCUUUGGUAGUGGGUGAAUCGGCACGUAUUUUGUUGCGCUUGUUGACUUUCCACAGCUUUGAUCUUGAACUGGGUUGGAGGAUUUUCUGGCUUCCUCCAAUUGUUGAUUUUCCACAGCUUAUUCUUGAACUAGGUUUUGAUUCAAGGGUGGUAGACACUUGAUCUUGAAUCAGACUUGUGAUUUCUUCCAGGGCCGUCGAGGCUUGAUUUCGAAUUUGGCUGAAAGCUUCUUCAAGGGCCGUUGAGGCUUGAUUCUUGAAGGUUGACUCGAACACAUGACAAGCAGGCACGAGGUAAAGGUGACAACCUGUUUCUUUGUUCAAUCUUUCUAAUUCACACCUAAGCGGUUUGGUCAAUGGUAUGAUCUUCAAGAUUGAUGAACUCUUCUUCCAGUUGGUGACUUGAUCUUUAAGGAUUCGAUUCAAGGGUGGUGAAUCGGCACGUGCAGCCCACAACGCCUAGUAAGUCGACCCAAGAAUUUGAGGGUCAAAACAAGUUCACUGUCCUCAGGCAGAUGCGACAUCUUCUCGAGUUCUUCAUCUCGGACUCUUUCUGCUGAGUUGACUGUGCAUGCUGCAUUCUUCUCUGCUUGUUUCUUCAGGCAGAUAUGGCAGCUUCUCGAGUUCCUCAGUUCGGACUCCUUCUGCUGAGUUGACCGUGCAGACCGCAUUCUUCUCUGCUUGUUCCUUUUGCACCUUGUCUCCACAUGCUGCAAGGUAUCAUUUUCACUUGCCUUAUCUGUUCUUCAGGCAGAUGUGGCAGCUUCUUUGAAAGUACAGCAGCAGUGGAAGGCGAGUACUCGAGAGCAGUGCUGGGUAGGCAAUCAGGGAAGGGUUCCAAGCAGUCGGUUCCUUACCCGAGUUUGAGUGGAAGUUCCGGCAUAUUGUUUUCUUUAUCCUUGUCUUUGUAGGUAAGAACAAGGACAAAGGAAAGGACAGGGAGAACGCAUGAUAUGAGAUACUCUUGCUUUCUACCUUGGUGAUAUGAGAUACUUUUGCUUUGGAGUCAUUGGCUUGUAGAGGUACCCCAAGGAAUAAGGAACACUGGGUAACUCAAGAGGCUUCGUUAGGAAGGCAUUCUCAGAGAUGAAGAAAGGUUCUGUAUGUCUGCCUUGUUAUGGAGGGUGAAGAUGGACAGUUAUAGGAAGUUCUUUAACACAUGUAGAUGUACUAUUCUUUCACUCGUGUCGGCAACCGUUGGAUGAUUGAACAGUAUACUUCACGUGCUUUCUCCUUCACCGAAAAUCUUCGACAAAUUGCCCGUGAUUUUUGCCAAGCUGAGUGUGCAUGUGACAGGUGUUGACGCGGCUGAAAAAAGGAUGGCGCCUCUUCGAUAACUGGGAUCGGCGCUUCGACAAAUUACCCGUGAUUUCCGCAAAGCUGAGUUUGCGUGUGAUGGGUGAUGACGUGGCUGAAAAAGACUGGCGACUCUUCGAUAUCUGGGAUCGGUGCUUCGACAAAUUGCCCGUGAUUUUCGCAAAGCUGAGUUUGCGUGUGACGGGUGCCGACGCGUCUGGAAAAGCAAGAUGCUUCUCCGAUUUCUGAGCUUGCCUCUUCGAUUUUUGAAUGGCCUCUUCGAAUUCUGAGCUCGCCUCUUCGAUCUCUGAAAUCCCAUCAAGUGCUGAUUUUUUAUAGAGGCACGCUGUUCGUUUCAAAGCACACUUGAAUUUUCGCUUGUGAAAACUCCCUUCUUGCACUUCUAAGAUCUUGAUUUGUCUGAUCUCUUCUUUCUUCAAUACUUUGAAAAUGUCUGGACCCUCCGACCAUCGUUUUGACUUGAAUCUUGGUGAAGAGGCAGUCCCGCCUUCUCCAGACAACAUAUGGCGCCCAUCCUUCAUAUCCCCUACUGGUCCUCUUACCGUUGGGGAUUCGGUGAUGAAGAAUGAUAUGACCGCUGCGGUGGUGGCCCGGAACCUUGUCACUCCCAAAGAUAACAGACUGUUUUCCAAGCGGUCUGAUGAGUUGGCUGUUAAGGAGUCUCUGGCCCUUAGUGUGCAGUGCGCGGGUUCUGUGUCCAACAUGGCCCAACGCCUAUUUGCUCGAACCCGUCAAGUUGAAUCGUUGGCGGCUGAAGUGAUGAGUCUCAAACAGGAGAUUAGGGGGCUCAAGCAUGAGAAUAAACAGCUGCACAAGCUUGCACACAACUAUGCCACCAACAUGAAAAGGAAAAUUGACCAGAUGCAGGAAUCUGAUGGUCAGAUUUUACUUGAUCAUCAGAGGUUUGUGGGUUUGUUCCAGCAGCAUUUGCCUUCUUCUUCUGGGGCUGUACCGCGUAAUGAAGCCUCAAAUGAUCAACCUUCAGUGCCUCCUUCUCCUGGGGUUCCGCCGAGUACUGAGGCGCCACCUGAUCGUCCUUGAAGAUACCCUCUUGUAAAUUUGAUUUGAUUUUUUUUUUUUUUUUUUUAAGGUAUGUAUAAUGCAAAUUUAUGUAAAAUUUCCAGAAAAAUAAAUAAAAUGGACUUCUAUUUCUCUCAAUGCAUUUUUUUUUUUUUGCUAUAUACAUACAUAUAUUAUGUACAUACAUGUAUAUGUAUAUUUACAUGGUGCAAUCCGCACCAUCCCACCUUCCUACUUGCUUUCCCUUUUUUUAUUCUUUAAUUUUUUAUUUUUUUAUUUUAGGUAUGGUGCCAGAUCAAUCCAGAUUUCCCUUUUUUUUUUUUUUUAUUAUACUUUCCUUUCCUGCGGUGCCAGAGGCACCAUUCCUUCUCCCUUUUUUAUUUGUAUAUAUAUAUAUAUAUAUAUUUUUUUUUUUCUUCGGUGGUACUCACACAUGGUGCCAUGAUGAAUCAAGAUUCCAUUUUUUUUUUUUUUUUCACAUGGUGCCAGAGCACCAAAGACUCCACCAUCCCUUCUUUUAUUCUUCUGGCAUACAUGUGUAUAUAUAUAUAUAUAUAUAUAUAUAUAUAUAUAUAUAUAUAUGUAUUUAUAUAUAUAUGUAUAUAUAUAUGGAUGGGGAAUAGCAUGGAGGAAGGCAAGGGCUGAGGUCGUUGCGGCAGAGACGGCAAUGAUGCACAGAAGCUGGAGCAGCGGGAGAAGCAUAGCCGUGAAGUUUGGACGGAAGAGGUGAUAACGCCGGCGUUUUGGGGCUGCUGGUCGGAGAACUCCUCGAGGAAGGUGAUGACGUGGAGCUUGAGGGACUCGAGCUUGAAGUGGAUGAGGGCGGACGGGACGGGAGAUUUGCAGGAGGAGGCGCUCGUGAACACCAGCAUCUCCAGCGACCCUUGGAAUUGCCGUCAGCGCCUUUAGCACUAUGUGCGCUCCGUACUACUUGGAGCUCAGCUUGCUCCCUACCGCCGCGCAUCCGGAUGUAGCCCCGACAAUUGUCAGCAUAGCUGCAAACGCAGAGACAGCGUCAUGAAGAUACAGCUAGAGGCAAGGGAUGACCCACUAUCUUCUCUUCUACUGCGGCAUCUGCCGGUCUUGUAUCUGUUGCUAUGUUCAUAUUCUCCGCCGCUGUUGUAAGCACCGCGACAAUCGAACAACGUCGUAGCUUGUUGCGUUCAUGCACAUGCCUUGGCCGAGCCAUAAUUGUCGUUACAAAGCUCCAGCCAACAUCACAAACACAAAUCUCAGCGUCGUCGAUGUUGGACAGUUAUUGCUGGGAGCUAGAGCGCCGAGAAAGACUACGUUCGCCGGUGAAAUCCGUUCGGGUUCUGAUUGUUUUUUUUUUUUUUUUUUUGGCCAUCGUGCGGUGGUUUGGAUAGACAUGAAGAGUUAGCGACACUGAUGCCAUUUUUUGCACUCGAGGAACUCUCCGUGAAGCGGCUCUGCGGUAUCCACAACAGCUCAUACAUGUUCUGCGCAAAAGCCAUGAACGCCGUCUUUGAGCACUUCAGGGUUCGAGGAGCACUAAGGCAUGAGAGGUUUCUGCAGCGAAUCGAGAUCAGGACCAAAGCGUCGUCAUCCAGGCUGAUCGAAGCGAAGCGGGCGAAGAGAGCAAGCUCCAGUUCCUGUCCAAAAUUUUUUUUUCAGAGGUGGCGACGUCUUUGAGGCCAGUAAGUGUGACUUGACAAACUUUGGUUUUGUUAAUCACAUUCAAAGGCAGCAGCAGAGCAACAAGUGACGACGUUCCCCAUCUUCAUCAGCACGGAAUGCAGCAGCAGCAGAGCAGCAUGUAAGCACGGAAUGCAGCCCCAUCUUCAUCAGUACCAUCACUGCCAUAAAACGACGGCGUUCCCUCGUCCAAUUCUCUGUAGCAAUCGAAUACGCUUUUGGGAAUCCAAAAUGAUUUGGUGGAGAUUGGCGAAAGUUUUAAAAUACUGGCGCAGGUGCUCCGAGGGAGUGCAUGAGACAUGGAUGGUGACGGAGCGAACGCCAAGGUCGUGAGUAGCGGAGAAUGCGCAGAUCGAGGCCGUGGUUCUGGGCCUGACCUGGUCUUGAAGCUGUUGACGAUGAGCAGGAGAGACUGGUGGAGAUGAAGGCUUGAAGCUGAGUGAGGGUGGGCUUUGAGAGCCGGGCCCGGAUUUGUAGCUGGGCUUUGGGUUUAGUGGUGCCUGCUGCUGAGAAGCCUCAUUCUGGCCGUCUGCUAGGUCUCGUCUACAUUUUGCUAAUCAUCCAUGGAAGCUGCUUGUAUUUAGCCCACAACUUUCUGACUUGAUCCUGGAUCCGGACCCGCGAGUUUUUGCUUCUUGCUCGGGUGCUCGCACCCGCUUAGUUCGCUCAUGGCGGCCGUGCGAAGGAAAGAAGGUGGAGAUUGCGGUGGAGAGGUCAGGGACUUCACCGGAGAUGGCGUUGUUCUGGAGGUCGAGCUUCGAAUCUCUCUGCACACCCAUUUUCAAAAGCUUCAUCUGGUAUGGACUCUGUGAAAUUGAGGAAGGCUUGGGCUUGGAUUUGUAGUAGGUGAACUUGGGUCUUCUUCUUGGAGCUGGAUUUGGCCAUUAGGAUUGGGCUUGGACAACCUCCUUUUGAUGGGCUUAUUGCUGCUAGAUGGAGGACAUACAUACAUACAUACAUACAUAUAUAUAUAUAUAUAUAUAUGUGUAAGGAAUAUGUUCCUUUUCUUUUUUUUUCUUUUUUUUUUUUUUAAUACAUAAAACAUAUGUAUUUUAUUUUAUUUUUUCUCUAUUUUUUUUGUAAAUACAUAAAACAUGUAUCUUUUUUUUUUUUUUUUUGUAAUAAAAUUGACUCUAUUUAAUAAAACAUUUUUUUUUAUUUUGAUGUGACUGAACUUGAAAUUGAAUAUUCAAGCUGCCUACGUACCCUUCCAAAGAAAGAGAUCAAGUCAAAACGUAGUUCAAAUACAUACAUAUUUUUUGGUAUUUUCUUUUUGUGCCGUUUGCAGUUUUAACUCAUGCAGGCAAGGAGUGUUGGUGCCAUGUUGCAGUUUCAACUCAUGCAGGCAAUGAGCGUUUGGUGUCGUAUGCAGUUUCAACUCGUGCAGACAAGGAGCAUUUGGUGUUGCCUUUUAUGCUCGUGCGGAUCAGGAGCGUUGAUGUCGCAUUUUAUGCUCGUGCGGAUCGGGAGCGUUGUGCCAUGUAGUUUAGGCUCGUGCAGGCGAGGAGCCUCGUGUCCUACAGUUUAGGCUCGUGCGGACAAGGAGCUUUGGUUCGUGCAGUUUAGGCUCGUGCGAACAAGGAGCAUUGUGUCUUGCAGUUUAGGGUCUUACAGACAAGGAGCUUUGUGUCUUGCAGUUUAGGCUCUUACAGACAAAGAGCUUUGGUUCGUGCAGUUUAGGCUCGUGCGAACAAGGAGCAUUGUGCCAUGCAGUUUAGGCUCGUGCAGGCGAGGAGCAUUUGUGAAUUUUGUCAAGCAAUCCGGGAGAGGCGUUCCUCACAAUUUUCAUAGCAAGGAGCUUUGACCGCGUGAUUGAAGAAGUCUUCGGGCAAGAAGUCACGCAUCGUGAUGGCAACGGACGAUUUUUGUGUCGCAAUUUCAUCAUCUUCAACACGUUCACGUUGCUUUGAAGGUUGACAAGAGCUGCUUUGCCCCCUUUCCGAUUGGCGGACUUGUGGAGGAGACGUAUGCUUCUUGUGCAAUUUCUUAGGAGUGACUUGAGUCCAUCCUUCAAUUUUGCUUGUCUUGGAGGAUGCCCCCAGCGGUUGAGGUGAAAACUUUGAGUCGGAAGAGCCAGAAGUGAAGGUGGUAUAGUUUGACUUCGCCACUUCGUCAAGAUCUAGCUCGAUGAUUCCUUUCUGAGCCAGCUUUAUGAUGAGAUCUUUCAGCACGAAACAUUUUUCUGUCGGAUGACUGAUGAAGCGGUGGAAUUUACAGUACCUUGGACUGUCGGUGCGAUUCAUCUCUUCUGGCCGUUUGCACUCAGCUCAGGCAAGCCUAUCACCUUCUUUUCCAGCAAGUCUUCUAACAUGGCAACCACAUCAGAGUCGGGGAAUGGAUAAGUUUUCUCCUCAAGCUCCUUCAAAGUGUGUCUACGCAUCUCUUGAUCACGAAAGCCUUCGGCUUGAAUCGCCUUGCCUCGUGUAGGGAUUUUGACGGGAGCUGUGUUGACCGUCAUUGCUUCCUUGGUGGGUUUCCACGUAGCCUUCUCCACCUUUGGCCCAAGAACUUUGUCGUUUUUUGUAGUCGGCGAUCGGUUCCUUCUUCCCAUGAUGGGCGAUGCUCAACUCCAUGUCAUGGGCGCGAGUGGCCAAUUCCUCGAAAGUCCGUGGUUUAAUGCCUUGAAGGAUGUAUUGCAAACCCCAUUGCAUGCCUUGGAUGCACAUCUCGAUUGAAGAGGUUUCCGAGAGCCUGUCUUUAUAGUCGAGGCUUAGAGUGCGCCAUCUGUUGAUGUAGUCAAUGACUGGCUCGUCCUUCCACUGCUUUGUGCUCGUUAGCUCUAGCAUGCUCACAGUGCGGCGGGUGCUGUAGAAGCGGUUAAGGAAUUCCCGUUCUAAUUGCUCCCAGUUGUUGAUGGACUCAGGCUCUAGGUCUGUGUACCACUCAAAGGCAUUUCCUUUCAGCGAGCGCACAAACUGCUUGGCGAGGUAGUCUCCCUCCGUCCCCGCAUUGUUGCAAGUUUCGACGAAAUGUGCAACGUGCUGCUUUGGGUUUCCUUUUCCAUCAAACUGCAUGAACUUUGGUGGUUGAUAACCCCUUGGCAUCUUUAAGGCAUCAAUCUUCUUGGAAUAGGGCUUCGAGUAGAACAAUGAGGUUUGUGAGCUCCCUUCGUACUGUGCCUUGAUGGUGUUGGUGAUCAUCUCCUGCAGCUGCUGGAUAGAAAGAGAUCCCAUGAGUGCCGCUGCUUGGUCUGGCUCCGGCUUCCCAUCGAUUUUCUUCACCGGGGGUUCUUCAUCUCCGCCAGCUCCUCCCUUUAGUGGAUCAUCCUCUGGGUCGGGUUUAUCGCCGUCUUGCGCGCCUCCAAUCGGUUGACUAGUGCUGCAAUUUGCAAGUCUUUUUCUUCCACAGUUCGGGUUAGCCUUGCGAUUGCUUCAUUCAUUUGAGCCAGCUGCUCAUCGAUUGAAGUUGCUCCAAUGGUCAUGACUUGCAUAGCUGAACUGUCACUUGAAUCGGCAUCGGAGAGCAUGGAUUCGGAGUAUUUCCUUGGGCUUUCCCCCCUUGGUGCCCUUAGUGAGGCUAAGGUGAUCAAAGGCUCGUGUCUUGGGUGCUUUUGUUCCCUUGGCAGAGUUGAUGCGGAGGUGAAAGAGGCGGCAGAAGUAGCUCUUGCCAUGCUUCGAGUCGUGAUGCCCAAAGUGACACCAGUUGCGACGAGGACGUUUUUGUUCUUUGAGCCGGUUGCGGGAACAGUUUGAGCCUUCCUUGAUGCCAUUAAUUUUAGAAGUGAGCUUGAAUUUCUUGAACGGAGAAAGAGAUGAGAGGCAGAGAUUAUCCCACCGGGCGUGCCAAUUUGUGAACACGGAAAAUUCCUGAAACGAAAGAGACAAGAACAACGUGCACAAACAAAUAUUUGUAUUUGAUGAUUUUGGGUUACAAUCUCUCUCUAAUUUGUCCUCUGAUUCGAUCUCCGUAAGGUGUUGAUUUGUGGGAUGUGCGAUUGAUCCAAGGGCCGUCGAGGCUUGAUCUUGGAUGAACGAGGAUGAACUUAUCUUCAAGGGCUUUUGGGCUUGAUCUUGAAGAACAGUGAUGAACGGAUUUCCGAGGGCUUUUGGGCUCGAAAAGAUCUUCGAGAGCUUUUGGGCUUGAUCUCGAAGAACAGUGAUGAACGAUGAACGCUUCCUUCAAGGGCCGUCGAGGCUUUUGGGCUUGAUCUGAACAGUGAUGAACGCUUUCUUCAAGGGCCGUCGAGGGAUGUUGAUGAACAGCGGAUGAGCGGAUUCGUUGAUGUUGUCGAUCCAAAGGGGCCGUUGGGGGUUGAUCCUUGAGGAUGAACAGUUGAUGAACGAUGAACGCUUUCUUCAAGGGCCGUCGGGGCUUGAUCUUGAAGGUGGAUGAACGAAGAACGAAGAAGGCUUUCUUGAUUCUUCGGGAACCUGGAUGCUUGAGAGCUUCGGAGUUUCAGAGUUUCAGAGCUUCAGAGCUUCAAGGUGUCAUAUGAAUUGGUCCUUUUAAUGAAUGAAAUGGGCUUGUAUUUAUAGAAUUUUCCAAGGCCUAAUUUUGAAUAUAAUAUUCCAGAUGAAAUAAGUCGUUUCUGCCAGGUGUUGACACGUGUCCUAUUUGAUGACUUUUCCAACUCAUUUCAAUUUUCGUUGAGUCACACGCUACGUGUAAAAUUUAUGUAAUACAUGAGCGUUGACACUUUGAUUUAUCGGUCAACAUUUAUUUACCGAAAUUUCGAUGUCUACAGAAAUGAUGACUCAAAUUUUCACACGGUGACUGACAUGGUGUUCACAUGGCUUUAUGCAAAUGUGUCUUGAGAAUCCUGGUAGUUGGCCCAUCUAGCUAUUUGGCUUUUUGGAUAUACUGGUUGCUAUGAGGAUGCAUUUGAAGACUUUGAGUCUAAAGCUUCCUCAUCUUCAGUGUGGAGCAUCAUUGCUUCUGCAAAUAAUUGCUAAGCUAGGUCUUGGAGCUAGGCAGCUUUGUCCUUGCUCUUUGUACCUGUUGACUUGGACGACUUGACUGUUCCUUUAAGGGAUGAGGAUGGACUAAUGUCCAAUAGUGAUUAUGCCGGAAUGACUGGCAGCAAUGGUUGUGUUAGAAAGACUGGGAGUGUGGUAAUUGGAAAUUCAGAGAGGACCUGGCUGAUGACCCUCUAUUGAUUGAAUGUAUCCCACUACUUGACUGAUCUUACUCUAUAGACUUCACCGGUAACAACUUCAUAAUUCCACUUCAAGAUCCAUAGGACUUUGUACUUGGCCAUGAAUAUUGGUAAAAGUGUAAUCCUGUAGUUGAAUUUUCUUCUAUCCAAAUUUGGCCAGAAAUUAGCAGAGAUUUUCUACAUAAGUUCUUCUGAUAAGACUAGCUGUUGGGCCAUAGAUUGAACACCACAUUAGGAACCAUGCAGGAAACUUUAGCUUAAAAUUUUUGUCAAAAUUAAUGAACCAUGAAUGACUAAAAUCUUUCGUUUGGUGAAGAAAGUUAUUAGUCCAGGCAUCAAUGUCAUCAAAAUAAUUGUAAUGAAUAUUGGGUAACUGGAUGUAUUGGAUGUGAUGGCUUUACUUUUGGAAAGAGGUAUUCCCCAAUCUGACUCGGUUAAAAAUCUACCAAUGUAAAGGGAAUGGUAGAUGAUUUUGUUUUCAUGAGUUUUACUGUAAAGUGGUUUGAUGGAAAUUAACUAUGUUUCACUAAGAAUGGCUUGGUAGAAUUUCAAUGUUUUGUAUGACUCUGUGGGAUGAUAAUGGAAGUUUGGUGGAAAGACAUUUUUGACUAGUUUUUCUUAGGGCUGGUUCGGGACGGGAUCCCGUACCAAAACCCAAAACCUGAUUCCCAACCCAAUAAUUUUUAGACGGUAUUUUACUACCUGAAACCAAACCGAAAUUUCGGGAUACCUGAAAUUUUUUCGAGAUUUCGAAACGUGUUCGAGAUUUGUAUAAACCCAAAAAAUUCAUACCAAUUGCAGAAAAUUCAAAAUUGGUAUAAAUCGAGAAAAGCAGAUGAGCAAAGAAAGCAGACUCCACCUAUCUCCUUCCUCCUUUACCCCAGCAGCAUCAGAUGAAUUAUGGCCAAAUUUAGUGGGCCAAUGGCUGUUUUUGGUUCCCAUCCGUCUCAUGCUUUCGGUUCCCAUUCAAAUAGCUAAGGAAAAAAAAAUGAAAGGGUACACAACAAAAAGAAAAGCAAACUGAAAAAAAAUAAGUAAGGUAAAUACCUCCUCGAAGCUUCGCCGACGCUAAACCCGCCGUUCACUUCGUAUACACCAUUGUAGAAGCCCCAAUUCAAAACCUCAUUUUGAAACCCUAACCCUAAUCUGAAACCCCACACACAGAAACCUAAUUUGAAACCCCAUUGCAAAAGCCCCAAUUCGAACCCCCAAAUCGAAAUCCUAACCCUAACUCGAAACCCCACAAACAUAGAGAGAAUCAGUGAUAGUCUUAGAGAGAAAAUCGCGACAGAGAAUCAUGAGAGAGAGGGUUGGCUGUGUGACUGUGUGUGGUGGAGGGAAGGUGAAGGGUCGGAGACUGUAUGGUCGUGAGGUGUGGUGGUGGCCGGAGUAGAGAAAGUUUUUCGGAAGAAUUCGAGUGAGACUGUAGGAGGGUGUGUUGGUGGCUGCUGAAGUUCUAAUUUGAGAAGGAGAGACUCAAAGAGAGUUUGAGAAAAAGGUUGUCCAAAUGAAAUGAGACAGAGAGUGGGUAGGGCUGGAGAGACCCCUAACAAAGAAUGGGCGACCCAGAUUGUUUUGAAACAAUCCAAUGGUUGCAAACUUGCAAUUAUUCUAAAUAUAAUUAAAUAUAUAUAUAUAUAUAUAUAUAUAUAUAUAUAUAUAUAUAUAUUGUUUUUUGGGGUUUUCGGGAUUCCCAAACUUAGAAUGAGCAAUCCCGAAUCCCAUACCAAAUGAUUCGGGAUCGGUUCAGGAUUUUAGGAAUCGGUUUGGGAAUUUUCGGUUUGGGAUUAAGAUUUUUUCGGUUUGGUUCAGGAUUUGCAAUCGACUCUGACUAAAAACUUUUGAUUUAAUAAAUCAUCUUGAAAUUUACUAAUGCAUAAUACUAUAGAUAAUAUUUCUUUUUUAUUAGUACUAUAAUUACUUUGUGCUGGAUUCCAUACUCUUGAAUGGAAACGAACAAUUUAUUCAUCAGAUUCGGAAUAAGUUGAUUGUUUGAGAAUACCUCCGUAACCAAAUUCAAAGGCAUCAGUUUCAACAAUUUUGAAUGAAUUAAAAGUUGGAAUGCCAAGACAUGUCAAUAUCUUAACAUGUGACUUGAUCUAUUUGACUAUGGAAGUAUGAAUAUUGGACCAUGGUGAAGGAUUUUUUUUUAGACGAUCAAACAAAGGUUUCUAUCACAUCCCGGCCCGGGACGGACCACUUCCCAGGCCUGCUCCACCAUCGUAGCACGAUAUUGUCCACUUUAGACUUACCAUUCCUUCACGGUUUUGUUUUUAGGAACUCACGAGCAACUUCCCAGUGGGUUACCCAUCCUGGGAGUGCUAUGGCCUCCUUCUCGCUUAACUUUGGAGUUCCUACGGAACCCGAAGCCAGUGAACUCCCAAAAUGCCUCGUGCUAGGUAGGGAUGGGAAUAUACAUUUAAGAAUUACUUCCUUGGGCGAUGUGGGAUGUUACAAUCCACCUCCCUUAGGGGCCCAACGUCCUCGUCGGCACACUUCCGGCCAGGGAUUGGCUCUGAUACCAUUUGUCACAUCCCGGCCCGGGACAGACCACUUCUCGGGCUCGCUCCACCACCGUAGCAUGAUAUUAUCCGCUUUGGGCUUACCAUUCCCUCACGGUUUUGUUUUUAGGAACUCAUGAGCAACUUCCCAGUGGGUCACCCAUCCUAGGAGUGCUUUGGCCUCCUUCUCGCUUAACAUCGGAGUUUCUACAGAACCCGAAGCCAGUGAGCUCCCAAAAGGCCUUGUGCUAGGUAGGGAUUGAAAUAUACAUUUAAGGAUCACUCUCUUGGGCGAUGUGGGAUGUUACAUUUCAUUGUUGCCUAAGAUAUGGAUAAAAUUCUGCAACAUAAUUUAAAGAUUUUAGAAAUCUUUGUAAUUGAGUUUUGUCGGUGAUUUCAUCUAGGAACUUAUCCGCAAACUGAAUUACUCUAUCUAUUGGUUGAAUGGUUGACUGGUGGAUAUUGUAUCCCAAAAACAUAAGUCAAGAAGUAAUCUUCUCAAAAUUCGACAUGAAGUCUGGAUUUGGACAGAUUCAAAUUCAUGAGGAUGAUAAAUACAAAACAGCAUUUGUCACUCUUUUUUGUCAUUAUGAAUGGAAUGUAACAUUAUUCGGUCUUAAGAAUGCACCUAGUGAGUUUCAGAACAUUAUGAAUGAAAUAUUUAAUCAAGGAGAAAUUAGGUUAACAUCCUUCUUUUUGAUACUCCAUUGAUUAAAAUUUUAUUCAUUUUCAAUUUUUGAUCAAGGUCCUUGGGUAUUAAUAACAUCAUUAAUUAUUUGAAUAAUAAAAUAUUUAUUUUUAAAUAUAUUCCUUUAGUGUUAAAAAAUGUUAAAAUUAGUAUAUUUAUAUUUAUGGCUAAAUUUUUUUAUCAUACAUUAUUAUUUUUAGUUUGUACCAAUUUUCUUUUCAUUUUUAAUUUGUACCCAUAUAUUAGUUUCUUUUUGUGCCCAUAUUUUUUGAAGUUUUAUUUGUGUUUGUACCCAUGUGUACACUGUCAUGUAACAUUGUAUAUUUAAUCAAUGACAGAAAAAUUACAUAUGGUAUAUUUAUGUUUUAUGCCUAAACUUUGUAUCAUAUAUUUAUAUUUUUAGUUUGUACCCACUUUUAAUUUGCAAUUUUUUUUUUAAUUUUGUAGUAUUUUCUUUUUAGUUUUAUUUUGUACCCAUGUAUUAAUUUCUUUUUAACACCUAUAUUUUUUAAAAAUUCAUUCGUACUCAUAAUUUUUUAAUCUUUUAUCUGCACCCUAAUUUAUUUAUAAUGUACCCAUUCUUCUUUAUUAUUGAACCACUUUGUUAUAUGUGAAAUGUACCAAUUUUUCUGUAAAACGUACCAUUUUUUUAACACUAUGGAUACAUUCUUUUGCCAUUUAUUAUUUCUUAUUUUUACAUAGUUUUUAUCCAUUUAUUCAAUCAAAAUGUUUGAAUUUUUUUUAUUGUAACCAUUUCUAAUAGUAUUAUAAUGAGGGAUUUUAAAUUUAUAGGAUUAUAAAUCUCAUAAAAUAUCAAACAAUUAAUGUCAAAACUAUAAAAAUAUAAAUAUUAAUUGUAAUAUAAUGAGGUGUACAAAGUCAAGGGACUUUGAUCAAACUUUGAAUACCAUUAAGGUUUUAGUGAAAGAAUGUUAAGGAUUAGGGACCACAUCCCUUUAAUCAAUAUAGUCAUUUAUCAAUCGUUUACAUCGACGAUGUUCUCAUUUAUUCCAAAUCGAUAGAUGAGCACUGAAAACACUUAAAUAUGUUUGCUAGGAUAAUUAAGUCAACUUGAUUAGUUGUCUCAACACCCAAAAUUAAGUUAUUGAACCUGAGUCUCUUAAUUAAAUCUCUUUUGUUAGGAAUUGGAUAUCAUAUCCAUUCCAAGACUUCAUUAAGAGUUUUAUAAUUAAGGGAUACUUUGGAUGCUGUCCCUAAUCUUUAACAUUCUUUGACUAAAACCUUAAUGGUAUUCAAAGUUUGAUCAAAGUCCCUUGUACACCUCAUUAUAUUACAAUUAAUAUUUAUAUUUUUAGGGGUGUGCUAUCCACACACCCCAUUUUACUUCUCACACACCCCUUGAUAAUUUAUGUCCGUUAAUCUUCUUCAAUUCAUUCGAUCCGACAACCAAAAAUUAAAAAGGUGUGUGAGAAGUAAAAUGGGGUGUGUGGAUAUCACACCCCUAUUUUUAUAGUUUUGACAUUAAUUGUUUGAUAUUUUAUGAGAUUUAUAAUCCUAUAAAUUUAAAAUCCCUCAUUAUAAUAUUAUUCGAAACAGUUACAAUAAAAAAAUUCAAAUACUUUGAUUGAAUAAAUGGAUAAAAACUAUGUAAAAAUAAGAAAUAAUAAAUGGCAAAAGAAUGUAUCCAUAGUGUUAAAAAAAAUUGGUACAUUUUACAAAAAAAUUGGUACAUUUCACAUAUAACAAAGUGGUACAUUAAUAAAGAAGAAUGGGUACAUUAUAAAUAAAUUAGGGUACAGAUAAAAGAUUAAAAAAUUAUGAGUACAAAUGAAUUUUUAAAAAAUAUAGGCGCUAAAAGAAAUUAAUACAUGGGUACAAAAUAAAACUAAAAAUAAAUAUACUACAAAUUUAAAAAAAAAAUGUUGCAAAUUAAAAGUGGGUACAAACUAAAAAUAUAAAUAUAUGAUACAAAGUUUAGGCAUAAAACAUAAAUAUACCAUAUGUAAUUUUUCUAUUAUUGAUUAAAUAUACAAUGUCACGUGACGGUAUACACAUGGGUACAAACACAAAUAAAACUUGAAAAAAUAUGGGCACAAAAAUAAACUAAUAUAUGGGUACAAAUUAAAAAUGAAAAAAAAAAUAGGUACAAACUAAAAAUAAAAAUAUAUGAUACAAAAUUUAGCCAUAAAUAUAAAUAUACUAAUUGUAACAUUUUUUUUUGAACAAAUCGAUAUUAUCUACACUAAGGGGAGGGGGUGUCGCUUUUGGCGAGAGUUGAACCUAAGACCUCUCACUAAUCAGUGAGGAGGAAUACCACUAGACCGUAGUACUAGUGGCUAAUUGUAACAUUUUUAACACUAAAGGAAUAUAUUUAAAAAUAAAAAUAUUUUAUUAUUCAAAUAAUUAAUGAUGUUAUUAAUACCAAAGGACCUUGAUCAAAAAUUGAAAAUGAAUAGAAUUUUAAUCAAUGAAGUAGCAAAAAGAGUGAUGUGAACCUAAUUUCUCCUAUAAUUAAUGACUAACCUAGGUGUUCCCCUUUCUAAUUCAACGCUUUUCUGGACAUAGAAAGCAGGGCAAGACCAAGGUGAUUUACUCUUUCUGAUGAUUCUUUUAUUGAGAAGUUCUUAAAUUUCUAUUUUGCAGAAUUCCAUAACUUCUUGACUCAUUUGAAUUGGCCUAGCUUUCGUUGGUAUUUUCUUCUCAUCAAACUCCUUAUUGUAGGGAAGUUUAACAAGGUACUGUUUUCUGUGCUAAAAAGUGUUGGGAAUGUCAGAACAAAUUUCAUUAACUAGUUUCUGGAGGAUCCAAAAACAGCCGGGUCCAUAAAUAGAUCGGCCCUUGUCACCGUAGCCACAACUUCCCCUGUUCUCUCUCUCGCCACCAAUUCAUUAUUUUAGUAAUAUUUAAUUUGGGUCGUCACCAACUGACGAAACUGGCGAAGGGUCUUGCUAGUGAAGUCGCGAGGCAGUCCACAAAGGGCGGAGAAAUGGAUCUGGUUGAGGGAGUACUGAAGGUGGAAGGAAUUAUCGUAAACAAAUUUAGCUUUAUUUUGGAAAGAAAUAUUUGAUUCCAAACAGAGCCGUCUUCCCAGAGUCUAAAAUUCAAUUCCGAAUGGUUUAGGAAUUCGAUUACUAAUAUUAGUAACCGCUGGAAUGCUUUGAGAGGCGUGCAAUUCCGUUUCUUUCCUCUUAUCCCGUUUGGAAAACACGCCAUUAAAACAGAACAUGUUCUCCUACGUGCUUUCUAUACAUCCAAAGGGCAGACCAGCUAAUUUCAAUUACGAAACCCCUUCCCUUCCUACAUAAUAAGGUCACAAACGAAAGUUGGUGAACAUAAAACUACAUCCAAUCAAAAGCAACACGAAUGGACAUUCAUUCAGCCUUCACAAAGUGGCGCGAAAGCAGCUUCCCAAUUUCCAGAAAGCCCACUUUUUCCCUCCCUUCAAAAAUCCCCUUUAGUUUGUCAUCACAGUAAAUCUCCCUCUUGUUGGCAGGAUUCUGCAGGCACAAAAGCAGACGUAUUUGAGUACUAUUUUACUCAACUCAACUUCACAUCUCAAUUGCAUGUAUUUUACUCUUUCGUGGUUAAUAACGCACAGCACGUACAAAAUUCAAUUGAAAACAAGCAUUCCAUAAACACGUUAGGAUCCACACCCCCGCUGCACUUUCCUAAACUACCCUAGAAUUAAGUAGCAGUCACAAAUUUGGUGUAUACAAAGCAUACGGUUUCAAUAUGUGACAAUUUCCCAGACCAACUAGUUUGAUACACAAACCCAACCCACAGACAUGUAAGGGCACAACUCAUUUGAAUUUCAUGGACAGAAAUUCCAAGUAUUAAGGCCACAAGGCCACACAGUCUCGUGCCAUCUGCAUCUAGGUGCUCACGUCAAAAGAAACAAGCAACAAUGUAAGUCCAAAACAUAACGCUUAAAAAGUCUUCCAACCCUUUCAGUAAUUGCCAAGGCUUACAUUGUUGCAUGUUUCUUCGUAUUGGCUAUGCUAAUUGACAUGUAGCAUUGUCUCAAUACACAGACUAGAGAUUGGGUCUUCAAUCAUCAAGUUUUACUUGUAUAAAAACACAUUUCAAGACCAAUGGAAGCAAGUAUGGCAUUACUUAUGACUGCAAACACUUCUUUAGACAAGACACAGAAGAUCUUGGGGGCCAGAAGUUCAUAUAGCAUAACUUUCUUCAUCUGCCCAAAGAAAUACUUAUGUCGAUAAAAGAAGACCUUGCAUAACACCUCUUAGCUGUAAUAGCUACUCACUGGCCAUCCUAGUUAAAAAACUAUAAAUCACGAUCCAUAAUCACAUUAGAAAGUUAUAUUAUAGCAUCCCUGCAACUUUUUGGGAAACUACGGAAUUACAAACAGCAGAGAUAUCUCAAAGUAUUAAAGUUUCCCAAAUUGCAAACAGCAGAGACAUCUCAAAGUAUUAAAGUAAGCAUGAAUCUAUAUCUCAACACUGAAGCCAAAUGCAUUCUGAAUAAGAUUGUGAUGCCAGGCUGAUGAAAAAUGCUAAACAUGAAAUGGAAUCCAAGCAACAAAUGAGAACCAAGAAUUAUCCAAAUUGCACAUAAAAAAAACCAAUAUUAUGUCAACAUAUGCUUAAAAUCGUGUAAAUUUGACGCCUGAACAUGAUGACCAUACACAUAAGAUGCAUGCAGCAGAUGCCAAGGAAGGUGAGACACAACACAAGUAGGACAGUUAAUACAAAAAUCACAAACUGGAGAUAUUUAGUACUUCAUCUUGGAACAUUGGAUACCCAAUUCACACCAACCAAAUUCAAAUGCAACCACUAGAUACUACCACAUGGCCAUCAAAUAGAAGUAAUAACAGAAAUGCAGAGCAGCAUCUCUUGGGGUUUAAUUGACUUCGGAGAAAAAAAAACUCAUAUUCGAAUCUUCAAAACCUGACUAACGACGCGUUGUUUAAACUCCGCAUUCGGCCAAGUAAAAUCUUUAGGAUACAACAAAUAUAUUUCGUUCUUAGAAAAAACAACAGACCUAGAGAAAAAUCAUCCAAAAGUGCCUAGAUAUCUCAUUUUCUGCACCCCACAACAGCUAGUUCCUAUUUUACUAUUUUUUAUUUUUAUUUUUUUGGGGGGAUUUAGGGCUUAGGGUUUAGGGUUUUAGAGCUUUGAGACUUUUUUUCCCAGCUAAAAUCUUCUAAUUUACAAAGUAAAUUUAAGCAAAACCCACCUAAAUAAAACAAAAAACAAAGCAUUUUAUUAGAACCCAUCAAAAAGAACCCCCCCCCCCCCCAAAAAAAAAGGAUCAAACAGUUAGAAGAUAUUUAUAAAUAUAUAGACAAAAUACAGUGUGAAGCCGAGAGAGACGAGGACCUGCAGAUUGUGGAGCUUGAUGUGGGCCCAGAUCUGCUUGACAGCUUCGGCGCGGGAGGACUCCUUGACGCCGAGGAAGCUACCCAGAGCUGGAGAGAUCGGAGUCGGCUUCAUAAUCCCGAGGGUGGCUUUGGGCUUGGUCGAAUCACCUGCUUCCUUGGGCUUAGCCUUCGCCUUUGGCUUCGGAACAGCACUGGUGGCGGCCUUCGAGGAAAAGAGAGCAGCUCCGCCGGUGGAACUGGAGGAUCUGGUCGCCGCCAUGAUAGCCCUGGAAACCCUAAUCAAACUGGAAGACGCCAUUGCUCUCUCUCUUUCACACGAGUGACAGCGACACCCUUUGAUCUCUGUGCCCUAAUUACUCAGAAGACCCACUUUUUGCCUAUUUUCAAACGCUUCUUCUCUCCCUCUCUUCCUCCAUACUAUAAAAGCCCUCUGUUUUAUUUCAGAGUGUAAGGGAAGGGAUCCUAUUUUUUAACAAGUAUGGGGAUUUUUUUUUUAACAAAUAAUAUUAUUUACGUUAAGAAAAAAUAUAGGUUUAGUUUUAUAAUGAGCUAAUAAUAAUAUGAUUCAAAUUUGUUUAUGAUAAAAAUUAAACUUAAGAUCUUUUACUUACAAAUACAUAGGAAUAUCGUUAAACUGUACUAUUAAGUGGCAACAUAUGGGGAUAGGUUGUGGGCUCUACACACAUUAAACUUCUUUAUUUCAUAAAUUAUUUUUGCAAAAUAUUAGUCAAAUUAAAAAUAUGGCUUAUUAUAUUAAUACCCCAUAAAUUGUUGAAUAAACCUCACAUAUUUAAUACACCUCACAUUUUCUUUUUCACUUAAAAAUUAUUUUAAUACAUCCCACAUACUUUCCCAUAAUACCCCCACACCCCACAUUCUCAAUAUACAUCUUAUAUUUUGUACAUACACCCCAUAUUUCUCAAAUCUUAUAACACUUAUUUUUUAUUUUCAGGGACUGAAUCUAACUAUUUGAACGUUUAGUUUGCCAAAAGAUUUCAGGUCAUUUGAAUGUUUAGUUUGCCGAAUGAUUUGAAAUCAUCUUAGUAUAGUUUGCAUUGACAGUUGUCUACCAUCGUUAAGUAGGAUAACAUCAGUAAUGGCUUCAUUGCUGGAUUUUUAAGAACAGGAUCAUCUUUAAUUACCAUACGUGUCGUACAACAAGCUCUCUGUGGGAAGAAUUAUGUAGCCAAUGUAGUUUAAAUCAAGCUUUCUUGCAGGUUCCCCAUAUUAUGCCCCACUAGUUCCAAGAGGAAUCACUUGGAUCAACACAGAGUCAGGUCUCAUGAACAAAAAUUGUGUCAUGGUAGCACCAUGAACCCCUAUCACGACAUCACUCAAAUUAAGAACCCAAUAAAUCUUUGCCAACUCGGUGCUCGAAUCAGGUCUAAGAACUUCAACUUCAAACCCAAUUUUCUCAGACAUUUCCACCAACAAGUCCUCAUUGGUUUUGCUCUUGAUCCAUUUCUAGAUACGAUCACCAGUUUAGGCCUCUCCAUUCGUCAAAAACAAUUUUUCUCAAUCAACAUGUUUGUAGUUUCAUUGGUUAGGGUUUUGUUCAACAAUGGAGGGUGAGAGGGUUUUGACAGUUGAGAAGAUAAAUAAUACGCUAAAAGUGAUUUAGGGUGUAUUUAGAAAUUUUUUAUUUUUUUUAAACUUAAUAAGGUCAAAAUUGUCAUUGCAUAGUGGGGUAAAUAAGUCAUUUAAUAUUAAAUUUUAAUGUGGGGUGCAUUCAACAUUUUGUGGGGUGUUAAUAUAAAAAGCCAAAAAUAUUUGAGGCAUCUGAUUGAGUUUAAAGAAAUUAACAAGUACUAUAUUCUAAGAAACAUUGAGCGAUUUGGAUAAUUAAAGUUUGAUAUAGAGUGAGUCGCAACCAAUUUAUAUUUUUUGAAAAAAAAAUUAAUGUCGUGCUAGUUGGUAUCCAUGUUUAAAAUUUAUUCGAUAAGGUCAAUAUUUUUAUAAAAAUAUCCAAAAAAUCAAAGAAAAAUAUGAAAAUGGGGAGUGAAGUCUAAACUUCACCUUAUAUUGGAGAAACUAAGUUUAGUCUAAAAUUGAUAGAUAUCGUUGAUAUUUCUGGCACAUCUGUUAAAUAUCAGAUAAAUUAUUAUAUUUCGUUCAAACCAAUAUUUGAUAAUUCCUAAACUUUUAUUUUAAAUUUCCAUCAUUUUUAUAGAAAGCAACUGGUCAAUAUUUGAUAUAUUUAUCAACAUUUUCACAAAUUUAUAUAUCGAUAUUUUAGACACUAAUUGGAAUAUAGCGUAGGCUCAAACACUUUGGCUUUCUUAUAAAGUUGUACUUUUUAUUUUUUUGGUGAAACACAUUUUUUUGUCUCUGUGCUUCGACUAAAAAACACAUUUGGUUGCCGUGGUUUAGUUUUCCGACUUUGGUCUUUAUGGACCUGACUGGUUGCUUCUUUUAAGCUCUCAUAUAAUAAGAAAUAGACCAAAAAAUAGUUGGAAGAGAUUAGCGAUGCUUUUCAUAAACAUUAAACGACGUGUGAGAACAUUAUAACUCUGUGGAUGUAGCCAUUGUAUGUUGAGACACAAGCGUCAAUAACCAUAAGUAUCUAAACAAGGCGUAAAUUUUCUUAACAAAAAAAAUAUCUAACGUUUGCCUCAAUCAAUUCUAGGUUUUUUCUUUCUUUUAUCAUGGUAUAUUAUAAUCAAUUUUUAUACCUAUUGAGUUUGGAGCAUUAGAGGGAGUUAAGUAGCAUAAUUGUCGUUUAAUACUACAAUAUAGUAAUAUUCUUCAUCACUUGUAAGUGAAAUGUUUUAGGUUCAAUUCUCGUCAAAGAUAAAUUUGAACCACAUUAUUACUAGUUUAUUGUGAGACUUAGCCCACUUCCUCACCUCUUAGUGUAAAUAAUAUUGUUUGUUAAAAAAACAGAAAGAAAAAAAGCAUAACUAACUGUCUGCUAGUUUGGAGCAUUAGAGGGAGUUAGGUAACAUUCUGCACACCUUUAGUAUGUCAUAUAGCAAUAUCAAUAUGGUCUUUAUUUUCAAUAAAUUAGUAAUAAAUAACUCUUAAAGUGACAAAACCUUAAAUCAAUGGUCUCUGUCAAAUAAUGGCAAAGGCAACCUUCAAUAUUUUGAAGAUUACUUAACUGACCCAACAACGCUAGACCAAUGUCACGUGAAUUAACAAUCGUCAUAUAAAAAUAUAUGAGUUUUUUUUUUUUUUUUUUUUAAAGUAAGUGUCUUUUUAGGUAUGAAGAUCGGAAAAUGGUUGGAUCGGGAUCAACAUGGAGCCCAUGUUAAGCAAAAGCAUAGGCCUACUUAGAUAGAAAAAUACUUGUUUUGUUUUUUCCAAGAGAAAUGCUAAGAGAACUCUCUCAAAGUGAGACUUUUCAUAAAGUUUGCGUCAUUUCAUAAUUUAACGUUAAUUUUCGUGUUAAUAUUUUAAAACAUUAUGCCAAAAACAUGAGAUAAUAUAAAGUUUACAGAGAGCCACACUUUUAAGAGAGUCUCCUUAAUGUUUAUCUUUUCUCAAUGUUUAACACAUAGUGUCCCAAAAAUUCUUCCAUUAUAAAUUCUAGGUGUGGUGGUUUGUGACCUUGUGGAGUCGACUUCUUCUCUCAUGUUGGGGAGAUGAAGUCAAGCACAAGCCUUUCUCUUUUCAUCUAUUUGAAGUUGGAAAAAAAAAAAAAAAACAAAACUUAAGAGGUUACUAUAAAGUAGAACAGAUAAAUAAUGACAAAAAAUUCAAACCUAAGAAUCCUUGUUUUUUUCCUUUGAUCAAAAUAAGCAUAAAUGAAAGCUUGAAAGAAUAAAAAUAUUUCUAUUGGGAUUUCUUGGGGAUUAUGAUUGCUGCUGAGCUAACUAUAAUGCAAAGUCGUAUCUUUUUUGUUCAUAAGAUCCAAAAGAUUGGGGACGGACUGUAAAUUCAUUGCCAGUAUGUCUACGCUGGUUCAAAAAUCAACUCGGACCAAUAAUUUGCCUAUCCGCCAUGAAAUGAUGUAAUAUAACCUAUUUGUUCAUAGUGAAACUUUCAUCAAACAACCAGUCUUCGCGAGCAAUUUAUUUUCUCAAAGCUAGUCCAACCCAAUUUUCUCAAAAACUUUAAUACAAUUCAAACUCAGCUCUUGAAAGUUGUACUAAACAUGCCAUAGUCAAACUUUGGCUUUAUGGGUAACGGUAUACUUGUCAACUACUAGAAUUACACAUGCCACUACUAAACCGAUAAUCUAAAAUACUGAAUGAGAAACGCUUAAUAUUACAACUUUUUUCUCAACUCUUAUGGCACAUGACGUGCACGCAUCAUUGCAUCAGAGUACCAACUAUAGUACGAAAUCCAAUGCGACAAUGUAAUUUAUUCUAGAAAAGAAAUUGAGAAGCAAAGAUUAUCUCUUUUGAGUUAAGCAACAACAAAAUUUAAACAAGUUAAAAAAUAAUAUUAAGUUACCAAAUUUAUCCGAGAUAUAUUUAUCGAAUCAUGUGUCAGUCAAUAAUUUUCAUAUUGAUUAUUAAUUAAAUUGAAAAACAAUUCAAAUUUGAAUAUAAAACAUCGACACGUUAUAGAACAAUAGAAUUUUUAAUUAACAGGUUUGGAAUUAAAUGGUAGAAAUUGAAAUUGAUAAGAAAAUAAAAGGCGGGAUGGAGGGGGAAAAAUGAAAGAAAAGGAAAACGAAGAGGAGAGAGAAACAGAGAAAGACGAGAGGAGAGAGAUAAAAAAGGGUAGGAAAAACGCUUGAAAAGGAAGUGGCAGUCAGGUUUACAUAUUUGGGGGGAAUAGGGGCUCAACACUCUAGAGAGAGAAACAAGAGAGAGAAAAUCCUUUGAAAUUCCAUCACUGUAUAGUAGCUAGCACAAAUGAGAACCAAGGUAGGAAGAAGGGAGAUUUGGGACAACAAUUGGAAGGAGUCAAUGCCUGCUGCCGGUGCGCUUCUUGUUCGAGACGCCGGCAACAACAACCCCGACGGCCCUUUUGCUCUUCUUCACCAACAGCAAGCUUCUGCCGCCGCUCAUGAGCAAGAGCAUCUGGAGGAACCUCAGGCUACCGAAGAAGCUGACGAUGGCGACGGAGACGGCGAAGCUGAAGAGGACGGUGAUGAUGAGGGUGGUGGCGAAGGCGACGGUGCGGCUGGUGGUGAUGACGAAAAUAGAGAGCGUAACAAGCUUGAUGACGGCUUCUACGAAAUCGAAGCGAUUCGCCGGAAACGGGUUCGGAAGGUACUCCUCUCUGCUCCCAAAUUUUUUUUGUUUUUACAAUUUUUUUUAUACUAAUUUGUUACCAAUUGAACUUUGCCAGUGAGAAAUGAUUUGGGUAAUUUUCAUUCGGCUGUUUAAUUUGAGUUGUGGUAAGAAAUGAUGGGUGUUUGUGUUUGCUUACUUAUUUAAUCUGAUUACUGAGUGCUUUGUGUUUUCAUUUGUGUAUGUUGCAAAACCAUGAUAUAGGGUCAGCUCCAGUACCUCAUCAAAUGGUGCGUAAACCUCCUUCGUAUCCUCUUUUUUGUUGUUGUUUAACUUAAUUUACGCACACACUGCUCCGUUUGGGUGAAUCAAAUCAAAGUUAUGUUGAUGUCGAAGAUGGAAAAGAGUUUGGGCAAGAGGAGUGGAGAAGUUUAAGGCCUAUCUGUGUAUAGUAGACAUUCUUAUCCCAAUAAACAACCCGAUAUAGUAAUACUUAAUAAACCGCGAAGCACUUGUGUAUCUAAAAUCUCAAACUUGGAAACUUAAUAGAAGCGUAAUCUGCUUCGCCUGUUAAUUGAUUUGGGGUAUUUAUUGCUAUUGACUUAUACAGGCGCGGUUGGCCAGAGACGGCCAAUACAUGGGAACCUUUGGAUAAUCUCCAGUCAAUUGCUGAUGUUGUUGAAGCCUUUGAAGAAAGGUAUUAUUUUGUUUGGUUUUCUAUUUUCCCUGAGCUAUUCAUUUGGUUUCAGAAAACUUCGGCAAAACGACCAUAACUUUUGACAGUGUUAAAGUUUCCAAGAUUGUAGAAACUAAAUCAUUUAAUAUUGUGGUUGAGUUGAUUGGGAUCUUUUCUGCGAAUAGUUUAUUCGCAAAAAUACAAAACUUCAUACUUUUAUGUAGUCAUUCUUAUUUCUGCUACAAAAAUUUACAUUUUCGCAGAAACUAAUCAUUUAAUACAAGUUUUUCUUAUGUCGUUCAUAAAGCUUGCGUACUGGAAAGCAUCGGAAGCGCAAGCGUAAGCAAGGGACUCCUCUUUCUCAACCCAAGAAGAGGCAGCAGCGUUCUACUGAUCCUAUUUACAAUAUGACAGAUGUGGAAAUUGGCAUUGUCGAUAAAGCUCUAUCCUCCACUGCACUCAACUGCUCGAAACUUGUUGAUCUUCUUCCCCCUCAACAGCCUGUGGGUUUAGCUCGUGUCGGAGAGAAUGGCGGGAAUGUCAACAAUACUGAAACAACCACGAAAGUUAAUGCUGAGAAUGGGUGUUCAAAUAUUUCCCAACAAAAUGGUGAAAGGAGAGAGGAAAAUGAGUAUGAUCCAAAGCUUAGUGAGCUCAAAGCAACAACAUUUACAAAUGUUGUCAAUUUGGAUAAACUUUCUGUACCUUUCCAAGAAGGAAGGGCUCCAGAAGUUAAUGGCCCUACAGAUGGUCUUUCCAAGAUUGAUUGUACAGAAACAGUACAGAGCAAUCGCGGAGCUAAGAGAAGGAAGUCUGGUUCUGUGAAGAGGUUUAAACAAGAGACACAAGUGUCUGAACUGGGUGCUACAACAAAUGCAACAACCAGAGUCAGUGUUAGAUAUGGCAGUAGAGUUAAUCAAUCAGGGGCAGAAAAUCUUGAUUAUGCUGGGGGAAAUUCAAGUCGUAGGAAUAAGAUUGAUGAAUCUAGAAAUGCAGUGCGUAUCACCAAGAUAAUAAAGCCUAUAGGGUACUCAACUUCUGUAUCAAAUGACGUCCAGGAUGUGUUAGUCACCUUUAAGGCAAUGAGGUUUGUCUUGAAAUUCAAUUUACAUUUCUAUUCCAUUGCUGAAAAUAAAUUUAAAAUUAUAUCCUGACCAGAUUUAUGAAUAUUAUUUUUAUGGAAUAGGUUAAAUAAAAUUAUAUAAUAACCAUUCGACUGGGUUAUUCCUAACAAAGCUACAUUUUAGUUAGUUAGUUAGUUAGUUACUAUUGGAAUUUCAGUAAACUAUUUUUUUUUCCUUCAGAUAUGAUUCAUCUAAAGAUGCCAUGCAUUCGGCUAAAGGAAUGAUUCUUGUGUAGUCAUACAAUUUUGUGGCUAUCAUCUAUAAAUAGUUUUUUCUUCUCAUACGUUUAUAUGACUUGUAACUGCGUGCCCCUUGAAUAUAGUUUUCUCAAAUAUUUUAGAUAGAGGAAUGCUGUGCAUAAAAUAUUUUAAAACUACGAAUUUGAAAAGAUUUGAUAUCUUUCGAAGUGCUUUUAUCAUUAAUACCAUCUUUUUCUAGCAAGAGCUGUAAAUUUGGAAUUGGUAGCUGUUGAUGUUAUACACCUUGAUGCUUUUAGAUAUUUGAUAAGAAAUGUGGCAUGAGAAAAUGCCCUUGUGAACAUCCAUUUCUUGUCCUAAUAAGAACUGAAAAGGUACUUUAUGCCUCCUACGCAAACUACAGGGGUCUUUCCAACUCAUAUGUGGGGAUUAGACAUGAUUUCAGUCAUUUACCAGAAUAAUCACAAUUAUAGUCCUAAAUAGAACAUAUACGGACUUGGAAAUUACUAUUGAAUUAGGUAAGGCUGUAGACUCAUAGCUAGUUGUGAGGGUCUAAACUUAGGGCACUAAAUUUAUGUAAAUGCCUAAAGUAUGCGUGUACUAUGCUAGAAAAUGCUAGCUGUGAGGGUUUAAACUUAGGUCACAAAAUUUAUAUUAAAGCAUAAAGCAUGCGUAUGGCAUCCCAAUUCAGGCUUAUCACGAAAUUGAAAGUGCCUUAGUCCAUAGAAUUUUUUGAUUUUUUUUUGGAAACUUCUUAUUUCUUUUAGGGAUUCGUCUUGUACAUUUGUCCUUUUCCUUGGCUAUGUUUGGGUGAGGGAUUGAGGUCAAGCUAGUAAGGAAUAGGUCACACAGUGUUGAUAGGAAGGAUUAGAAAAUCCCCAUAUGAAACAUGUGUGAGGGUUUGCAAGUCCCUAGUUCGAAUGUGUCAUUUGGAAAUCCCUCUUACAUACCUUUGAAACAAUCAUGUGGAGUAUCUAAUCCCCCCUUCAGACUUCAAAAUCCCUUGCCCAAACAUUUAGGCUAUGUUUGGGUAAGGACGUUUCAAGGGAUUGAAGCCAAACUAAUGAAUGUACCAUAAAAAGUUGGAUAGAGGGGAUUAGGAAAUGCUCUUUAUGAGUAUUAAAAAGGUACGUGAGAGGGAUUUGUAAAUAACUCCUUUCAAGUAGGGAUUUGCAAAUUCCUCUCAGGCUCUUACAUGCCUUUGUAAUGUUGAUGAAGGGCAUUUUUGAUCCCCUCUAUCUAACAAUUUGUAGUCCAUUUCUUACUAACUUGGCCUCGAUCCCUUGGGACUUGGAAAUCCCUCACCCAAACCUAGCCUCAAGGAUUUUCAUAGUCGUAAGCUUGGUCUCAAAUUUUUUUUCUCAUGCUUCAACAUCAUUCCUUCACCUCUCCCAGACCCUGCGUAAAGCGGGAGCCUUGUGCACUGGGUACGACCUUUUUCUUCAACAUCAUUCCUUCUGGAAUCAGGAUCACCUGGGAAGCACAAAGUUUUUUAAGGGAAUUAGGAUUCUUCAUUGGAUAUUAGACAAAGCUACACUGUGCUUGCAAGUAUUACUCCAAUCCUCUUUUCUCUUUCCCGACCCUUCUGUGUAUGACACGUGUACCAAGCAUGAUUCAUUUGUUUUAGUUGGAAUGCCAUUGUGCCUUGAGCUAGAUUGGAACAUUCCCGAUGGUUGUUCAUCAGUUCACUUCUGAUUUUGUCAAUAAGAGUUCUUUGACUGGUAUCACCUCUUUGUGGUUGAAUUUAGAAUAUUUUUCUAGUUUGCUUGAUAAAAUUUCUUGAGUAAUAUAUUUGCUUAGGAGCAGUAUUACAUGGCUUCAGUGUAGCUCCAUCUCUGAUGGCUUCUGAGUCUGAGCAGUUCUAUAGAGUCAUUGCAUAGGCAAAAUAUUUUGUGCCAGUUGGACCCGACCUGAUAACAUUUAAUUGUUAAUUUUAUAUAAACGGAAUGUGGAAAGUCUAGAUUCUUCACGAUGAAUAUAGGAAUUUGUAACCAAUUCUGCUCUUCAGUUGCUACAAAACCAACCUAAGUCUGGAUCACAUGCUUUAUAACAUUUUUAUACGUGGUUGCCUUGUUAUAGGUCUGACGGCUCUGAAGUGAUAGUGGACAACAAGUCUCUCAAGGUUAAUCAUCCGCUUCUGGUAAGUGAUUAUUGCUCAAAACGAUACACAUUCUGUCUUGACAACAUUUCAGUGGCUUUGGUAGCUAAUGGCUCGUCUUUGCUAUGGUCAUUUGUACUACCGCUAAUCUAUUAUCUCCUUUUCCAGUUGAUCGAUUUUUACGAGCAACAUCUCCGAUACAACCCUACAUUUUAGUUCGAGGCAUAAAUGGAGGAUGCAACAUUGAUAGGUAGAUCUGCAUCAUCUUUGUUGUCAGAUGUACACAGUGUCGGAAAUUCGGAAUUGCUCUAGUUUGCAUGAGAGUGCAGGUUAACAAACGUAGUUCAAAAGUUUGGUGAACUCAGCCAAUAUACCAGUAGCUGAUGGGCUUGUUUCUCUCUCGUCUAUCCUUCAUUGACCACAGUGUUUACUGUAUUAGGAAAUAUUAUGAGAUUUGUAUCUGGAUCUUUUUAUUUUAUUGGUCAAUAGUAUCUAGAUCUUCUUAUACUCCGGAAUUUUUAACCAUUAAAAACGUUGUAUUUUUGACAAAGAUUUAGCGGUUAAAAUCUAUACUUCAGGGAGUAUACUAAAAAUCUGAGAAAUAUUUACGUAUUUCUGCAACAAAUUAUCUAUCCUUUUUCAGAUUUCAUUUUUGUAUGAAUCAUGAACGUCUGGUUGGGGGUUGUCAUCGUCUAUAUCACGAAAGCACCCUUUCUUGAAGGCAACGGAAAACAUGUCCUUUUGUCACUUAUUUUACUCAAUUAAAAAUUGGACUAAUCAGGAAAAACAAAUGUAUGUUAACAAGCUGUUCCUGAUACUAUAUUCUUCACAGAAGAUCAAUAUUUUAUGUUCGUGCAGAAAAAGGCUGUGGGUUGGCUGCCUAGAGACCUUGCUAUAUCCCUUUACACUACAUCAUAAAACGUUUUUGGGCUUCCCAGUCGCAUCGUUGCAUUGUGGUAUUAAUAUAUGUUUUAUAAUGUGGUUGAUGAAUUGGUUGAUACUUUAUAAACGUAGGGCAGGAUAUCAUCAUUUAGUGUUACAAGCGUUUUAAUCGUCAGAUUUAUUUUCACAAUUGUUUAUAUCUUCAUAGUUUUAACCGUUGAAUUUUGUUUACAUUGAAAAUAGAACAGUUAAAACACUUGUAACAUUUUCAAUCUGAAAUCAUUCAUUCCUCUAUUAUUAAUGCUACAUAUUAUUGAAGAAAUUUUCAUGUUAUUAAUAAGUAGAUACAUGUGUUAUAAGGCAAGAAGAUUAGCAAACAUCAACUGACGCUAUAAUAAUCAGACCAAACACUCUCCCGCUGAGAAAAUUACAAUAAUAAAAGAACAAAGAUUCCAGUAGAGACGUUGGCAUCGCUCAACAAACCAUCAAAAAAGAAAGAAUGAUUGUACUUAGAAGUUAUCUCCAACUACCAACAAACAAGCCUUUCCCCCUCUUAUAUAUCACUCCCCUCCUUUGCUCUGAUCAGUAACCUAGUCUGCACCCACUGGAAAGUGCUUUCUGCACCCACACUAGAAGCUUAGAAACUGCCAACUGAGCUUUGCAAUGGGGAGCAGAGGGCCGUCGCCACUUGUACCUUCUCUAUUGGUGGGUGCAUUGGGUUUGAUCGUCUGCAGACCUACCUUAAUAUCCCUGUUUGAAAUCUCAGUGUCUUUGUUCCAAGUAGGUGCAGAGACAGAGCGAAGAACCAGCUUUGCCUUUGUGAUGCUUCUUCUUCUCUUAGUUUUACUGGUUUUGCACUUUCUAGCUUCAUUUUUUCCAUCGUUUGGGAUGUCAUCCCCCGUCACGAGUGACUCAGAACAAGGUGGUGACGGGUUCGGGUUUGGAAUGGGAUCGUUGAUGAGUAGAUUUUAUAUUAUAUAUUUUACCCUAAUCUUAGUAUAUUUUGGUUAAUAUAUUGGAAGAAUUUUGAUACUUUGAAUUGUAUUUUCAAUAUAGGACUGUCGACUUCUUCUGGAGCAAAACAGGACCAAAUGGACGAAUUUUGGAGUAAUUCCAGUUGGAGGACGUUCAUUAGUCACUUAGCUUGAUCGUAUCAAAAUUUGGGAUUUUUCCACCAAGCGGUUAUUUUCUGGUGAUAAAAUAAAGAAGCAGUGCGCAGUGCUGGAAAAUGACGUUUUUGGGCUCAAAUUUCGUUUUUGGAGCCCAAGAUGACCUCGGAUGGGUUCAUGGCCUUCUGGAGAAGUGUUUAGAAUAUUCCAAACAUUAAAUCCAGCUAUAUUGGGCCAGUUUUGGAGCAGCUUAUGGGUCCAAAACGUGGCUGUUCAGAUUUUGGGCGAAUUUUACCAUUUAAUUUAGGGUUAUGUUUUUUUUUUUUUUUUUGGAUUAGGGUUUGUGUGGUGGCUUAGGAAAUAUAUUGCUUGGCCGUCUACAGCUUUUUGGGGAAACAACGCUUUCUUUUAUGCAAUUUUGGAGACAGAUAGAAUUGUUAGGGUUUUGAAGACUUUUUACUUGAAGGUGCUUUCAAUCCUUUUCUUGAAUAUAUUUUCUAUGAUUUAAAUUAUGAAUAUGCGGAACUAAUUUAUGUUGCUAGGGCGAAGCCUUGAGCCUUAGCAUGAAUAUGUGAUUUUUAUUUAAUUGCUUAUGAUUGAUUGCAUGCGUACUUUGAAUUGUUAAUCACUGGGAUAAAAACUAUCUAAUUGUCGUAAUGCCUGAUCAGCAUUAGGAUCUUUAGAAAAGUAAUUUGAUGCAAUUUUGGUCGGAAGGUUCCCUGAAAUUGAUGCUGGCUUCUUGUGAUUAAUAAUUGUAAUUUCUCUUAGGAUGAAUAUCACAUCUUAAGGAUUGCAUGGUUUUUCAAAGGAUUUUCAUAAAGCAAAAUGAGUCUUUCAUGUUUAGAUUUGAUCAGAACGUCCGGACGGGUUGCAUGUUAGAUAUACGUUAUAUGUUGGAGGUUCCAAGUAGAAUAUGAAUUAGGAAAAUCUAACCUUCAAAGUGGCAUGUGUAGAUUAUAAGUAAUUGGUAAAAAUUCAUAGGAUUGCUAGGUGAUGGUGGAACCCUAGUGCUUUCUUAAUUUUAUUCUCCCAAAACUGUUUUUUUUUUCUCUCUAACAUUGCAGAUUGUUUAUUUUAAUUCAUUAAUUUCGUUUUUAUUUUAAUUAGGUUAUAAAAUCAAUCACUUCAAUUUCAGUUUUACAAUAAUUAAAUGGAAUUUGAUUAGUUAGAAUUAUUUAAUAAUCCUUGUGGAGACGACCUUGCAAGAUCCGUUUAUACUACAAUAACCUUGUGAUUCUUGCAAGUAAAAUAGGAGAUUUAAGCCCGUUCACAUGAGUAGCAAAAAUCCUAUCAAUCGUUUCUUCUACUUGUACUCUUCCUUAUUCUAUAUCAUCUGGUGUGAGACCAGCAACAGCUUUGCUUGUGUUGUAUGAUAAAUAUCAUUGCAUAUGCUUUUGUUAGCACAUUCAUGCAUCUCUCUCUCUCUCUCUCUCUCUCUCUCUCUCUCUCUCUCUCUCUCUCUCUCUGUUAUUAUAAGCGUUAUUACUACUCUAAGCUAGACUAAGGGGAUUCGGGAGUGUUUGAACGUGGGACGUAGUGGAUUAAAGAAGAAGACUCUAUCUAACAAGGCAAUUCACCACUUACUCUCUCUCGAGUUAUAUUGAAAAUAGAGUAGAUCGAAUACUACUUUAAUUCUAAUCUAUUUCCCCACCAUUCCCAGCACUUGAGGGAACUUGGAAGUAAUGUUUAGUUCUCAUUACAUUCUUUUGAGCUUCUUUCUUAUUUUUAUUUUAUUUUAUUUUAUUUUAAUUUAAUUUAAUUUUUAUUUUAUCAAUCGUCGGAUCCAAUGAUUUAGAAUAGGGUAAUUAUAAGUACCUUAUUAAACACUAGUAGAUAAGUAUUUAACAUUCAAUUGAAUAGAUUAAGCUCACUAUUUUAGUUUUCAUCAAAAUAAAAAGAUUAGGAUAUAUAGGUGAAAUGAUUGAUCAUUUCCAAAGCAAAACAAGACAAAAGCAACAAAAUCUAAUACCAAAAUGUAAUUAACCAAUUACAAAUACAUAAAACUUUAGUUCAUGUAAGAUGCAUAUGAUCCAAAGGUUAAACUAUAAAUAAUAAUUGUUAGAUGAUAUUAUUUACGCAAUGCAUGUAAAAGUUUCAAUGAGAGAAAAAAGAGAAAUUUGAUUGAAUGCUACUUCAUGGAAGAUUAAUAGUCUCAGUACAUCACUAAAUCUAUAAAUAUUUACAUGGUUUGCAUUUUGGUUGGAUUGGUCCAUAACUAAAUUUAUAAGUAUCUUUGCUAGAGAUGAUACAAAUGGAUUUUCUCUGUCACGCCCCAGACUCGAGGUCAGCGGAAAAUAUAUACCCGUGCUUGGCGCGCGAGUAAAAAUAAAAAAUAAAAAAAACGAACUUCUCUUAUAAAAUAACUCCGAAAUUCUUUACAGGGUGUACAGAUUAAAUCAAAUUCUUAAAUCUCUUCUGUAACACCACCACAGCUUGUUUAAACCAGUAUUGACAAGUCACUCAUCUGAAAAUUAAUAGGGUGAGGGGUAAGUGGCCACUACCGUCCCUUUCCUUAUCACAUUCUCCCUUUACGUGUUCAUUAUAUCCUUCAUAAAUUGUAACUCACCACGUGACCCCUAAUGGCCAUUCUGCCUAAUGUCCCCAUGUGCAGUUUACAUUUAUUCCUCAGAGUAAUGUGACACUAAAGUUCUCAUGCUCCAUGAACAAUCUCAAGUAAUUCCACAUAUGUGUAUAUACACAUAAAAACAUUUCAUUAAAUCCAACAUGCUUGACUUGAAUAGAGAGAUGUUUGAAAAUAGAUAAAUCGCAAGAUAACUCAUGAUUUUCAGUUAUCAGAAAAUAAGAACAUUUUAAACACAUUACAUAAACCACUCAUCUCGAUUGAUGGCUAAAAUCUUGACAAGACAACCCAUUUACCCUUCCCCACAUAUCAAACCCUAAGUCCCCUUCUAUUUCUUUCUCUUUCCUUUUCCCUCUCCAACAAUUUGCAUGCAUUGCAUGCGAACUUAUCAGUGCAAAUCCCGUUUGGAAAAAUGAUAAGCCACUACUCCUAUUUAUAGUAGGAAGAGUCGGCUCCAACAUUUAAGGACUAAGGAACACCUAUUGUUGUGUCAAGGUAUUAGUCGCUAGUUAUGCAAGGUGUCGAUUGCACAACUGCAAAGGAUGACACGUCCAAGUCAGCAUCGUGCUUACAAGCAUCUUAAAAUGGAUAGGAGAUAAGGCCGAAUGGUAAGCUUCACACGUCCACCUUAUAAACUUAUGACUAAGCAUAAGUAUGGUUAUUUAGUAUGAAUUGGUAUGAAUACAUGCUGGUAACUAAAAGGGCAAAUAAAAACCCAAAAGGGUAGUAGGUUCUAGGGCUUAACGAAAAAAAAAAUAUUCCAAAACUUAGCUUAAAGUUCUAAUAAAAUAAAUAAUAACAACAUAAGUAUAGGGGUUUCACGUUCUCCAACGAGCAGACUUGGCAAAGUGUGCUUGCAGUCACAAGAUUCUUACGAAAGGUAAGUCAAUGUGUUGUGUAGUAUAGGGCAUCAUAUCUCACUCAAAGUGUCCCAAAUGGUCGUGUCAAAGCAAGUAACUACUCGAAUCACCCGGCUUCUGGCGGACCAUGCUACCUAAUUUGCCCUGUACGGGGUGGUGCAUUGGCUCCUAAAUACGCUUCAAGCCGUAUUCAUAGGAAGUGAUGCAAAUAUAUUCUACUCUAUUUCCUCAGUGGUUUCAGGAAUGAUCAUUAUUCUAUCAAAUAUCCUUAAAACUCAAUGAUGUUCUUCCAGAACAGAGAGAAUAUAAGGUCUCUUUAAUGAUAGUUCAAUACCAUUCAUAUAAUAAGGAGCAAUGCCGAUACCCUUAAUCAGGUUAGAUAGACUUGAAUUUGUUGUUAGGGGGUGGUUUAGGUAUGAAGUGUGUAGUAGCACAUAUUUGUUCCUAAUCACGUGUUUAAUUGAAUUUGGUCACAUGUUUACAAGAAACAUGAUUCAAUUAACUCAUAUUCAAGGACACUAUCCAUAAUUCAGAAUGAAAAAAAAAAUACCAAACUUGAAUCCGAGAACAUAGGAAAUUGUUCACAAAAUAACCAAAUUUAACAAAGGGGAUUCAAUCAACAUGGACAUUUCAUGUCAAAAUUAUGCUUUUCCAAAUAUGUUAGGUGGAGCAAAAUAGUCUCACAUAUUGACUACAUGAAUGGUACUCCUCAACAACAUUGAUAGAGGCACAGUCAAAUGCAUAACCAAUGAUCUCUUCCAUCAAGACGUAAGUAUAUUCUGCAAGUUGAGGUUCAAGAAUACUGUCCCUUAUUCUUGAAGUUUUUGGUUUUGGGUGCCAAGGAAUCACAUUUACGGCCGUGAUGCCACCCUUGGUAAGCGCUGAUUCUACCAUUAUUAGCGGGCUUGGAUUUUAUAACCAUGUCAUGGCUUCUUUUAACUCCGCCGUGUAAGUUUAUCUUACAUUGCCGGUCCCAAGCCCGGAUAAAGGAGGAGGGGGAGGGCGUCAGGUAGUCGACAGCCGGCACUCCAUGAUUACGUCGAAUCCUUAUGAAAAUGAAUCCAGAACGAAAUCGCGCUAAAGCUAGGGCGUCACCCGUAAGUGGCACGCUGUGUGGCCCGAGUACAGUGAUAAGUGAGCAAGGGUCGCUGUAUCUCCAUCGGCACUCGGAUGCAGUGUUAAAUGAGCAAGGGGGCUAUAGAAACUUCUUUUCGAACGACUCCACUCAAAGUUGUUUGGGAGCAUAUGCUCCUAUCAACUUUACACGGGACACACAAAAGAAGUAUUUUGAUCCUAUUAGACGGGGAAGGGUGAAGAAGCUAGGACAGAAGGGUAGAGUUCAAGAGAGCAAAAUGCGUUUAGGAACGUGGAAUAUAGGAACCUUGACGGGAAAAUCUAUGGAAGUAGUAGAAGUUAUGGUGAGGAGAAGGAUAAAUAUUAUGUGCCUACAAGAAACUAAGUGGGUUGGUUAUAAGGCAAAUGAUCUAGAAAACUCAGGGUUUAAACUAUGGUAUUAGGGCACAAAUAGAACGAGAAACGGUGUUGGCAUCAUCGUGGACAAGACCUUGACACAAGAUGUUGUAGAUGUCAAGAGGGUAGGAGAUAGAAUCAUGGCAAUCAAGAUUGUAAUAGGACAAGAACUUAUCAAUGUGAUUAGUGCGUACGCACCUCAAGUAGGGUUGGAUACGAGUUCGAAGGAGAAAUUUUGGGAAGACCUUGGAGACUUGGUGCAAGGAAUUGCUCAGACGGAGAAGUUAUUUAUAGGAGGAGAUUUAAAUGGACACGUGGGCAGGGAGACAGGCAACUAUGGAGGUUUUCAUGGUGGCCAUGGUUUUGGGGAGAGAAACGAGGAUGGGGAAGCUAUCUUGGAUUUUGCAAUGGCAUAUGAUCUCUUCUUAGCCAACACCUUCUUUAAGAAGAGAGAAGAACAUGUGAUCACCUACAAGAGUGGGUCGUCAAAAACACAAAUAGAUUUUCUUCUAAUGAGGAAAGGGGAUCGUAUAACUUGUAAGGAUUGCAAAGUUAUACCAGGAGAGAGCGUGGCUAAUCAACAUCGCUUGUUGGUGAUGGAUGUACAUAUCAAAAGAGUGAGAAAAAAGAACAAGACUUGGAAGUGCCCAAGGACUAGAUGGUGGAAUCUAAAAGAAGAAAAACAAGCCAUUUUCAAAGAGAAAGUAAUCACCCAGUGUGUGUGGGAUAGAGAGGGGGGGAAGCUAACCAAAUGUGGGAUUCCAUGGCUAGUUGUAUCCGAAAAGUAGCAAAAGAGGUAUUAGGAGAGUCCAAGGGCUUUGCCCCACACCAAAAGGAAUCUUGGUGGUGGAAUGAGGAGGUACAAACAAAGGUGAAGGCUAAGAAGGAAUGUUGUAAAGCCUUAUACAAGGAUAGGACCGAUGAAAAUGGUGAAAGGUAUAGAAAAGCGAAGCAAGAGGCGAAGAAAGCUGUGAGAGAAGCUAAGUUAGCGGCUUAUGACGAUAUGUAUAAGCGACUAGAUACCAAAGAAGGAGAGUUGGAUAUCUAUAAACUAGCUAGAGCAAGGGAAAAGAAGACAAGGGACCUAAACCAAGUGAGGUGCAUCAAGGAUGAGGAUGGAAAGGUUCUUGCUACAGAGAACGCGGUUAAAGACAGAUGGAAAGGUUAUUUUCAUAAUCUUUUCAAUGAAGGACAUGAAAGGAGUGCUUCUUUAGGGGAGUUGAGUAACUCAGAAGAGUGUAGAAACUACUCUUUUUAUCGUAGAAUCCGGAAGGAAGAAGUGGUUGUAGCUUUGAAGAAGAUGAAGCAUAGAAAAGCAGUAGGCCCAGACGAUAUACCAAUCGAAGUGUGGAAAGUUUUGGGAGAGACAGGUAUAACAUGGCUCACUGACCUUUUCAAUAGGAUUUUGAAAACGAAGAAGAUGCCAAAUGAGUGGCGAACGAGCACUUUGGUGCCUAUCUACAAGAAUAAGGGCGAUGUACAAAAUUGCAUGAACUAUAGGGGUAUUAAGCUAAUGAGUCAUACAAUGAAGCUCUGGGAGAGAGUCAUUGAGCAUAGAUUGAGGCAAGAGACACGGGUUUCGGACAACCAAUUCGGGUUCAUGCCAGGGCGCUCAACCAUGGAGGCAAUCUAUCUCUUACGAAGAUUGAUGGAAAGAUAUAGAGAUGGGAAAAAGGAUUUACACAUGGUCUUUAUAGAUUUGGAAAAAGCGUAUGAUAGGGUCCCAAGAGACAUUCUUUGGAGGAUUUUAGAGAAGAAAAGGAGUACGAGUAGCAUAUAUCCAAGCUAUACAGGAUAUGUAUGAAGGAGCAAAGACUGCCGUAAGAACUCAUGAAGGACAAACCGAAAGCUUUCCCAUAACUGUAGGAUUACAUCAAGGCUCAUCCUUAAGUCCUUACCUUUUUGCGUUGGUAAUGGAUGAGUUAACAGGACAUAUUCAAGAUGAUAUUCCUUGGUGUAUGCUUUUCGCAGACGAUAUAGUGUUGAUAGAUGAAACUCAGGAAGGGGUAAAUGCAAAGCUUAACCUUUGGAGAGAAGUGUUGGAAUCUAAAGGUCUUCGCCUAAGCCGAUCAAAGACAGAAUAUAUGGAGUGCAAGUUCAGUGCAAAUGGAGGCCAAAACGAGUUAGGGGUGAGGAUCGGAGAUCAAGAAAUACCAAAGAGCGACCGUUUUCGUUACCUAGGAUCUAUCUUGCAAAAGAACGGAGAAUUAGAUGGAGAUCUCAACCAUAGAAUACAAGCUGGAUGGAUGAAGUGGAAGAGUGCAUCCGGCGUGUUGUGUGACCGCCGUAUGCCACUGAAGCUCAAGGGAAAAUUUUAUAGGACGGCAAUAAGGCCGGCGAUGCUGUAUGGCACAGAAUGUUGGGCGGUGAAGCAUCAACACGUACACAAAAUGGGUGUAGCGGAGAUGAGGAUGCUUCGUUGGAUGUGUGGGCACACGAGAAAGGAUAAGAUUAGGAAUGAGGAUAUCCGGGGUAAAGUAGGAGUAGCCGAAAUUGAAGGAAAGAUGAGAGAAAAUCGGUUACGGUGGUUUGGACAUGUGCAAAGAAGGCCUACUGACGCUCCGAUUAGAAGAUGCGACUAUGGGACAGAGGUUCAGGGCCGAAGGGGUAGAGGAAGACCUAGGAAAACUUUGGAAGAGACCCUAAGAAAAGACUUAGAGUACUUGGAUCUAACGGAGGACAUGACACAGGACAGAACACAAUGGCGUUCUAAGAUUCAUAUAGCCGAUCCCACUCAGUGACUUGGAUUUUCCAAGUCUCCAACCGAGAAGUUUUCCUCACUCGGGAAAUUAAGGGAACACUACCUCAACCUACAUGCUCCACUCACAAAGCUUCAACAUACAAGCUUCAACAAAAGAAAAUUCAAAGAACUUAGCGAAGAAGGCUUUGGUGUAUUUAACACAAUACGUUGAAAUGAAGGAAAGCUUAUUUAUUGAUAUCCCCGAUAAGUUACAAAUAUGUACAUAUACUUGAGUCAAAAUAAACAAACAAGAGGGAGCCUUCACAAAGGUUGCUUAGGAGAAGUCUCAGCAGUCGGUAGAGCCCCAGAAAGAGAAGGCACCGGAGGGGGAUCAUUCGGAGCCUCAGUACUGGACAGAACCCUAGAAGGAGGAGGCAUCAGAGGUUGAUCAUUUGGAGCUUCAUUACGCGGUACAGCCCCAGAAGACGAAGGCAAUAAAUGCCUUUGGAACAAACCCACAAAUCUCUGAUGAUCAAGUAAAACCUGACCAUCAGAUUCCUUCAUCUGGUCAAGCUUCCUCUUCAUGUUUGUAGCAUAGUCAUGUGCGAGCCGGUGCAACUGUUUAUUCUCAUGCUUGAGCCCUCUAAUCUCCUGUUUGAGACUCAUCACUUCAGCCGCCAAUGAUUCAACUUGGCGGGUUCGAGCAAAUAGGCGUUGGGCCAUAUUAGACACAGAACCUGCACACUGAACACUGAGAGCCAGAGAAUCCUUAACAGCCAACUCAUCAGACCGUUUGGAAAGUAGUCUGUUAUCUUUGGGAGUGAGAAGGUUCCUGGCCACUACCGCAGCGGUCAUAUCAUUCUUCAUCACGGAAUCCCCAACGGUAAGAGGACCAGUAGGGGAGACGAAGGAUGGGCGCCAUAUGUUGUCUGGAGAAGGCGGGGCUGCCUCUUCAACAAGGUUCAAGUCAAAACGACGGUCGGAGGGGCCAGACAUUUUCAAAGGUGUUGAAGAGAGAAGAGGUCGGACAAAUCAAGAUCUUAGAAGUGCAAGAAUGGAGCUUCUACUGGUGGAUAUUCAAGUGUGCUUUGGAACUUAAUGUCAGCCCCUAUAAAAUCUGCACUCGACGAAGCUUCAGAAAUCGAAGAGGCGCCUGCUCAGAAAUCGAAGAGGCGUUUGCUUUCUCAAAAGCUGGGCUGCUCAGAGACCACGAGGGUCGAUCUCAGAAAUCGAAGAGGCGUUUGCUUUCUCAAAAGCUGGGCUGCUCAAAGACCACGAAGGCCGAUCUCAGAAAUCGAAGAGGCUUGCUUUCUCAAAAGCUGGGCUGCUCAGAGACCACGAGGGCCGAUCUCAGAAAUCGAAGAGGCACCUACUUUUCCAGCCUUGUCAGCACCUGUCACACGCACACUCAGCUUUGCGGAAAUUAUGGGCAUUCUGUCGAAGAUUUCUGGCGAAGUAGAAAGCACAUGAAUCGUACUGUUCAAUCACCCACUUCCCACACGCAACAGUAGCUCAUGGGUACCACAGAUAACUUUGCCAAAGUUCUCUGACAAAGUUGAGACACGUGAAGCUUGCAGCUCCCACUACAUCGCUCUGACCAAGAAGGGUAAAAGAAUAGCAAAGAAACAACACUAACAAAGUUUAGACACAUAAAUUUUGAAGGUCUAGCUACCAUAUUAUUACCCACAAGGGUAAAGGAACAGUACCACUGCUGGAUAAUUGGAAAGUCCCGGUGUGUCAACCUCUGUGCUUCGUGGCAAGGUAGACUAGCAAACAUGCCCAACCUUUACUCACAUUCGAGAAAACACUCCCAACAAGAUUGCUUGCUCCAAAAUCGAAGAGGCACCGCCCUCCGAAUCUCGAGAGCCAGACUCCCAACAUGAUUACUUUCUCAAAAAUCGAAAGAGAGGGUAAAGGAACAGUACCACUGCUGGAUAAUUGGAAAGUCCCUGUGUGUCAACCUCUGUGCUUCGUGGCAAGGUAGACUAGCAAACAUGCCCAACCUUUACUCACAUUCGAGAAAACACUCCCAACAAGAUUGCUUGCUCCAAAAUCGAAGAGGCACCGCCCUCCGAAUCUCGAGAGCCAGACUCCCAACAUGAUUACUUUCUCAAAAAUCGAAGAGAGGGUAAAGGAACAGUACCACUGCUGGAUAAUUGGAAAGUCCCUGUGUGUCAACCUCUGUGCUUCGUGGCAAGGUAGACUAGCAAACAUGCCCAACCUUUACUCACAUUCGAGAAAACACUCCCAACAAGAUUGCUUGCUCCAAAAUCGAAGAGGCACCGCCCUCCGAAUCUCGAGAGCCAGACUCCCAACAUGAUUACUUUCUCAAAAAUCGAAGAGACACCGCUCUCCGAAUCUCGAGAGCCAGACCCCCAGCAAGAUUGCUUUCUCAAAAAUCGAAGAGGCAUCGUUCUCCGAAUCUCGAGAGCCAGAUCCCCGACAGGAUUGCUUGUUCGAAAAACCGAAGAGGCACCACUUUCCCAACUUCAAGAGCUGGAUCUCCUUGGAUAAAGCUUGUCUGUAAUCUUCACACGCAACAUCAGCUUUCCAGAUACCACAGACCACUUUUUCAAAGUGCUCUGACAGAGUUAAAACAUGUGAAGCUGGCAGCUCCCACUACCGUGCUAUGACCAAGCAGGGUAAAGGAAUAGCAUUAUUACUUGAUGUUAGGGAGACUCCUAUAUAUAUGUCGACCUCCAUCCCCAACGGACAGGCAGACCUGCAAAAAUGCUCAACCCUUCCUCUUAUCUGAGAGGGCACUCCCAACGAAGCCUUUCGAAAUAUUCAGCUUUCUUUCCCCCCGAUAAUACCUCUGUAAACAAGCUAUACUAGAGCAAGAAUAUCUCAUAUCAUCAGGGUUAAAAGCAAGAGUAUCCCAUAUCAUGCUUUUUCCCUGUCUUUUCCUUUGGCCUUGUUCUUACCUGCAAGACAAGGAGAAAGAGAGCAAUCAGUCAGCACUUGGAAUCAAGCUUCCAGCCAGGAACUGACUGCCUGGAACCCCUUACCUGAUUACUUACCUGGCAUUGCUCUCGAGUACUCAUCUUCAACAUCUUAUGCUUCCAGGGAAGAUACCGCAUCUGCCUGAGGAACAGAUAGGGCAAGUGAGAAGGAUACAAGGAAGCAUGUGGAGACAAGCGUAACAGCACACGUGCCGAUACAUCCACUACUCUGUCAAAAGCAAAAGUAUCCCAUAUCAGCAGGGUCGAACGUACUCUAGAUUUGAUGGACUUGUUUUGACCCUCAAAUUCUUCAGUCGGCCUUAUACUCUGGAGGAAACCAGAAAACCCUCCAGCCCAGUUCAAGAAUAAGCCUGUGGAAAGUUACUUCUUCAAAAGCAAAAGUAUCCCAUAUCAUCUCUUCUCAUUUUUCUUCUCUUUAUCCUUCAUGCUGCCUGCAAGAUAGGGAGAAUGUGAACAAUCAGCCGGAGCUCUGAUUGCUUACCUUGUCUGUCACCUCUUUCAGCAGAUCCCCUAGCUCGGCGACUUGGGGGACUCCUACUACAUGGUUUGUAUCGCGCUUGACCAAGCCUGAAACUACAAGUAAGCUUCAAGUGAAAUUGAUACAUUACCUUGUGCAUCUCCACCAGUUACAGAUACCACCCCUGGAUGGAGGAAGAGUACUUCCAGAGAAGAUGCCACAUCUACCUAUGAGACAGAUAAGGCAAGUCAAGACGAUACCACACUCCGGUACUUAGAAGUUUCGUGGUUACGAGAUCAUUCUCCCACAAUAUUUCCUAAUGUCAUUUGUACUAAAUCAUUCACUUGUACUCACUAAAGGAGAGCUUGAACCUAUGUACUUGUGUAAACCCUUCACAAUUAAUGAGAACUCCUCUAUUCCGUGGACGUAGCCAAUCUGGGUGAACCACGUACAUCUUGUGUUUGCUUUCCUAUCUCUAUCCAUUUAUAUACUUAUCCACACUAAUGACCGGAGCAAUCUAGCGAAGAUCACAAAAAGUGACCGUUUUCGCUACCUAGGAUCUAUCUUGCAAGAGAACGGAGAAUUAGAUGGAGAUCUCAACCAUAGAAUACAAGCUGGAUGGAUGAAGUGUAAGAGUGCAUCCGGCGUGUUGUGUGACCGUCGUAGGCCACUGAAGCUCAAGGGAAAAUUUUAUAGGACGGCAAUAAGGCCAGCGAUGUUGUAUGGCACAGAAUGUUGGGCGGUGAAGCAUCAACACGUACACAAAAUGGGUGUAGCGGAGAUGAGGAUGCUUCGUGGGAUGUAUGGGCACACGAGAAAGGAUAAGAUUGGGAAUGAGGAUAUCCGAGGUAAAGUAGGAGUAGCCAAAAUUGAAGGAAAUAUGAGAGAAAAUCGGUUCCGGUGGUCUGGACAUGUGCAAAGAAGGCCUACUGACGCUCCGGUUCGAAAAUGUGACUACGGGACAGAGGUUCAGGGUCGAAGGGGUAGAGGAAGACCUAGGAAAACUUUGGAAGAGACCCUAGGAAAAGACUUGAGUACUUGGAUCUAACGGAGGACAUGACACAAAACCGAGUGCAAUGGCGUUCUAGGAUUCAUAUAGCCGACCCCACUUAGUGGGAAAAGACUUUGUUGUUGUUGUUGUUGUUGUCAUGGCCUCUUUUGAAUUUUAACAAGUUAGGUUUUGUGAAACACUUAGCAUUUUCUUCGAGCAAAGGGAGUGUCUUUGAGUGAGUAUGGGUGCACCUGAUGAGCUAUCAUCAAGGAAAUUGUUGUGCUUUCCAAUGAGCAACAUGGUAGUAAUCGGAUCUAAGAAUCUAGUAGUCUUUCGUUCUCUACACCACUACUUCAGGAGAAUGUUAUAGUCGUGGAAGGAUGAGAAAAAUCUUCUCCAGUCAAAAUUCGAUCGGAUUACAUAAACUUCAUAAUUAUACCCAUUCAUGGACGUAAAUUUUUCAAUCAUUUCUUUCUUCAGGCAAUCUUUCAUGAUUGAAAGGUCCGUAAAGCGAGCUAAAAACCAUGGAAUCCUUUUUAGCAAGGUACUUCUUUUUGUAAUGCUUCAGGCAUAAGUUUUCACAUGAAGAUUAUGGCGGUUCUUAUUCAGCUCUUCCACGCCACUAUUCAUUUCAAUGGAUUUCAGCUUUUUUCGUAGUCAAGUGGAGCUCACGUCUCGUAUGAACGAAAUGUAGUUUUUCUCAGAAACUUCCAAAUCAAUGAAAUCAAACUUGUUACGGUUUGACACGCUAAUGGAUUCUGGGAAAUCUUCAUGUGGUAGAGCUAUGGCUAUGGCACUUUGAAACUUCAGGUUAGCUUAAAUGUAUAUAUGAAAACUUAUUCAAUGAGAUUUAUUGACGAUUGAGUGAAAUACAUUGGUGAGCAUGGAAGUGGAUUAAUAGUUCUUCUUUUUUUUUUUUUUGAACUUUUUUAAAUAGACUGAAGAUUAUGAUGUGGGAAAUCCGGCUGCAUUGUGAGCUGGAAAAAUGCUAAAGCUGACAUGCAGUAAUUGGGGAACAGAUGAUGAUGAAGGAUUUUACUAAUGUCUGAAUGAUUGGCUACUGAUUGUUUCUAGGAUGAUUGGCAAUGCCAUUUUUUAUUGAACCGAAAUAGCUGGAACUGGAGUUGUUGGGAUAGCUAGAGCUGGAGUGAUGGGAAACUCUGAGAUGACCAAAUUGAUGAUCUUCGGAUGGUUGAACUUAUCCCACCAUUUGACUGAUCUUGAAUGGUAAACUUCACCCGUUUCGACUUCAUAAUUCCAUUUCAUAAUCCACAGGACUUUGUACUUAGCCAUGAAUAAUGGGAAAAGUGUAAUCCUAUAGUUGAAUCGGCUUCUAUCAAAUUUUUGCUGGAAACUAGCUGAGAGGAAUUGCAUAAGUUCGUCUGGGAGGAAACUGGCUGUUGGGCCUUGAACGGACCACCAUUUUGGGAACCAUGCAGGAAAAUUUAGUCUGAAACCUUUGUCAAAAUUAAUAAACCAUGAAUAACUAAGGUCUUAUGUCUGGUGGAGAAAGAUGUUAGUCCAUGCUUGGAUAUAAUCGAAAUAAUUAUAAGGAUUAUUGAGAAAAAGAACAUUCUGUGAAUGAAGAGGCUUGGUUUGAUGAAGGGGGAGUCCCCAUUUUGAUUCAGUAAAAAACUUUCCAAUGUAAAGAGAAUGGUAAAUGAUUUUGUUUUUAUGGGUUUUGUGGUAGAGAGGUUUGAUUGAAAUGGACUCAGUUUCACAGAGGAUGACUUGAUAAUAUUUGAGAUUUUUGUAAGAUUCAGUAGGUUGAUAAUGAAAGUUGGGUUGAUUCUUGUUUUACUGGUGAUGGUGGUAGAGUGGCUGGAAACCUCCUCUGAUCAAUUCUUUUUCCUGUCAUUCUUCCUCUGCAAAAAUUCUGUGGUUAGGAAAUCAGGGAUGCAAUUUUGGCUGCCUUUAAUAUAUUCAAUGUCAAAAUAAAAAAUACUUAAUAUGGCUUGUCAUCGUGCAAAAAUCUGUUUUGAUGCAAUGUUUUGAACAUCUUUUUGUAAAACAUGUUUUGCAGACUUGCAAUCAACUCUGACUAAAAACUUUUGAUUUAAUAAAUCAUCUUGAAAUUUGCUAAUGCAUAAUACGAUAGAUAAUAUUUCUUUCUUAAUAGUAAUAUAAUUACUUUGUGCUGGAUUCCAUACUCCUAAAUGGAAAUGAACAAUUUGUUCAGGAGGUCUGGAAGAAAUUGACUGUUUGAGAAUACCCCCGUAACCAAUUUCAGAGGCAUCAGUUUCAACAAUUUUGAAGGAAUUAGGAGUUGGAAUGCCAAGACAGGGCAAAGUCUUAACAUGUGAUUUGAUUUGUUUAAAUAUGGAAGUAUGAGUAUUGGACCAUGAUGAGGGAUUUUCUUUUAAACGAUCAAACAAGGGUUUGCAUUGUUGUCUAAGAUGUGGAUAAAAUUCUGCAACAUAAUUUAAGAUCCUAGAAAUCUUUGUAAUCGGGUUUUGUCAGUGAUUUCAUCCAGAAACUUAUUUGCAAAUUGAAUUACUCUAUUUAUUGGUUGAAUGGUUGACUGGUGUAUAUUAUAUCCUAAAAACCUAAUUUUGGUUUGGAAUAACUUAAUUUUAGUUGCUGAGACAACUAAUCCACUUGACUUAAUUAUCCUAGCAAACAUGUUUAAGUGUUUCCAAUGCUCAUUUAUCGAUUUGGAAUAAAUGAGAACAUCAUCAAUGUAAACAAUUGAGAAAUGACUGUAUUGAUUAAAUAUUUCAUUCAUGAUAUUCUGAAACUCACUGUGUGCAUUCUUAAGACCGAAUGACAUUACAUUCCAUUUAUAAUGACCAAAAGGAGUAACAAAUGUUAUUUUGUAUUUAUCCUCCUCAUGAAUUUGGAUUUGCCAAAAUCCAGAUUUCAUGUCAAAUUUUGAGAAGAUUACAGCUUGACUAAGUCUCUUAACCAAAUCUCUUUUGUUGGGAAUUGGAUACCAUAUCCAUUCCAAGACUUCAUUAAGAGGUUUGUAAUUAAUGACUAACCUGGGAGUUCCUAUUUCUAUUUCAGCAUUUUUCUAGACAUAAAAAGCAGGACAAGACCAGGGUGAUUUGCUUCCUAAUGAUUCCUUUAUUAAGAAGUUCUUGGAUUUCUUUUUUUUUCAAAAUUCCAUAACUUCUUGACUCAUUUGGAUUGGUCUGGCUUUUGUUGGUAUUUUCUUUUCAUUAAGUUCCUUAUUGAAAGGAAGUUUAACAAUGUGUUGUUUUCUGUGCCAAAAGGCGUUGAGAAUAUUCGUACAAAUUUCAUUAACAAGUUUCUUUUGAAAAUUGUCAAUGCUUUGUAACAAAGAUUUGUUUGUUAAUUGUUCUUCAAUUCGUUUAUAAUUAAUUUUUUCUUUUAAGAAACUAAUUUGUUGGUAAUAAGAUUGAUGAAUUUUGAUAUACUAUCUUUCUGUUGUCUUAAUUUUCUGAGGUCUGUCUCUGUACAGAAUUCAAAUGUUAUUUUUUGUCCUAACAUCCCAGCGGUUAUGCGAUUAUGGUGAACCUUAAAAGGAUAUAGAAGGGCUAGAAAGGGGAGAUCUAAAAUGAUUGGAUCAGAAAUGUUUUUAAUCAAGACAAAUGGGGUUUUAAAACAAAUAUUAUUUUGACAAACAUGGGCUUUCGGAAUUUCAUAUUUCAACUGCAUUGGUGAUUGAUUUGCAGCACUAAGUAUUUCCACUAAGUAUUUUUGAUGAUUUGUGAAAAUACUUAGUAAGAAUUAAUUCUUCUUGAAUACAAUUCAAGUCUGCACCUGAAUCAAUCAAAGCAAUUGUGUCUAUAUGGAAAUCUUCAAUUAUUAUUUUGAUUUUAGAAUACCAUUAUGGAUUCUUAUUUUGUCUAAUAAACUUAAUACUAAAUUUUUUGUGGACUUUUCUUCAGACUGGGAGUUUGAGUUAUGACUUGAAGAAGAACUAUUAUGCUCUUCAUCAUGAAUGUUUGUAAUAUUUUGGGUUUGAACUCUACUGAGUUGUGUACAUAUUUCUAGGUUUUCUGAUUUUAUGAACCUAAUUUCUUCUUUGAUUUUAUUAACUUCUUUCUGUAAAUCCUUCACUAUGAUUUCCUUCUUGGGCUUAUUGAACCAUUCUAAUGUUGUGCUAAGACUUAUUUUUUGAGAUGACUGGGGUUGACUAGUACUGGCUUCUUCUUGAGAGACUAGUUUCUUGAGCUUUUUUAAGUAAAAUGAUUUUAACUCAUGGUCAUCAACUUUACUAAUUAAUUCAAUAAGAAGAUCUUCUUGUUCUUCUUGUUCUUCUUGUUUAUUGAGGAUUGGAAUUUUAUUACAACAAGUAUCAGUACAUCCUAUCCUAAUAUCUGAGGAUGAUAGACUACUUGAGGAUUUGUUGGAAGAAGAUGAAUUAGAACUUAAAUCAUCUUCAUAUUGACUAUGGUCUGUAUCUUUUAAUUCUAGAACUUGGAUUAAUUGAGUUUUCUCUUCCUCAGAGAUCUUUAAUUGGUUGAUUGUUUUCUUGGCUCGACAUUUGUUUGCAUAAUCACAGAAUUUGCCACACUUGUAGCAAUUUCCUUUUUGUUCUUGAUUUUUGGAGUGGAGUUUUCCUGAGGGUUUCCUCUUCCACUUAUUGGACUUGGGUUUUUCGUAAAAUAUAUUUGUUUCAAGAUUCUUAUUUUUAAAUUUGUUAUAUUGGAAUGUCUCCUACUGGAAUACCUAUUGUAGACUUCGGAUUUUUUCUUUUUAUUGGAUGGAGCAAUAGGAGGUAAUCCAUAUUGUUCACAAAAUGUUCCUAAUUCGUAUUUGGCUACUGACUUGUCUUUGUUGACUUGUUUUGAGAUUUUCAUAUCUAUACACAUUUUCAAUCCUUCUUUCUGGAUGAUAUUUAUAAUAUUCCCAUAAGUAAGGGCAUGAUAUGAUAUGACACCUUCUUCAUUAACUAUGACAUUUCUAAUUUUAUGGGCAAAAAGGUUUGGUAAUCCAUUAAUAAGUUUUUCUUUCCAAAAUGGUUGAUUACUAUCUUCUAUAAGCAUGACUCUAGACAUGAAAACAUCAUUGUACCACCUAAAAUCACUUAAGGUUGGACAUCGUAGAUUACUAAGUUGAUCAUGAAUUCUAGAGGUGACAUUACUAGGUGUUUCUAUAAAAUGUUCAAUAAUGGUAAAGGUAACGUGUUAACUGCAUUUGAGACUCCUUGUCCUAUAUGCUCAUAAAAAAUGGGAAUUCCUUCUUCAUCCCUUUUAACUGCAUUUUUUAUUUCAUUUCUUGAUUGUUCAGUGAGGUGUUUUUCCCACCAUGAAUGAAGCAUUCCUGUAAAUCCAGUGACCAAGAGGUCAACAACUUGUGUUUGACUCAGAUUAUGAUUGGUAAUAUAACUACCCAUGGAGAUGUGUUGUAGCUUGUUCAAAAGUUCUUGUUCAGAUAAACCAUCUAUAUUCCAUUCAUAGAGUUUAUCAAAUGAAACUGAGAAUUGAUUUUGAAUGUUUCUUUCUUCAAAUUGAAUGUCUAGAGGUGUGGGUCUUGGAUACCAAUUCUUGGUAAGUGUGGUUGGGCUGACUCUUCUAUUUGUGAUUCGUUUGAGCUCAAUAUUUUGAAAGGCUUGUUCUACUUUCCUAAUGGAAUCUGUUUCAGUUUCGUUUUCUAUAUCCCAAAUUGUAGAAAUUGUUUCUACUUGAGAUUCCUUUGCGUGUUGCAAGACAUUAACUGUCUUUUCUUGUUUUAAUUCUUGUAACAUUUGGUCUAUUCUUUGACUUGUGGAAAUUGUUUUCAAGGCAAUUGUUCUAGAAGAAAAUUCUAGAAAAUUAACCAAGGGUUUUUCCCUAUGUGUUGGUUUUGUUUGGGAAAGUUUAUCUAUUUUGGUUUCAAUUUUGUCUAAUUAUUUUCCUAUGGUGUGUAAACUCUGGUUUGUGAAAUUGUUUUGUUCGAUGACUGGCUUAACUCCUGCAGCUUCUUUUGGAAGUUUGAAAGGAGUAGCUGGUACUUGUGUUUUUGCUGUUGUACUUAAAAUAGUUUCUUGUGGAGGGUGACUGGAAGAGACUAUGGUUUUGUCUUCUUUGACCCAAUUGUCUUUGGUAAUGACUUCUAGCUUCUUUUCAGUCUCAUAAUAUUUUUCAACAAAGUCAAAGAAAAAUAUUUCAAAUUUGUGAUGGUUCAUGAAAUUGGUCCAUUUAUUUUUAAUAUCCAAUUUUUGUUCUUUUGUGUAUUUGUUUAUGAAAAUAUUUAGCUGAGGAAUGUUUUUUUGUGGCUUCUAUGUUAGCAUUGAGCUUUUUCCAUCGAAUUUUAAAUGACUUAUUUAACACAAGUAAUUGAUGAUUAAUUUGACUUGCUUCGAAGUCAUGUUGUGGGAGAAGUUUGUUCUCCUUGAUCUUGAAUGUUUGGUUUGUAAAUUGGAUGGGAAAAUUGAGAAGUAGUUUCUAUUGAUAUUAAUCAAGUCAUUGAGUAAUUCUUGGUGAGUGACAGUUGAAUUUGUUUCUACUGCCUUUAAUUUUUUGUUGAUUAAAGAAUUGAUGAGAUCUUGGUCUUGACCUACCAUGUGGCAGAUGUGGAUCCAAUAAAAGAAUUUCUACUGGGGGUUAAGGAUUUAUGUGAGUGAGUAAAUUCUUGUGGGUUAACAUUUGAUGUUUUGGAUGGUCGGUCAAAAUUGAUUUUAACUGUUUCAUCAAAGUAUUGUUUUAUGUUGUCUAGGUUGACUAAGCUGUUCUGGAUACUAAUAGGUUUAUUUUGGUUAAUCAAACACCAAUUUGAGGGCAAACUGAUAUCCGACCACCUAAUGGUUAUGGGUAUUUUAACGUUGGUGUUUUCUUGGUUGGUUUGGAUUAGAAGUGUGUGGUCUCUAGGACAUUUGACUAAGGCUUGGAAGUUCAUAUUUGUUCCCGUGACCUUGUAAUAAACUCUGAAAAUUAAGGCUAAUAGUUGGACUCAUUCAAAGACUUGGCAUUCUGAAGUCUUGAUGUUUAAUGUGAGUGCUUUCAGCAUAUGGAGAUCUGAAAGACUUAUUGUGAGAUUUGGGAAACAAUCAAGAUGAAUUGGUCCAUUGUAGAGACUUGACUCAAUCAUUCCAAGAAUGCUAUCACUGAAGUCAGUGAAUCUUGCAUCUCGGAGACAUAACAAAAUAGAGGUAUUAAGGCAUUUUCUUGUUAAUGGUUUGACUGCUAUAUGGACUAAUCAUAUAUGGAUGUAAUUAUAACCAUCUUUUUUGUGGGUUUUGAUUUGAUCUGGGGUGAAUAAUUAACAAGUUUCAUGUUUUUUACUAAGAGCAUAGGCCCUUUCAACUAUUUUUACAUGGUGUUCACUUCUAAAAGAGGCUACUGACCAUUUUUUUUUAUAAAUAUUUUUUAUGAAACUUUGGGAAUAUUCCAAUCUCCAAAGUCGACAUUGUCAUCUAUUUGAAAUUCUAACCUUUGUUCUUUAUUUACUAUGUCUGGAAUUGUUCCUAUAUUAGAUCUAGAACCAGUGCUGGCCACUGAAUUAGAUCUAAAUAAUAUACUCAUGUUGCUCAAAAUACAGACUUACAAAAUAGAAAUCUUAUUAGCUUACCUUCCUCGAUUGCUUGCUAAAUUCCCUCUCCGCUCAUGCCAAUUCUUUGGACUUAUUAUUUGGAACAUGUCUUACUAUUUGGGUUGGGAAUGAAACAAAUAACUCAGAAGGAUAACAAACAAGAUAACCUGCCUUAGAAACUGAAAGAUGAACAAAUGAGAUGAUUAUAAAGAUAAUGACUCAAUUACCACUCACUUUUCAAAUAUAUCUGUAUCACUACUUUGAAUUCAUUAUUUUCAUAACAACUGUUUUUGAAUGGUAUAAUUCUUACUCACAGUCAAUUUAUUGAAUACCUCAAGUUCAAGGUAAACACCGAUCAAUCAUUUGUUCAAUUCUUUCUAUUUGUUUAUACCAGUUGGUUUCAUGGCAUUUUAUAUAUAUAUAUAUAUAUAUAUAUAUAUAAAGUAAUUGAAAACAAAUAUAGUGAAGGUGGGUAGCCUCGCGACCUUUUUCGUAAAAAUAUAGGGCACAACCCAAAAAACGUUUAGAGCUUCAAGCCCAAAAGAAAAUAAAUUAUUAUUUUAAUUUGCUGGGCUGCGGGCCAACUAGUAGCAAUAGGUGGAUUGACAAAACCCAGGCCCAAAUAUUAGGCUAAGUAAGGAAAAGUGAAAAUUAAGUCCCGAGAAAUAGUUUCAAGGUUUCAUAUGGGUGAAAGUAAAUAGGUCCGUUUUGGAUUGCAAAUCCAUUAUAGAAAAAAGAAUUCAGGCUCAAGGCUUAAAAAGCCCAAAGAGAAACAAAAAACAAAAGCCCAAAAAAAAAAAUUGGACUGGGCUUUAUGGUGUGCUGACCCAAAUAGGAUGCGGGUCUGAGUUGAGAUCAAGUCUGAGUGAAAACUGGGUUAGUUUUGCCAGAAAACCAUGGCGUGGAAUCGCUAUAUGUGGUGUGGUGCAUGAUGGCAUAUACAUGGAAACAAUGUCAGGAAAACGAUCUCAGGUGAGGCAGACCCGAUGGUUUGUCUAGAACCCAUGUAAUCAUGACAUAGAGGAUUGCUCGACUUCGGAAUCACGAAGCAUGAUAGCUGCAGAGGCAAGCCCUGUUGGCAAAUCCCACAUCGGUGGGGGAAGUCAACAAUGAAGAUUUUAAAUAGGAUUACCCUACUCUAACUAAUACUAAGGUUUUUUGUGGUAAACCCACACCUGACAGAUUAAGCCCGUCGAUCAAAAAUUCCAACAAUGUAUCAGAGCCCACGGUUAUGGACUCGUGCAAGCCAAAGGCUUGUCACCAAGAAGUGUGGGCUUGGAAACAAGCUUGGACUCUUAACAUAGAGCCGGUCUCCGAGUUCUUAAGAUACACUUCCUAGAAUGAUUGAAAACAAGUCUGGACUCCAUUGGAGCCGACCUCUGAGUUUCAAUUGCUGAUGUGUGGAUCUUUACGUGUGAACCACUAAAGGGGGUUCCACAUGAGGGGGCGUGUUGGCAAAUCCCACCUUGGUGGGGGAAGUCAACAAUGAGGAGUUUAAAUAAGAUUGCCCUACUCUAACUAGUAAUGAUGAUUUUUAUGGUAAAACCUCCCACCUGACAGAUAAGGCGAAUGGUAAUUAUCAAGUUGGGGACAAUAUCGAUGUCUUUAAAGUGAGGUUCCCCAGGCCCAUUGAUCAUAAAUUCCAACAGGCCCGAGUUGCUUGAAGGUCGGCGACGUCUCGAGAGACAACAACAAGCAUGGGUGUAUAGAUUGGAGGGGGAAAAAUGAAAUAUACAUCGAAUUUCAUCAAAUUCGUCCAUUGGAACGAUUCUGACCUCGAAAACGAUGACAUUCAAGUCAUCGGAAGUCCACACUAUCGACAUAGGUGUCUCGACUUCGAUCACGGGUUUUAUGUCAAAAUCCCAGCAAAAUUCUUCUAGAAUCUAAUGUUUCUAUGUAUGGAAACAACUUUCGAAGUCUAAGAUGACUUCCAGUCAUCGGUGAAGUCACGAACAUCACCACAAAAAAAAGUGAGGUCGCUACAAAUCGAAGAGGAAGACGACAAUCGGGAAACAAUGUCGUUUUGAUUGAAGGGCUAAAGGUUUGGCUCGACUCAAUGGCAUGGCACAACGGCUCAGCUACUUAGAUCACACCACUUCAAGCCCUGGCUAGGCGAGUCAACAUGAUAUUAGGGUUUGAAAAAAAGAUCGUUUUCUUCUUCCUUUUGCUUUGCUUGUUCACACAUAUGCAAUUCAUCACAAUUAUAACAGGAGUAAUAUAAUAUAAUUGCGAACAAUAAUUUGAGUAGAAUAUAUAAUUCGGUAAUCAAAGAUUAAGGCUCAUGCUCAAUGGUGAAUGUUUCAUGCAAUUAUGCUGAAAAAAUAUCAACAUUAAAUUCUUGUGUUUAGAAUAAUGUGGAUUGCAAUUACGAAUUUUGUGUACGGGUUUAUAUCAUAAUAUCCUUCAGUUCCUUACCUCAGCGUUAGGAACAAAUAGAGAGGUAUGGAGAAAGGCUUGAGUAAGUUUUCUUCCUCAUGCCUAGUGUCUUUGUUUAUAGUAAACUAGAUAGGUUCCUUACCUUGCAUGCAAUACAAUCAUAAAGGGAUUUGUUGCCGUGAGUAGGAGUUAAAGGUGUAAAUAUGUUGUAAAUAUUAGGCAUCCUUUAUUAGGAAGGAUAUAUGUGUGUGUCAUUUAUUGGUUAUUGUUUCCUUAUAGAACAAGGAUUAUAUCUUGUAUAUAUAUUUCAGUUAUGCAAUACAAUGAAAAUUAAGCCGUAAAAUUCUAUUUGGUAUCAAAGCCUAGUGUCGUAACUCUAAACCAGAAACAUACCCAUCUCGUGCCUCUGUGUUGCCGUGAAAUUGCAACGACUCUGUGCUUGUGUCUUUGCUGUAAGUAUUGCUGGGGUAUUCUUUUUGCAAUUUGUUUUUUUCCUUAUUGCAGAAAAGCCAAAAUUGUCGUGCUACUUCUCUAUUGUGCGCUACUGCUCAUAUUGGAGGGUCUGCACUCUUGUUCCUUUGUUGCUUUUCUGUAGAAAGACAAAGGUGCCAUAUUGUGCUAGUAUGGUGUGCGAUCUGCUGUGUUGCUUUGCAAUUGUGCCGUGUGUUUUAAAAAUUAUUGCUGCAUGUAAUUGCGACUCGAAAUAGCUGUGAUAUCUACCCGUGUAAGAGUCUGGUGUAUUCUGCUACUAAGGAAAAUAAGGUUAAAAAAAAUAAAAUCUGCAAGGGUUGUAUUUCUUGCUUCUACCGUACCAGUGCUGGUGUGUUUUUUUCCUGUACUUGCCGUGUGUCUGUACUGCAACAAUUCUAUUUGUUGUUUUGUGUUGUGCAAUCAGCGUGGAACGCGGUGUGUCGUGCACAAUUGCAAGUGUGCUUUUCUUGCUGCUUCCUAAAUUGCUGCGUGGAAAAAAGGGGUUGUCCCCUCUGUUUAUGACGUGUGCUGUUAAUCAUAACAAAGGGAAAAUAUGGGAUUGGAAGUGUAAUUUGGUUUUCAAGUGCUGCUCUUUGCUUUUCUUGCAGCGUAUGGUUCCGUAAUUAGUGUGGUGUUGUGAUUGUUGUGUAUUAUUGUCUCGUGAGUUAUUAAAAUGACAAAUGCAGGUUAGAUUUUGGAUUUCGGUGCAACAGAUCAUAUGAUGUAUGAUAAAACCUUAUUUCAAUCUAUAACAUGCCCUCAUAGAAAGUGUGUGGCAACUGCCAAUGGUUCUACUGGUGUUGUUGUUGGAGUGGGAACAAUAUCUCUUACACCCUAUCUUCCCUUACAUAAUUGUUUAUUGGUUCCGUCAUUGUCGCAUCACUUAUUGUCUGUACCUCAAGUCACUGAACAGUUAGAUUGUGUUGUAUUAAUGUAUCCUUCAUUUUGCUUGCUUCAGGAUAUUCAGACAAAGGAGAUCAUUGGACAUGACACUAAGAGAGAUGGGCUAUAUUAUGUGGAUGAUGUGGUUCCUGGAAGAGCUAAUUUGGUCCAUGCGUCACAUAAUAGUAAUCUACAGAAGUUAUUGUUAUUGCAUCGUCAUUUGGGGCAUGCAUUGUUUGAUUAUUUGAAACAUAUAUUACCUGAUUUGUUCAGUGGCAUUGAAGACUCAGAAUUGAAAUGUGAAGUAUGUAUUUUAUCCAAAAGUCAUCGUGCUUCAUUCCCUCCAAGUAUGAAUAGAACAUCUUCUCCAUUUGCGCUAGUACAUUCUGAUGUGUAGGGGCAUUCCCCUAUUAGUACUGCUUUGGAAAUUAAAUGGUUAUUAUGUUUGUUGAUGAUUGCACUCGUAUGACAUAGGUUUAUCUGUUGAAACAUAAAAGUGAUGUUAGUAUGAUUAUUCGGUUUUUCUCUCAGAUGGUGGCUACACAAUAUUCCUCCAUUAUUAAGGUUCUUCAUACUGAUAAUGGGGGAGAAUAUGUUAACUCUGAGCUAUCUACUUUUUUUCCGUGAUCAAGGAAUUCUUCAUGAGACAACGUGUUCGUAUACCCAACAACAAAAUGGAAUAGCUGAGAGAAAAAACCGUCAUAUUUUGGAAACUGCUCGUGCAUUGCUUAUUGGUGUAUGUUAUAAAUCGCAUGCCAUCCCGGGUUGUAGAAUUUCGUACUCCACUCUAAGUGUUGACGGAACAUGUUCCGGUUGUUUCUACCAAUACUCUCACUCCUCGAGUGUUUGGAUGCGUUGCUUAUGCUUAUAUUCACAAGAUUGAUCAUAGUAAAUUGGAUCCUUGUGCUCUUCGGUGUGUCUUUGUGGGUUUUGCAUCCCAUCAGAAAGGUUACAAGUGUUACCACCCUGCAACUCGCCACAUGUAUAUAACCAUGGAUGUGAUUUUCUCUGAGUCAGAAUAUUUUUAUGCUUCUGUAUCACCACCCUUCGAUCAUAAGGGGGAGAGUUCUAAUUGUGAUCUUGAUGGUGAUUUUGAAUGAUUGGAUGUACAAAAGGUAACAGUUUCAGGGGGAGUGCAAGGUGCCGUGCCGAGUGAUGCAGUUGAUGCUCGGUGUCCUCCUGCCGAGCUUGUUGUAAGUGGUCAUCAGUUUUUCACCGAACUUGUUGUGAGUGGUCAUCAUUUUUUCACCGAACUUGUUGCAAGUGGUCAGCAGCUUCUCACCGAAGAAGAGGCUGCCAGUCCGUGUGUUGGUGCUGAGAGGAGUGCACUGAUGGUCAGCUAGCUGUUGCCGAAACUUCAUCUCCUAUCUUUAGCUCAACAGUGCUGUUGUUCAAUACAUCUUCUCUGAAUAUCCCUGAGGUAAGCACUAAUGAUACUCAUGUAACUAAUGAUGUUAUAAGUACAUAUAAAUUGCCACCAAGGCAAAAUUGUGGUGUACCUCCUGACAGGUUCUCUCCGGAGGGAAAAGUGAAGUAUCCCAUAGCCAAUUAUGUGUCCUGUAAAAACCUUUCAUCCGAACGUCAAGAUUGGGUGAAUAAUGUGGAUUCAAUUCAAGUACCAACUCGAGUAAAGGACGCUUUGAAAAGUUGAGAAUGGACUGAAGCAAUGGAUGAAGAGAUGAGGGCAUUGCAGAAGAAUAAUACAUGGGAAGUAGUUGAGUUGCCGAAAGGAAAAAAGCCAAUUGGGUGCCAAUGGGUUUUUACAGUUAAAUGAAAGGCUGAUGGAUCACUCGACAGUUAUAAAGCAAAGUUGGUGGCGAAAGGGUAUACUCAAACAUAUGGAGUUGAUUAUCAGGAAACUUUCUCUCCUGUGGCUAAGAUGAAUACGGUACGAGUCCUUAUCUCAUUAGUUGCAAAUUUGAAUUGGCCACUGAAACUGUUUGAUGUAAAAAAUACGUUUCUUCAUGGACAUCUAGAGGAAGAAGUGUAUAUAGAUUUCCCUCCAGGGUAGAGUAACGGAGAAAAAUCAAGAGUGUGCCAAUUGCAAAAGUCACUUUAUGGGCUUAAGCAGUCAACUCGUGCAUGGUUUGGGAGGUUCACUCAAGCUAUGAGAAAGAAUGGGUAUUAUCAGAGUCAUUCUAAUCAUACUUUAUUUGUGAAGUGGAGAAAUGGUAAAGUAACAACCUUGGUUAUCUAUGUAGAUGAUAUGAUAAUAACAGGUGAUGAUUCAGAUGAGAUUGUGAAACUGGAGAAGAAUCUUUCUACCGAUUUUGAGAUGAAGAGUUUAGGUGACUUAAAGUUUUUUCUUCGAGUUGAAGUUGCUCGUUCAUCCAAAGGUAUUUUCUUGUCUCAACGAAAAUAUGUUCUGGAUUUAUUGAAGGAAACAGGUAUGCUUGGGUGUAAACCUGUGGAUACUCCAAUUGUGGAGAAACAUUACUUGGGAAUUUAUCCGGAUCAAGAACCAGUAGAUAAAGGCAAAUAUCAGAGGCUGGUAGAAAGGCUAAUUUAUUUAGCUCAUACCUGUCCGGAUAUAGCCUAUGCAGUAAGUGUAGUGAGUCAAUGGAUCAUAUGGCAGCUGUUAUGUAGAUUUUAGCUUAUCUGAAGUCGGUUCCGGGAAAAGGAAUUUUGUAUAAAAAUUUCGGUCAUUUAAGGAUUGAGGGAUUUACCGAUGCUGAUUGGGCGGUGAUGUGACUGAUAGGCGCUCUACUUCUAGAUACUUUACGUUUGUUGGCAAAAAUCUAGUUACUUGGAAGAGCAAGAAGCAAAAUGUGGUGUCAAGGUCUUCAGCUGAGGCCGAAUUCAGAGGUAUGGCACAUGGAGUAUGUGAGGUUCUUUGGUUAUGUAAGUUACGUUGGGGUCUAUGUUUCAAAGCAAAAGAGGCCAUAAUCUUGUAUUGUGAUAAUAAAUCCGCACGGGAGAUUGCAGAAAACCCGAUACAACAUAACAGAACAAAGCAUGUGGAGGUUGAUUGUUAUUUUAUUAAGGAAAAGCUUGAGAAAAGAUUGUGUUAAUACCGUUUGUGAACUUGGAAGAGCAGCUUGCGGAUAUCCUCACUUAUGCCGUGUGUAGUAGAUCUUUUGGUGAUUCACUUGUCAAGUUGGGCAUGUGUGAUAUCUAUGCUCCAACUUAAGGGGGAGUGUUGCCGUGAGUAGUAAUUAAAGGGUAUGUAAAUAUGUUGUAAAUAUUAGGAAUCCUUUAUUAUGAAGGAUAUAUGUGUGUGUCCUUUAUUGCUUAUUGUUUCCUUAUAGAACAAAGAUUGUAUCUUGUAUAUAUAUUUCAGUUAUGCAAUACAAUGAAAAUUAAGCCGUAAAAUUAUAUUGGAUCUUCUAGUAUUCCGAAUACAAUCUAAUAAUGGUUUACACAAUCAUGCAUGUCUUAUAAUUAAGGGUUAAUCUCUGUUUACUACCCUCAUGUUUCGUGGUUUUCAACAUUUAGUACAUCAAGUUUUUUUCAUCCCAGAGUCAUACCUAAAGUGUUAAUUUUGGGACAGUUUCAUACAUCCGUUAGUCAAACUGUUAAUUCUCCCGUGAAGUAAUGAUGUGGCGCUCAUAUAGACAAUGACUGGGCCCCACAUGUCAUUAAAAAAUAUUAAAAUAAUUAAUUAAACAAAAAGUUAAAAAAAAAAAAAACCCAUCCCUUCUCCCUCUUCCCCCAACCCAGAAGAAGAAGAAGAAGAAGAAGGAAAAAAAAAAAAAAACAAUCCCGACCCUAACCCAGAAGAAGUAAAAAAAAAAACCCAGUCUCGCACCCAACCUAGAAGAAUAAGAAGAAGAAGGAAAAAAAAAACACAAACCUAGUUCGUCCUUAAAAAAUAUUAAAAUAAUUAAUUAAACAAAAAGUUAAAAAAAAAAACCCAUCCCUUCUCCCUCCGCCCCCAACCCAGAAGAAGAAGAAUAACCCAGAAGAAGAAGAAGAAGAAGAAGGGAAAAAAAAAAAAAACAAUCCCGACCCCAACCCAGAAGAAGUAAAAAAAAAAAACCCAGUCUCGCACCCAACCUAGAAGAAGAAGAAGAAGAAGGAAAAAAAAAAACACAAACCUAGUUCGUCCUUCCCCCCCCCCCCCCCCCCCCCCCCCAACCCAAAACUUUCCCCAACCUAGAAGAAGUAGAAAAAGGAAAAAAAACUAAAACAAAAAAAACAAAACCCAGUUCGUCCUUCCCCCCUCAACCCAAAAGCAGUUCCAUCCCCAACCUAGAAGAUGAAGGGAAAAAAAAAACAGAAAAAGAAAAAGAGAUCGGAGAUCGAAAACCAAACCCAGUUGAGGAUUUCAAAUAUUUGAUCAAGAACAAAUAGAACCACUUCUAGAAUUGGGGAAAGAAAAGAGAACCCAAAUAACAAUUAGUUGAGAAGAAUGGGGAACCGAGGUCACGACGGCGGGAGUGAGACUUGGCGAACGGAUUGCAGAAGAGGAUGGAUGAGAGAAGGAAGGGAAAGGGUGCGGGAUGCGGAAUAGAGAAGGGAGGAAGAGGGUGCGGGGGGAUGAGGAAGGGAGAGGGUGGGCCGAGGGGGUUGGCAUUGUAGAGUAAAGAAAUGGGGGAGGAAGAAUACGAGAAGCUUUUAGGUUUUUAUUUUUUUAUAUUUAUUUAUUUAUAAUUAAUUAAUUUUUAUUUUUUUUUGAAUUUUUAAUUUCCACGUGGACACAUGUGGCGCCCAAUCAUUGUUUAAAUGGGCGCCACGUCAUCAGUUAACUAGAGAGUUAACGGUUUGACUAACGGAUAUAUGAGACUGUCCCAAAAUUUACACUUUAGGUAUGACUCUGGGACAAAAAAAACUUGAUGUACUAAAUGUUGAAAACCACGAAACAUGAGGGUAAUAAACAGAUAUUAACCCUAUAAUUAAAUAUUUUAACAAUAUGCAUAUUUACAUGCGUAUAUAUGUUUAUUGGAGAAGGGAUCCAUGACACUGUGUUAAUACUCUGCAACAGCAAGUUCAUCUUUCUUGGUAAUAUCCAUUGAAUGCAUUGCCGGAUGAACUAUAACACAAUGACAAAAUCAGAAGAAAAGUAGAAAAUUACAGUUAAGUCACCUAUCGAACGCUAGAAUAAAAGAUAAAAAAAAGUUAAUAGUUUCUAUCUAAUCUAUCCAGUGUUAGUAUAAUGUCAAACCAAGGCAGGAGAUCUGAAUUUCUACUUCUAUAUGACGAAUGUUCGACUGCGCUAAGUUGCAGGUCGACAUUAAGAAAAUCACCAUACCAGGGGAUGGAAGGAAUAUUUACCCAAUCUACGUAUACAACAUUUCCUCCAAAAUAAGGAAUAUAGUUUUUUUUUUUGGAGUAAUUAGGUUUUCAUCCUUAUUUUUACUACUCUAUUGAUUAAAACCUUAUUACUUUUCAAUUUUUGAUCAAGGUCCUUUGUAUUAAUAAUAUCAUUAAUUAUUUCAAUAAUAAAAUAUUUUUUAUUUCUAAAUAUAUUCAUUUAAUAUUAAAAAUGUUACAAUUAGUAUAUUUAUAUUUAUGGCUAAAUUUUUUAUCAUAUAUUUUUAUUUUUAGUUUGUACCCAUUUUUAAUUUGCAACCCUUUUUUAAUUUGUACCAAUUUUCCUUUCAGUUUUAAUUUGUACCCAUAUAUUAAUUUCUUUUUGUGCCCAUAUUUUUUAAAGUUUUAUUUGUAUUGUACCCAUAUUUUUUUAUUUAUUUGUACCCAUUUUUAUUUUUGCUAAAUGUACCCAUUUUGAAGAAUGUACCCAUGUUUUGAUACAAUAAUUUUUUGGUUAUUUUUUAUGAAUGUACCCAUGUUUACACACACACACACACACACACAAUAGUAUAUUUAUAUUUUAAUAUUUUUAAUCCCACAAAUUAUGGUUUUUUAUUUAAAAUCUCAUUACUAUAAACAACUAUAAAUUUAAUUUUUAAUUUAAAAAAUAUAGUAACGUACAUAGAAAUAAAUUAUCAAUUAAUUUCAGGGACUUGGAUCAAAAAUUGAAAACCAACAAGGUUUCAGUCAAAGAUUAUUCAUAACUAGGGACCGCAUCCAAAGUCUCCCGUUUUUUUUUCAUAUCUACAACCUUUUCAUGCAUAAUCAACCCACAAGUCAUAUUUCUUUAUUUCUUCAUCCUAUCGCUCUCUUUCACUUGACAAAUUUGAGCAACAGAAUCUAGAGAAGACACUGGCCCUGUGGACUACUAACCCUGCAGACAAAACACUCGCAUUCAUAAGCCACAAUAGAGAAGUAGAUGCUUCUUCGAUCUAAUACACCAGGAGUUCUAGUUAGAGACCUUCUCCCCUUGCUAACAGUUGCGUCACAACAUGGAGGAGCAGCAGAACCCAUUUUACAUCUCUUUUACUACAUCCGAUUCAUCUACAUAGAGGAACAUUAUCUCAAGCAACCAGAUCAACCUCGUUGCGCUCUGGAGAAGCUACAUCUAAUCUUAUCAUACUCCUAUAUUCAUUUGGCACAGGUGCGCCUGCCUGCACGCAUAGCUCCACCACAGCUGGAGCCUUUCCGUAAUACCUGUUCAGGUUGUUAUCCAGAGCAGGACCAUCUAUGUCGCGGACAUGCCAAACAUAAUUCGGACCCACAAGAUCGUCUAUUGUUGCUUCUUGCCAAGCAUGCAAACCAUUACGAGAUUGAUGCUUUGAAGCCUUGCACAUCCUCACUUUGUGCCCCUUGGGACCUACCUGAACCUCUAAACAAUAUCCACAAGUCUUCACACUGUAUUUCUCCAUGAUCUUCUUUGCUCCGGAUAUCAUCUCAAACCAUGAGUCCAUUGUAAUAAUACUUAACUCAUUCAAAGACUUCCCCACUUUAUCGCUCGGUAAUGUUUUAUCCACAAGGUUAGUAUCACUCUGUGAAUCUGAAUUCCUCAACUCCUCAACAUCAGUUUUAAUAUCAGAAUGUACUACGAGAUCAACAAUCCCAGAAUAUGAGUUCCUAUUCACAUCAUCCAUUUUGUUAAUCGACUCAAAAUCUACAAUUCUUCCUUCGAUACUAUAUACAGGUCUCGUUCUUCUCUUUGUUGGGUACUUGUCAAUCUCUAAACCAGCCUGUAUACAGAGCUCCAAAAUGGCAGGAUUCGUGGGAUUUCAAAACCUCUCAUCAUUCAUGCCCAACUCUUGGUUUUCCAACACGGUCAUAAAGAUGGAAGCAUUUAGGAAAGGAAACCACAUGUUGAACUCCUCCCUUCCUCCACACUUGUGUCCCACUCCUAAAACUGCCGACAUGUCCAAUGUGAACUUCAGAGCAAAAGCUGAGAAUAAUUUUUUAUUUUCUAGGCAUUAAAUACAGGAGUUAAGUGAAAAAAGAAGUGGUUUAUGAGCUUUUCAGGUGUCUAAAGUAAUUUCAGUGGAACAAGAGACUAACUAGCUGCGCGAAAACAUGUGCAUUACAACAAAAAGAUGAAGCCGAGCAGUUUUGGAAUCAAAUAGAGAUGGGAAUGCUAUUUAAUGGAAUUUAGGAGAGAACUUAAUUUUUAGUUUUUAUUAUUUCCGUUAUUUUUUAUUUUAUUUAAUAAGGACUUAAAGGUCCAUUAGAGCUAAGAUUAGUGGUCAUUUAUUUGACCAUUUCUACUUGGUCUUUUCAAUGCUUGCCAUGGGUUUUAUAUAUAGAGAUUGGUUCUCCAUUAUAAAGGAAAAAAGCCACCAAACAACAAAAAAAACACAUCUUAUAACAUAUAAGGCUGCGGCAAGAAGUGAAAAGGGAAAAGAGCUUUGGGGUUUUCUUUUAUAGGGCUACGAUGUAGCCAAAUCAUGAAUACUUAAUUCCCUUGUGGUAUUGUUAUUAUCAUGUUUUUCUUUUUUAUUGAGUAUCUUUUGUUACUCGUAAUGCGCUUGAUUUUUAUUUAGAUGCUUGAUCACUAUCUAGGUUUAAAUUAGGUUGAUUUGAUGCAAGUUAGGGUAGAUGCCAUACUUAACUUGGGUUUAGCUUCUUGCAAUUGAUACCAUAACCACCUAUUUGUAGAUGCCAUACAAUUAGGGUUUGUGUGAUUUUCCAACGAUUUCCAUAGAGCUUAAUGGGUUCUUACUUGUUUAAAUUCAUUUAGAUGCCAUAGAGGGUUAACAUGUAAGGAUACUUUUGAUGCAACCAGAUGCCAUGACCGUCGGAUAAUUUAGGGAAAAUUGAUCAUCAAUUGGAGAACUACUUGAGUACAACAUAUUAAGGGAAUUAAGUAGAAUUGGUUAUGGUGAAUUCGGAUGCCCUAGGUUUUAUUUUCUUAUAUUUAUAAUUUUAUAAUUUCAUGUAUUUUAUUUUUAAAGUUAUUUUUCAUUUUUAGUAAUUCAAAUCUUCUAUCUUUUCAGUUAAAGCUUCUCCACUAUAAUUUGUUCUGAAAAUAUGACUUUAGCCCCUGAAACUCAAGUUUCUUUACAUAAAACCCGACAUAGUCUUUUUACCUGAAUAAAACCCAAUGACUAGGCUCCACAUAAGCAAAUUCAUUAAUUCUAUUUGCCUUUACACAUUUUGCAUUUUUUAGAUGCCUAAAACACCCCUAAUUAUAGUUUUAAGUAUACAUUAAAUUCUAUGCAUAUUUGAAGGGAGGGAUUAAUGAAAAAAAAAUGCAUUAAUGUUUAAAAUCAUUGCAUAUUAAUAUAUCAUAACAAAUUGUAUGUAAUGCUUCUGGAAAAAAAAAAGCACUAAUGUUAUACUUUCCUUAAGAUUUUGUAAUUAUUUUUCAAAUUUGCAUAAAAUUUGACAAUUUUAAUUUAAUCUUGCCAUUUUCUUACCCAAAUGAAAAUCUGAAAAGGCGCUAUAAAAUUUGUCCAGUAAUAAUACAUGAAAAAUAAUUUACUUAUAAAGUUAAAGAAAUGUUAUUUGAUUCAACAUAAAUUUAUCUAUAUUUUAUAUAAUAAUAUAGGUGAAUCAUUGCACAAAUAUAUAUUAGGAAUAAAAUGUGCCCAAUAUAUAUAUAUAUAUAUAUAUAUAUAUAUAUAUAUAAUGCAUGCAAAUAAUUCACCUACAAAUAAGGGAAAUUUGGUUAAAAAUAAUAUAUCUACUACUUUCAAUUUUCCUUUUUUUUUUACAAACAUAAUGUACCUACAAUAUAAUUUACCUGUUGUUUAAUCAAAUAAAAAAAUAAUGUAUCUACUAUUUCAUUUUAAUGGGGAUAAUUUGCCUUGGUUUAGUUUUUACGAAAUAAUUUAGGCACUAUUUAACUUGACCAAAAUAAUGUAACUACUAUUUUAAUUUACCUACAAAAUAAAUGCUAUUUGAUUCAAAAUUAAUUUACUUAUAUUUUACAUAUAAAUAUAGAUAAAUUAUUUUUAACACACAUAUAUAAUAAAAAAUAAAAAAUGUCUAAUGUAUGUAAUAAUCUAUGUAAAAUAAUUUACCUACAACAUAAAGAAUAUUAAUUGGUUUGUUUUUUUUUAUCAAACAAUAUUAUUUGAUGGAAAAUAACUAAUUAUACAAAGGAUUUUCUUUUUCCAUACUAAAAAUGUGCCCAUAUUUGUUUAUGAAUAUGGAUAAAUUCGUGUAUAUAUAUAUAUAUAUAUAUAUAUAUAUAUAUAUACAUGUUACUAAUAUUUAUGAUACAAGAAAGGAAAAUUUUCCAUAUGGGGUUAAUUAUUGCUAAUCAUAAUUAGGGUGAGUAAUAAUAUUUAUUAACAUAAUUAGGGUUUUGUGGCAUAAGUUGUAAAUAUGUUGUAAUAAUUGGUUACAUAUUUGUCUACAUGAUAGUCUUUUUGAAUUUUGGGUUUUAUUUGAGUAUUUACUAUUAGGUGGGUUUUUGUUUGGAAAAUAGGAGUUUCAAGGGCCUUUCUCUAAAGAACCCUAAUUUGUUUCGAUUUAGUUAUUAAGAUUUUAGAAUCAAUUCGAUCCCUGUGAGACGAUAUAUGUGCUUAUAAGCUAUACAAUCAUCCGAUUUGUAUAUUUGCGAGCACUAAAAUUCGAGACUUAAUGAGUUUAAUCUUUGUUAUCUAAUUUUUGCAACAGAGAUUACAGGCCAGAAAGAGAAUAUAAACGUUAGGCAACGAUAUCCCGCCUGCAUGAUCAAUACAAGUCAACCUCAAUAACAAACUGUUCAACGCCUUCAAAAAAUCUAAAUCCAACUGAUAGAUGAAAGGAGAUUCCCAGUGUAUGUGAGUCUAAAUCCACGAUCCUAAGCAAUUUGGACAAAAGAGGAACCUCAAUGUAUAGGAACGUACAAAUUUGGUUGACUAAACAAAAGGCAACCUCUGGAUACCUGCACCGUUGGACAGGAACAACCUGAACAAGUUUUGACAAGCCAAACAGGAGGGACUUUCGAGCUUGGUAAACUUGAUGAGCUACCUCAACCAAUUCAGGGACCAACAAUCCAUUAUCAGGUGAUUCUUCAAGCAUCCUGCAAGGCUCAGCCUUCCGGGCUUCUUUCUCCUCCUUGGCUCUUCGAAUCAAAACCUUCAUGGGUGUAAGGUAAGUUCCUUUCUGACAUUUUUUUUAGGAGGUCUUGGUACAUCAGCAUACAAAGGAUCAUCUGUUUCUCCUCCUAAAGUAAGGGUUCCCUCGGAUGUAAAACACGCCUUUUGAUCAACUAGGCAACGAAUUCUUGCAAAAUGACAAGGCUUCCAUAAUAUUCUUCGCUGCAUAUUGUGUGUAGAGCCCUGCACCAUUACACACAAUUUGAAAUAUAAAUGAAAAAUAAAGUAAAUCUAAUAACAGUGCAUUGGGUUAUCAGGUCUCAACUAAUUUCAUCUUCCAAGAAUGCAAGCAUAGUUCAAUCGAUUGCAACACUUCCAAUGUAAAACCUAAUUUUUCGGAUGUAUUUUACAAUAAAAGGAUUAAAAUCUGAUUUGUUGAAAAUAAAAACUAUAAACUCAGGCAGCAUGUACUUGAAAUAACUUAGGUACAAAAUAUUUGAUAUCCAUAUGUUUUUUUUAUCUAUUAUUUCUUUCAUUCAAAUAUAGAUAUAGGGGUUUAGCUAUAAAUAUCAACUACAUAUUGAGAUUUGAAGUCGCUCCUCCCACAACAACAACAACAAUAACAAAGCCUUAUCCCACUAAGUGGGAUCAGCUGUAUGAAUCUUAGAAUGCCACAACGCUUGGUUUUGUGCCAAGUGUUCCAUUAGAUCCAAGUACUCCAAGUCUUUUCUUAGAGCCUCUUUCCAAGUCUUCCUAGGUCUUCCUCUACCCCUCGACCCUGAGCCUUUGUCUUGUACUGGACUAUUUCAGGGACUAAGCUAGCUUGGCUUGAUUUAAGCUAGACGAAGUAUUAUCAUGCCGGCGUUUGACGCAAGGGUGGACUAAGGCUACAGUUUUUUUUUCUUUUAAUUUUCAAAACAUGAUUAUUUUGAUUUUCAGAUAUUCUUUUCGGGCACAUGAUUAUCAAAUAUUCUUUACCACAGUGUUCUGAUAUACGUUCAUGGCGCAAAAUAGCAACCCCUCGUUGUCAUUUCUCAUUACUAAUAAGAAAACGGUCACCUGAUAAAAGUUUGAAACAAAUCCAAAUAACUCACAACUAAUUAAAAAAUGAAAUAACAUAUCUCCAAGUAUUUCCCUUUCCGAAUCCCCUACCUCAAAAUUCAAUUUGGUGGUGUUCGAGUUGAAUCAACUUAUCAUAAUGUUGGCCUACUUGCUCCACAUUGACUUCAUUCCUUCUAGUUGUAUAGUACCUAGUAUUUCAGUUUAACUCAAAGUAGAACCUACAGUCCCAACAAUUCCUAAGCUUUGUUUCCAUUGAGGCAUUUUAUCAUACACUUUAAGCGCAUCCCAAGUAACAAAAAUCUCGUUAAAAUCGAAACAUAAUUUAUAUAUUAUACACAAUCAACUUAUAACCUACUCAUAAGAAAUAAUGACAAACAAAUUGAACUGAAAUACAACUAUGCACUUACCUCUUUCAAAUGAUAUUGUGAACACGAAAAUUUUCUGAAACGAAAGAGACAAGAACAACGUGCACAAACAAAUAUUUGUGUUUUGAUGAUUUUGGGUUACAAUCUCUCUCUAUUUUGAUCCUCUGAUUCGAUCUCCGUAAGGUAUUGAUUUGUGAAUGUUUCGUUGAUCCAAGGGCCGUCAAGGCUUGAUCUUGGAUGAACUAUUGGAAGUUUCUUCAAGGGGCCGUGGGCUUGAUCUUUGACGGUGGAUUUGAGCGGAUCUUCAAGGAGCCGUUGGGGCUUGAUCUUGAGGAUGAGUGUUUCUUCAAGGGCUGUUAAGGCUUGAUCUUGAAUAACGGUGAUGAACGGAUCUUCAAGGGCUUUUGGACUUGAUCUUGAAGAACGGUUGGAUGUGUGGAUUUGUUGAUGUUGUUGAUCCAAGGGCCGUCGGGGCUUGAUCUUGGAAGAACGAUGAACGAAGAACGAAGAACACUUUCUUCAAGAGCCGUCGGGGCUUGAUCUUGAAUUAGUGAUUGUUAAUCCAAGGGCCGUCGGGGCUUGAUCUUGGAAGAACGAUGAACGAAGAACGAAGAACACUUUCUUCAAGGGCCGUCGGGGCUUGAUCUUGGAAGAACGAUGAACGAAGAACGAAGAACACUUUCUUCAAGGGCCGUUGGGGCUUGAUUUUGGAAGAACGAUGAACGAAGAACGAAUAACACUCUCUUCAAGGGUCGUCGGGGCUUGAUCUUGAAGAACAGUGAUGAACGGAUCUUCAAGGGCUUUUGGGCUUGAUCUUGAAGGUGGAUUUGAUCCAAGGGCCGUCGGGACUUGAUCUUGGAAGAACGAUGAACGAAGAACGAAGAACACUCUCUUCAAGAGCCGUCGGGGCUUGAUCUUGAAUUGGUGGAUGAUUGUUGAUCCAAAGGGCCGUUGGGGCUUGAUCUUAGGAUGAACGAUGGAUGCAGAACGAAGAGCGAAGAGAGCUUUCUUGAUUCUUCGGGAACCUGGAUGCUUGAGAGCUUCGGAGUUUUAGAGCUUCAGAGCUUUAAGAAUUUUGUCUAAUGAUUUUUUUUUAAAUGAAUGAAUUAGCCUUCUAUUUAUAGAAAUUUCCAAGGCCUAAUUUUGAAUAUAAUAUUCCAGAUGAAAUAAGUCGUUUCUGCCAGGUGUUGACAUGUGUCCUGUUUGAUGACUUUUCCAACUUAUUUUGAUUUUUUGUUUAGACACACGCUACGUGUAAAAUUUAUGUAAUACAUGAGCGUUGAAACUUUGAUUUAUCAGUCAACAUUUAUUUACCGAAAUUUCGAUGUCUACAAAUGCCCCCACUUCAAGACGCGUUGUAUACAUGUGCUUGUCGCGUGUAGGAGAUGCGUUUUGAAGUCCCUUAAUGUAGAUGUCAAUCCAAGGGCCAUCGAGGCUUUAUCUUGAAUUGGGCUGGAGAUUUCUUCAAGGGCCGUCAAGGCUUAAUCUUGAAUUUGUUUGGAAUUUCUUCAAGGGCCGUCGAGACUUGAUCUUGAAGGUUGAAAUUGGACCACAAGGAGCUUCAUGUGGUAGAUGAUCUUUGGCUUGGGUAGUGGAUGAAUCGGCACGUAUUUGUUUUUUGCGCUUUGUUGACUUUCCACAACUUUGAUCUUGAACUGGGUUGGAGGAUUUUCUGGAUUCCUCCAAUUGUUGAUUUUCCACAGCUUAUUCUUGAACUAGGUUUUGAUUCAAGAGUGGUAGACACUUGAUCUUGAAUCGGACUUGUGAUUUCUUCAAGGGCCGUCGAGGCUUGAUCUUGAAUUUGGCCGGAAACUUCUUCAAGGGCCGUUGAGGCUUGAUUCUUGAAGGUUGACUUGAACACAUGGCAAGCAGGCACGAGGUGAAGGUGACGACUUGUUGCUUUGUUCAAUCUUUCUAAUUCAC